UUUUCAAGCCUAACCAAAAUUCAUAUGUAUCUAUAAUAGUCCAUAGAUUUCACAAAAAUCAGAAUUUUCCUUUGAAUUUCACAAGUUUACCAUUUAGUCACUAAAUCUCAAUUUCACCCAAAAUCAUUUUGUAAAAGUUGUCUAGUUACUAACAACCUUUCAUUUUCUACCAUAAAAUUUCAAUUUUCAACAUUUUCAUCCAUGGAAAAAUUUCCAUAUCUUGAUAACUUUUCAAAUAAAUCCUCAAAAUAGAGAGAACAUGUUAUCUCGAUAUCAAAAAUAUAAUAAUUAUUAAAAAUAGGACACGAUUACUAACCAAUUUAUGCCAAGAAAGUCUCUUUUCUCUCUCCUAGGGUUUCCAUGCAAAUUUUGGGGGAAGAAGAUGAUAGAAAAGAUGAUAUGUUCAUGUAAUUAAUUAUCAUAUUUUAAUUUCCCAAAUUCCAAUUUAGUCCUUUUCUUUUUCUCAAAUUCCAUGGAUGAUUCAUCCAUAAAAAUCUACCAUCUUUUGAUUGAUAGUCUAUUUACCAUAUAAGGACCUCUAGUUUUGAAUUUCAUAGCUAUUUAACCCUUCUAGCUUCUAGAAUUCAAUUUCUACAUUUUAUACAAAUAGGUCCUUUCCUUAAUUAAUCACUAAAUUGAUAACAUUUUCAUACCAAUAUUUUCAUGCAACCUUCCUAUCAUAAUGCAACCCAUGUCAUAAUUUUAAAAUAAUUUUUUUCUCGUCAAAUUUGUGGUCCCGAAACCACUGUUCCGACUAGGCCCAAAGUCGAGCUGUUACACAAAUUGCAAAAAUUAAUAUUUAAUUAGAAGAUAUUUUUUAAAGAAGUAUGUAGACAUAUGGAGAAAAGAUGAAAAGCUUUUAUCUUUGCUUGGGAAGCCAAAAACGUCACAACCCAUUAAGCCUUCCAUCAAACUUUUAUUAUUAUUCCAAAUAGGUCCUUCCACCAUUUUUGAGCCAUUCCAAGCUUAAAUUCUUCCAUUUUUUGAUGUUUUCCUAAUAAAAACAAUAGAUAAGAGUAGUAGACACCCUAUUUUCAUGAGAAGAGUUUCUAUAGAUGUAUUGAAGGAGAGAGAAAGUAAGAAUUAGGUUUGGAUUUUAAGAGGCUAAGGUAAGAGAUGAGGAAAUCUUCAUGAAUUCAUGUUUAUUUUAAUAAAAUAGUAUAUAAUUGUUAUAUGACUAUGAUUUUAACAUUUAAAUGUUAUGUGUUAUGAUAUGGAAUCAAGAAAAAGAGAGAAAAGAUAAGGAUCAAAUUGAAAACAAAGGAAAAGAGGUGAUCAAGGAGUAAAGAGAAAGAAAAACAUAUCAUCCAAGCCUUGGUUGUAAGUACUUCAAUAAUUUUACGUUGUCUAAUUCCAAUUUAGUUAUAAAUUUUGUUACCUAAAUAGUUUAAUUAUUAAUCUAUUAAUGUCAUGUGUAGAAUUCAUUAAUGAAUAUUAAAGGGUGUGAUUCAAAUUUUAGUUUAUGUUGUGAAAUUGUAGUAAUUUAUGAUGAUAGUGGAAAAUGGGACUAAAUUAUAGAUUAAAAAAAAUAUGUUAUGAUAUUUGAAAUGUUUAGAAGAGGGCUUAAAUGAAGAAUAUUAAAGAUAUGAUGUUAUGAACAUCAAAUGUGUAAUGAAAUUUACAAAUUAUAGUGUAUUUAUGCAAAUAGGGACUAAAUUGUGAAAGGUGAAAAGUUAUAGCAUAUUUGCUAAUUGAGUAAAUGUUAUGGUCCAAAAGCACUGCCCACAUAGAUGAGAUAAGAACCAUUAGGAUAUAGGUGGCAUGUCAUCAAUGGAAAUAUAACGCACUCUCCGUUUUGUAUUACACUAUGGUGCCCUCUGUUCUGAUAUAGCGUGUAUCCCUGUUCUAUUAACGCACUUCGGUGCAACUCUACAUAUGUUCUGUAUAUCCUAACUUUUUCUGUUUAGUCUACAAAGGGCAACGAAAUAAAAGAGUGAAUAACAUGAAUGAUUAGUGUGGUAAGGCAAGUUAAGGUAAGUGUUUACAUUGAAAAGAAUUAAUUUAAUGAUGGCAUUGAGUAUAAUUGAUGUAUGAAAUGUAUUAUGAAAUAAAUUAUAUUAAUUGUUACAUUAAUGGUUUUAAUUUUUGUUGUACUUACUAAGUCUUCACUGAUUUAACGCGUAGGUUGAAGAUAGAAUUGGAAAGUUAGGACUGAGGUCGUGGUUAGUUCAUCUCAUCACAUCGCCAAGCUUGGAGAAGAGUAUGACACUAAAUUUUGAUCUAGUUUGGAAUGUGAAAACGUGUAUGAAAGACUAAAAUGCAAACUUUAGUAAUUUGAAAACUUAAUCAAAAUCUCUAUGCUUGUGGUGUAUGAUAUUAUGUUAAGGUUAUGAGUGAUUUAUAUGCUUAAAUUGUAGAUUGGUUUAAUUUAAUUUGACAAAUUGAAUAGGGACUAAAAUGGGCAAAAUAUGAAGGAUUAAUUGGGAAAAUUAUCCCUUAAAUUUCAAACUUAAACACGGUUCUCGAAAUCCACACGGGUCAACCACACGACCAUGUGACCCACACAACCACAUGGCCAUGUGGAUAUUGGAAGAAAAUAUUGUUGAACCACACGGUCACAGAGAUCCACACGGCCUGGGGACAUGACCAUGUCCCUUGAUUUUCACAAUAGUCCUUAUUUUACUUUAUAUUGUUCUAAAUAAAAAAACAGUUGAAAAUUUUUAUCCUGACUUAUCCUGAAUACCAAUAAUUAAUAUACUGAAAUAACAGAAUCAAUGUGUAAAAUAUAAUGCUAUAUUUAUUUAGAUAUUACUAUUAGAGUUUCUUACAAUCAAUGUAGCAUUUCUAUACUUGAUUCGGUAGUCAGGCCGAGUAUAAGGGUGUUACAAUUGGAAACUUCAAAUACAAGCUUAAUUAGAAAGAACAUGCAAGGGUUACGAGGCUAGAACUUUAGUUUGGAAAAUCGCACGGCCUUAGACGAUUCCUUUACUUCAAGUCCGCCUAAGUCAGCCUAUCUCUAAAAAAUGCAAGAAUUCUCAAAGGAAAUUCUCUAAGGUACCAAAAUAAAGCGGAAGUAAACUCUCAAGCGAAAAAACAAAAAAUGAACUAAACAACCACAAGAAAAAUAGGCAAACUAAGUGUUUAAGUAAAUGCUCUCAAAAUAUUUCUAUUAAUUUUGAAGAAUUACAAUAGAGUGAUUUCAAAUGAGCGGGAGGACCUCUAUUUAUAAUUGAGUUCCCCAAAUCCAACGACAAGAUUAAAUUACAUCGAUGGUCGAUAUUAAAGCCUAUCUGCAAGAUAAGAGUUUUAAGGGAUUUAAACGCUAUACAAUCUUAUCCCUUAUGAUUACAUAAUAUUCACCAUGAUAACUGUAGUUUUAUUGGAACGUUUCACCGAGCCACUGAGCCUUCAAGUAGAUGGGUUUCUCCCUAUAUUCCAUGAAUUAGGCCAGUUAAAGUGGGUCAAAUGAGCCCCAUUUAAUCAGUUGACUUCCAUGAGACAUUUUGUGUGCAUUCAUCACAAGUUUCAAUCCAUGGCUCAUGACACAAGGCUCUCGAUGGCCAAACCUUAGAUAACAGUCUCGUAUAAACCUUAAACUUAAAUAAUAUUUUUGGGAAAAUUAAAUAUAUAUUGAUACAGGAGUAAUAAAAAUUAAUUAUUAUUCAAUUAUUAAAUAUGAAAAAAAUAAAUAUAUACAUAUGCAUAAAAUAAUAAUAUUUAAGUGCAAGCAACUGCAUUACAUGAAAAAAAAUAAAUAUAUACAUAUGCAUAAAAUAAUAAUAUUUAAGUGCAAGCAACUGCAUUACAAUCGUGAUAAGAAUGGGUUACAGAACUAUAAAUCUAAAUCCACGCAAUGUUAUCACUAAACUAGCGUAAUGAGACAUCAUAUCAAUAAAUUUUUAAUUUAGAGCACAAAUGGUAAUUUGAAAAUGAAAAUGUGCACUCUGGGACAUAGCAUAAGCAUGCAUAAUAGGGGGGCCAUCGAUUUGAGACCAUAAAAAUCAUUAAAAAUGAUGAAAGGAGAAGGAUUUUUUGAAUAUGGAGCUCAUACUCAUUAUGUCAAUGAUGAAAUUAUAAAAUCAGAGAAACUAUGAAAUUAAAGGACAAAAAUUAAUACAUCAAAUUUCAGCACAGUAAAGAGGCUAAAUGGAGUGAUAUUUUGUUGCAAUAUGAUCAACAGCUGUUGGCAGCUUGAAAAGUUGAUUGAUAGGGAAAAACAAGCCUCAAAUGCCACCACCAAUGUUAAUAUCAACGAUGUGGAAUUAAAAAGCGUCGCAAAUUGAACCAAGAAAUAGAGUAUGAUGUUGAUCUCAAGGCAUUGAAAUUAAAGCUGGAUGCUGUACCUACUGACUCAUAACAGUAUAUUCAAGGUGUUGGUUUCAACAUGGAAAAGAAUAUAUGAGGGUCCCUUUGUUUAAUAUGAGUGCAUGCAAGUUUCCAAUCAAACCAAAUUUCCUAAUAUAUCAGCCUAGAGAGCAGUGAGUACAUCAGAAAAGACAGAUCCUUCAAAACAAGAUGUUAUUUAUUAGGAAACAUUAUGCCCAAAAAAUAAUUAGUUUAUUAAUUAUCAUAGUUUCCCACAAAUCUUGAAAUGCCAAUGAAAGUGGAAAGUUCAUUGUCAUCCUCUCCACUCUCUUGUAAAAGGCAAUAGGCAUGUUAGAGUCAAGCUUACGUGGACUCAAUAUUCACAUCCAUAACAUGGGCCAUCAUCAUUCAUAAGUGGCAACAUGCAAGUUGUUAAAACCCUCCACCACCUAGCUAAUUUGUAAAUCGGGUUAGCCUUUGUUUUUUGUUUUGUUUUUCCUGCUUUUUGCCUAUGAAAGCCCCCAUAAUUCCGCCUUGGGUGGGCUUCCCAUUCAAUCGCAUUCCACUACAUGUACUUUUGACAAUACGAUUAGGUUAAACAAUGGCGGUAGAAUCAGAUUGGAUUGAGACUUAAAUCACUUAAGUUGGAUAUUGGCUAGUAUAUUAGUUGGUUGGGCGGUUGAAUCAGUUAAAUCAAUUUUUAUAAUUUAUAAAUAUUUUUAUAUUUUAUUUAAUUAAAAUCAGAUUGAUGUUCGAAUUAAGAAUUGAUGGUUUAAGCGGUUCAAUUACUUGUCCGAUUUUUAAAAUCACGGAUUAAACUAGUACGGUACCCCGUGUUUCUCAUUGGGUUACUUUUUUUUUAAGUAAAAAGUUGAAAGUUAAAAUAGGUUUUAAAUUCUUAUAUUCUUGGUAGAUUCGAAAUUUGGUCACUCAUACUUUUAUUUUCAAGAAUUUAAUCAUUUAGUUUUCAGAUUUAAAAAUUCAAAUUUAAUUGCUAGUUAAAAAAAAGAUAUCAAAUUUUUUAUGAAAUCAAAAGAUAAAUGAUUGUUUUAGACAUAGAUUGUUUUAGGUCAACUUAUGGUCAUGAUCCCACUACUAUGUUUAAAUUUAGGAUUUAGUAUCUAUAUUUAAUAUGGUUCUUGUACUUUUAUAAUAUCAAGUUAGUCCAAAGAGUUGAUCCAUUUAAUUAUUUGAGUUAAAAUACUCAUUCCAACUUAUCAUAUUCGAAAUAGAUUUUUUUGUGUGUGUUGAAUAAUGCUUUAAAAAAAUUCAAGUCAAUAUUUUAAUUAUAACAAUUAAAGAUGUUAACAAUUUGGAUUAACUAAUAUCAUUGUAAAAGUAAAUGAUGAAAUUAUGUCAAAUUAAAAUAUAAAGCUUAAAUUCCAAAUAUGAGCAUAAUAAAAGGAUCAAUGAGAGAAGUGGGCAUUCUUUUUCUAUAUAGAUACAUAAUUUUCCCCUCUAAAAACAUCUUUUUAAUAUAUACACAAAAAUCUAUAUAGCCACGAUAAAUUAAAAUGUUCAUUUUUAAGAAAAAUUUAGCUUCAUUAUUUUAACCGAAAUAAUUAGAGAUAAUAGCUAUUUAAAACAUAUUAGUGCCAUUAUUUUUAAGAAAACAUUUUUUAGAGCUUUAAUGUUAAAACAGAUUAAAUUGAAAUAUUAAGUUUUAGGGAAGACCCAAAUUUAAUUUUUUUUAUUGAAUCGAGUGGUUAAAAUGGAUUAGAUUGAAACAUUAUAUUUUAAGAGGAGUUAGACAUAGAAUUAAACCAUGUAAUUAAGUGGAAUAUGAUUUAAUUAUUAAAAAAGACACAGAGAAAGGCAAAAAUGUGGCAGCUUAUCCAAACAUCUUACAUUGACAUAUUAACAAACAUGUUGUGCGCAAAAUUAAGGUUAUUUAACCAAUCAAUUAUAAGUUGAUUAUCUGAAGCUGACAAUUUUGGUGUAGGGUUUGAUGAAUUAAAAAUCUAUCAACAAAAUCAAAAACAAAAUCCCAAGAUUUGUCUUUGCGUACAAAGUACAAUACAAAGCAGAAUCUCUCAAUCAUGGCUGACAUCUCUCCGUAUGCUGCCUGUCUUAUGAGGUGUAAAAACAAUCAAAUCAUUUAUAGAAGGUAAUCAAUGCCCCCUGAAAGAAAAGGAAAUACAUAAAAAAGGGGUUAUUGUUCAAUUAUUUUAUACACAAAAAAGAAAAAAAUAAGCAGUGAGAGAGAGAAGGGGGAGCAGCAGACCAGUGCCUCGCCGAAACUUCGAAGAGUCACAGACCCCAAUUUUUUUAAUGGAUAAUAAAUAAAUUAAAAAAGAGAAAAUAGUGGGACUAGGGUUUUACGGAUGGAAGUCCCUAGAGAGAAAGAGUAGGUAAUUUUUUUUAUUUAUAUAUGUGUAUGUAUGUAUAGGUACAAAAGAGAGAAAGAAAGGAAAGAAAAGGGAGAUUAUUAUAGUAUGAGUAUGAUGAGGAGGCAACGAUGUUAUUUGGAUAUAAGCAUUGGAGAAGAGCUUGAAGGAAGGAUAAUAGUGGAACUGUUCAAUGAUGUAGUACCCAAAACUGCAGAGAAUUUCAGGGCUCUUUGCACUGGUGAAAAGGGCAUUGGCCCUAACACUGCUGUUCCUCUCCACUACAAGGUCCCUUCUUCUCUUUCUCUCCCUUUUUGUUUUACCUUGUUGUAAGGAUUUUGCUUUCUGGGUCUUUGCUGGUUUUGCUUAUGGUUGUAUGAAAUGGCUUUUGUGCCUUUGAACUUGUCCAAAGUCAUGGGAUUUUCUUUUCUUUGUGUUCUUGGAAUGAAAGAUUGAUUUUUUUUUCCUGAUGUUGUAUAUAAGUAAUUCAUGCUGAUUAUUUGUUGUCAACUUGAAUCUUCUUCUUGUUGUUACUUGUUUCCUGAUUUUGCUGAUGGAUCUUUUGAACAAGAAUAUCUGGAAUCACUUGGAAUUUUGUUUUGGUUGUUUACUUGUGUCAAUCUCCAAGUUUUUGAGGUUUUUCUGUGAUUGUUUCUUCAUUCUAUACUAAAAGCUUCAAUCUUUUUGAUCAUCCUCAACAUUCCUUGACAUCAGUUUCUGGCAACCAGCAUGUCAUUAAGGAUCAAUUGUUCUCAUCUUUUUUGCUUUAGUAAUGCCAUGUUAACUCAUCUUUAAUCAGAUGGAAGAAAGUAGAGAUGUCAUCUAACUUUUUGUGAUGCUACCAAUGGUUUGUCUAUGAAAUGCUCUUACGCUGUAGUGCUGGUUUUGAGACCUAGAAAUAGAAAAACUUAGGGGGUACUUGCUUUGACUUAAAUCAUAUUCAUGAUCUUGAUUUUAAUUUCCAUUUUCCAGAAAAGUUAUUCCAUAUUCAUUCUUGGACUCAAACAAUAUGAUAUAAGCCUGUACUUUUGAUCUUCAAAAAUUGGAUAUGUCAUUGUAAUGCAAGUAGCAUAUUGCAUAAAAUGUGUAUGAAUAGGAAUUUCAAUGUUAAGUGAUCAUGCAUGACUUUGGAUGGGAAUUUUAUUUUUGUUGGGAUUGAACGAUAUAUGUGUUUUCAUUUCAGGGAGGUCGUUUUCAUCGGGUUAUUAAAGGAUUUAUGGUACAAGGUGGAGAUAUAUCUGCUGGAGAUGGUACUGGAGGAGAGUCAAUUUACGGUUUGAAAUUCGAAGAUGAAAAUUUUGAUAUGAAACAUGAAAGGAAAGGGAUGUUAUCAAUGGCGAAUGCUGGUCCUAACACAAACGGUUCUCAGUUCUUCAUCACUACAACUCGCACUUCUCAUUUAGAUGGGAAACAUGUUGUAUUUGGCAAGGUUGUCAAAGGAAUGGGAGUCGUCCGUUCAAUUGAACACGUAACAACUGGUGAAGGUGAUUGUCCCACCGUCGAUGUUACAAUUGUCGAUUGUGGAGAAAUCCCAGAGGGGGCAGAUGAUGCGAUAUCCAAUUUUUUCAAUGACGGUGAUGCUUAUGCCGAUUGGCCAGCUGACCUCGAUGAGAGCCCUGAUGAGCUCUCUUGGUGGAUGACUGCUGUGGAAUCUAUCAAGGCUUUUGGAAAUGAACAUUAUAAGGUAAUGGGAUUAUGCAUGCUUAUGUUAUGUGCCUUGGCGUAGGAUCUAGUCACAAGUCUAGACGAGAAAGAAUUCUUGCUUCGACCUAUGGUUACUCAAAAGGCAGAUUCGUCCUUGACUGAAUCCCCUCUCAAAAUAACGUUUCUUUUUUACAGAAUAAUUGCUUAUCUCUUUAUUUCAUAUAGAUCGUUAAUAACAAAGAAAAGAGUCCUAAUAGAAUUCUUAACUUAGAGUUUAUGAAGGAAAUAAAAACUUAAUAUAAUAGAGAAAAUAAGUAAAACUAAAACUCUUAAUAAAACCUGAUAUAAUAAAUAAAUAAAACUAAAAACUCCUAUUGCAAUAAAAGCAUCCACAUCAGUUUAUUAGUGCAGUAACGGGUUAAAUACCACAUAGCAGUUGCGCGCUACCUUCUUGCUUAACGCGAAAUUUCAAGAUGGUCUCUUUUUGUGCUAACGGAUGUCCUUUAAUAGAAACAAGACUACAAGAUGGCACUCAGAAAGUACCGAAAGGCUCUACGCUACUUAGAUAUCUGCUGGGAGAAAGGCGGGAUCGAUGAAGGUGAUGUCUAUUUUCUUUUGCUCUACACGGUUUCAUCUUUCACUUAUUAAGUAGUAUGAAUCCUAACGCACCAUGGUCGGUCUAUGUAUAUUAUGUUGUGGCUCUGCAGAGAAGACUUCAAGUUUGCGGAAGACAAAAUCUCAGAUAUUCUCAAAUAGCUCUGUAAGCUUCAUUCUUCACUCUUUGACUGAAUCCAUCAAUUGUUGGGCACUAUAUUUACUUUCUAAAUACCAUGUUAGAAAAUAUAACUUUAUUCUUAUCUUGUCCGCCAACUUGUAAUUUGGACUGAUGGUAGUCAUCUUACAUUUUUUUUUCUAAUACUUGGUAAGUUAUGUUGCUUUAGGCUUGUAAACUGAAACUAGGGGAUCUUAAAGGUGCACUGUUGGACACAGAGUUUGCUAUGCGUGAUGGAGAAAACAAUGUGAAAGCCUUGUUUCGCCAAGGCCAGGUUAGUAUCUCUCCUAGGUAAUAGUUUUUGAUCCCUUGGAUGCUGUCGGCUUUGGUGUGUACUUGGUCUGAGUUUAUCAUCUGUCAAGGGAAAAAAAAUGUUUAGAUGCAUAACCAUAGACCUUCCUUAGAAGCUACCUUUACGGGUUUGCUACUUGGUUAUGUUCUUUAUGCUCUGCACUUUUGGUCCAUUCAAGCACAUUACGGUCCUAAUGAUUUCCAAUACUUUCUGCAGGCAAACAUGGCACUUAAUGAUGUUGAUGCUGCUGCUGAAAGCUUCAAGAAAGCUUUGCAAUUGGAGCCAAAUGAUGGUUAGUGGUGAACCUUGAUUUGGCUACAAUCGUAUCAUUACCCUUUUUUUGAUCUUUUUGAAUGCGAAAUGGGAUUGACUAGAUCAAGGCAGCUUGUAUCGUUACGUUGUUGAUGUUGUUAAUUUGUGGAACUUCUUGAGACUUUUUUUACGACUUCUGCAAUAUAUUGUAUUUCAGGUGGUAUAAAGAAAGAGCUUGCUGCUGCUAUGAAAAAGGUUAGCAAAUAAAAUCGAAUUACUCCUAUCUUGUAGCAUUACAUAUUUUACAAAACAAAUCUGUUUAUGCAAUAAAACUUGGUGAGUAGAUCAAUGAUCGGCGCAAUGAGGAGAGGAGGCGAUACCGUAAGAUGUUCCAAUCAGACACCACUGGUACGUUGUGUCUGUCGGCUCUUUGGCAUGCUUUUAUUCUUUUCAUGUCUUGAGAUGGAUACCUGAUGUUAUCUGGAAAUGCGCAAUGCAGGUGCAGAUAACCAAUGAUAGUUAAGAGCUUCAAUUGUCUUUUUUGCCAUUUCGUAUUGAGAUAGUGUUGCUUGGUUCAGGCUUUCUUGAUUAGGAUCUCUUUACCUAGGUAUGGAUUUUCCAGCUAAUGAAAAUCGCAGACGAAUAAUGAAAACCGUAGCCCUUUAUCGUAGGUGUCAUGUUGAUUUAACUAAAUCUUCCUCGGGUUUCAACGGAAGCAGAGGAAGAAUUCCAGCAAAAUUCAAACUGUACAAAAAUCCGAGGCUUGAACCAAUUCUUGAUUCUAAUGAGGCUUUUCAUACAUAGGAAAUUUAGACCCAGACUGCUCAAUUCCUUUUGUAUUUUUUACAGAAUUUGGUAUAAAAUGUAGAAUCUUGACUUGGUAUGAAAAUUUUAUAAAGCCUGCUGUUCUUUUAGCACUUGUUGGCCAUGGAUUAUAUAAGGCCUGCUUCUAUUCUUUUAGCACUUAUUCAGGUCAUUUGGGUUAGGUUAUUUCAGGUUAAGUUAGACGAGUUUGGGCAAACUGAUAAAUUUUUUUUUUAAUGUUAAAUCGAAUUCGAGUUGGAAUCAAAAUUUUCAAGUAAAUUUUAGACGUACACCUUGGAUAAUAAUGAACAUUUAAGACCUUAUAUAACUAAUAUAAUCAUACAAGGUCGAAAAGCAGCUUGCCUACCAUCAACGUUUUUAUAUACACUUCUACAUACACAUACCAUAACAAUGAAAACAGCUGCCACACAAAACGCAACACGAAUAGUGCCCCCGUUACAUACAUACAUACCUACAUACAUACAUACGUACAUACAUACGUACAUACAUACAUGCUACUCAAUCACAUUCACAGUCAGAAGUCUGAAACCACAUUCCUCUUCUGUACAAAACCUAGUGUAGCCUUCUUCACACAUGAUUCAUAUUUACAGCUAUUCAGUAACGGCAAGGGGAAGGGCAUAAACAUGUGUUACCGAUCAUAGAAACCAAGUUCCUUCCUGUAAAAGUUCAACAGUUGCUACCUGCCUCACACGUCGCAUAAGUCGCCUUCUGCGAUAGAUGCCGACCAAACGCAGGAUGAGUACCAGAGUAAUGGCGGAAAAAUCAAACACUCUUCCGAUUCCAACGCCCCCUGCAAACAUCAUAUCCUAAUGUAACAAUAAUCAUCAAAUCGUCUCCUACGGAUGAUAAGGUGUCUCAAUUUUAAAAGAGGAUACCUGUUGGAAGGAAAUCAAAAGGUGUGGCUCUGUAGAUGAUACUUAAUACCAUCUGCAAACAUGACAGAUAGAAGAAAAGAGUUUUAAAAAGCAGUAAAAACAGUCAUGAAGCUUGUUUUAGUGACAUGACCAACUGAUUCAACGUAAAUACACAUGAUGCCUCUCUCAACCGAUACAUUUACAGAAGAAAAAGAAAUUUCUGGUAAAUAUUGAAUCAGCUUAACUGCAAAAAGGCGCAUCUCGGCAAUAUAUGUGUCAUUUGCAUCAGGAUCCAUCAAUCCUUGGAAUAUUUUCUUCAUGAAGAAUGGUAACUGACGUAGUUUCUGCUAAGAAGAGAAGGAAAAAAAUGUUAGUGGCCUGCUUGCAACUGAACAAAACAUUCACAUAAUGUGGCGAAAAAUAAACAACAAAAUCACUUUGCAAACUCAGCCUAUUAAAGGCUAAAGACUAGCAGAAAUACCUGAAUGUAUCCGAGCGCACCUCCUACAAAGAGAAGGUUAUACCUCUGUACGCUUUUAAGUACCUGAGUAACUUCUUGGUCCUGUUGUUGUUGCAGCGAUGCCUCGGGCAUCAAGUUAACAAUCUUGCAAGCACACAUGGGGCACUUGCAUGGGAUGGACGCUGAUGAAUAGUUCCAGAAUUGCAAAAUGCAACUGCCUGCCAAAACCAGAAAGGAGUGGGAACAAGUUGAAAGAACCGAUUUGAGGAAAGUUGAUUCAAGAUCAUAUAUGUAUGUCGUUCGGGAGUAUUUAUGGACAAAUAACUCAACCCUUUACUCCAAAAGCAAGUCUGAGUUCGCUAUAGCAAUAACUACGUCAAAUGAACAAGCUUUUGGUAGAAGAAUGACAGCAAUGUCAAACACAGAACGCAGCAGCAACUCAGUCAAAUACAAACAGCGCAAACGCCAAACUCUGUGACACCUCCCCUUCCUCUUAUGAUCCGUAAGUUGAGGUAAAUUUCUAGCAUCUAAUCAUGUCCACAUGAUUGAAUGUCAAUCCCAUUAAGUUACAAGGACUCGAAUGUAUCUGACACCAGCAUGGUUAGAAUUUUUAAAAAUUUUCCGUGUAUUUGAAAGAUCUUGGAGGCCAAUGGUCAUAUCUUUAUAUCCAUAUGUCUAAAAAUGUGUCGAACGCGGAUGCUUCAAGAAGAAAUGAAGAGUCCAAGCAACAGAACCAAUAUAUAUAAAGAAAAGGAAACAAAUCCUCGCUGAAAAUGCUCGUACAUUGUAACUUAUACGAGAAAGAAAUAUGCAGGCAAAGAUCCCAUAAAAAGCGUCCACCUUCUCUAUAAUUCUUUAGAAAGUUUUUUUUUAAAAAAAAAAAAAAGAGAGAAAGCAAUGAGGCAAAGGAAACUUGUUUCCUAGUAGCACGGAUUCUUUUCUUCAAGCAAUGUACCACCUAAUUCAUGCCGCAAACAGGACAUCAGCCCAUAAAUAAUAUGAUAGCAAAUUUAAUAUUCGAGCUCGAAAUUUUAAGAUCACAUAAUGUCUAUACUAUGUAUGUAUUUUCUCCGAAUUUUAUCUUGGUUUAAGUCUUCUCAUGCACGUCAUGUCCGAUGAUUAUUAGUUUGGAAGCUGAUCUUGGUUAUCAAAAAAAAUUUGUUUGAGAAUGGUUUCCUACAGAUAGCUUCCUAUGAAUUCAAGAUGUUAAGUAAUAUGAGAAAAACUCUGAUGAAAAAAAAAAAAAAUAUAUAUAUAUAUAUAUAUAUAUAUAUAUUCACGAAUCUUAAUUCAUGCUUGCAACUAAAAUUUGAACAUCACUUGCAAAUUUCAUGGCACAGACCCUAUUUCCUUUGAAAAUUUUCUCAAGGACCAAACCUAAGACAUGUAACAUCCAAAUAAAAAGGAGGAGGAAAUAGAAGAAUUACCACAAUACCAAUGGCCACAAUUGGAUCGACAAGGAACGGUGAAAGAACCAAAGCAAAUUGGGCAGCAAUCAUCAUCAGGAGGGGUUUCGGUAAACCUCUUAUUCUCUCUAGAUUCCUCAACGUUUCUUUCUUUUACCUCUGUUUCCAUUAUCCUCUCUUUUCUUUCUUUCUUUCCUUUUUCUUUUUCUUUCGUUUUUCUUUUUCUUUCCGCUUUCAAAAUGUAUUGCGCAAGAUAUUUUCCAUCACUUUCUCAGGAAAAUGCGGCGUGCUAAAUGUAAGAAGUGUAAAAAUGUAAAAUGCGUGCCCCUCCAUAGAUAUAUUCCCGAGUUUCCGCUUAGAAUCGCGUAAUAACUGUUUUGGCCUUUCGGUAGCCAAUGCCAAAUCUGCUCUUUCUUUUCCAUUUUUUUUAGUAUUUGCAUAAUACAAUCCUUUGGUGGAUUUUUGACAUAAAUUUAAGAAAGAUUCUGAUAUGGUCCAUUAAUGAUGCUUUGAUAAGCAUGGUUUAAUGAUAUGGUCAAUUUUUUAUUCAAUUGCUUAAAAGUAAUCAUAAUUCUUCCCGACCCUUAAAUAGAAGGAUAAACGCAGUUCAGCACGCUCAAAUUUAUGUCAUCCUACAUUGACAACAAUGUCAAUGCUAACACAUAUACCAUAUACUAUAUAUUAGUUUUUGUUUGUUUACCUCAUCUAUGAGUAGCACGUUGUCAAUUGUGAACUUCGCCAAUAUAUGCAAUGCUCGAAAAAUGGAGUGUCUCCAAUUUACCACAUCAAAGGUAGUUGUUUCGACUCUCCCUUUCAUGAAGCACAUGUGGAGCCUCAUCAAAUUCACAUUAGUCCUUUUGCUUCUCUUCCCCACCUAGCUAGAAAGGAUAUCUUGAAUCUCAUAAGAUAGAUCACAACAAGUCCAAGUGCCAAGAUUUGGUGCCAAGGCAGUCAACCUUGCUUAUAAAUUCCCUUCAUUAUCCUUAAAAGAGGGCUUUCUUCUACUUCAGAAACUUUUCUUCUUAAUGAUGGAUUUUUAAUCUAUCUUCUUAUUGAGUGGCUUUCAGCACUUUACCACCGUAUGAACAACCAUUCUCCAUCAUCUUCUUUAGGCCUCAACAAUUUAUGCAAUGAACAUUGAUGACAUGACUCAUUUUGAAGUGACCAUCCCCCAAAAUCCUAUUGCAAUCACUAAUCCCACCACCCAACACACUAGCCAAACCAACAAUCCCCAACUGACAUGCCUUUACAACGAUGCAUAUGAAAAUUGUACCACCAGCAAAUUAGGUAUCACACUCUAUCCCCCCUCCCCAAAUAUACGUGUGAUAUCAACUUCCAAUGAAACUCUAAUAAAAUGAAAAAAAACAAAUAUUUGGGAUAAAUAUCAAUUUUAUACAUGAACUUUUGUAAUGCCUCAAAAAUUCUAAAAUGACACGUGACAUAAUUUCGGGCUUGAAUAUCAAUGAGAAAAUUUACAGAAUGACUCAGAUGAGACUUUUAUGAAAGAAAUUUAACAUUGGAGAUAGAAGCAGGUUAAAAGAAUUGCUAAAGUGAAAAUAUAACAAAAAAGACCAAAUUGCAAAUUUUGAAAACUACGAGGACUAAUGUAUACAAUUAUCCGAAUAUGGAGAAUAUUAAUUAUUAUGGAUUAUUUGACAUGAAAUGGAUUAUAAUGUGAUUUGGUGUGAUGAAAAUCACUUUUGGGACUAAAUUGGAAAUUUUGAAUAGUACAAGGAUUAAAUUGUAAUUUUUUCAUUUUGGUUGGAAAAAGAGUUAAAGUGAGAUUUUCAUUACUCAUGGAGUUAUAAUAAAGAUUUAUGAUGAAUUAUGAACUUAAGUUUGUCUAAGUAUUGAAUUUUGAGAAGAAGUCUCAAAAAACUAAAAAGAGACAAAAUGAUAAUUUUGUCGAAAAAGGAUAAUUUAGUCAAUUCUCAAGGCUUCAAAAAUGGAAAUAAUAUUUAAAUAUGAUAUUUGGUAUAUUGAACUAUUUCGGAUCGUUUGUACCUCGUAUUAAUGGAAAUGAGCUUCAAAUUGGCAUAAAAUAGAGUUGAAAGAUGUAAACAUGCGCUCAAAGCCCAUUAUAAUUGGUAUUUUAAAGAUGAAAAAGAAACCCAUCAACUCAUUCUCUUCUUCUCUAACGAUAGCAGCAAAAAACAUGGAAGCUUCCACUUACUUCUUACAUUUACUUACUUAUUUCAUUAAUCUCUCUCAAAAUUUCCAUUAUCUACAUUAAGAUUUCGAUAAAAUCUCUAUAAAAACUACCUCCUAAACUCAUCAUCAUCAUCAUCAUCAUCAUCAAUUUUACCAAUUUCAGCUUAGAGUGUAUGGAGCUUUUGUGAGAGAAGAUGAAGCUAAAGUAAGAAAGCUUUAACAAUAGUAAAAAAUGGUUUUCUACACCUCCAUUAAUUGAUAUUUGUUGAGAAAUGAUGUGAAAAAGCUUAGAAAAAGUUUAUAUUAAUUAUAGGUUUAUGGAAAAUGAGAAAACGGUGAUCAAUGGAAUAAAACUUGUGGAGUCUUGAUUUAGUGUUGUAAAGCUUCCAUUAAAUAUCAUGGAUACUCAUCCUUUUCCUAAGUUAUUAAGCUUAGGGUUAUAAAGUAAUAUUGUAAUAAAGUGUUUAAUUUUGUUAGUAACAAUGUGAAAUUCCAUGGCAUGAUGUGUAUAAUAAAACUCUAAAAUGUGGAAGAAAAAUUAUGAGCGGCCAUGUGAUGUUUUGUUAAUUAACUAUGAGAAAUUGAAUUCUUGAGUGUCAUGGAAAAAAUUCUAGGCAUGUUAUGGUAUUAGUGAACAUAUAUGAACCUUAUCACUAAUAUGAAAAGAUUGAAUAAUGGCAUUAUGGCUAAAUUAUGUUAAAAUGUAAAAUCCUGCGUAAUUUUGACAAUAGUUGAUACAAGCUAAAAUGUGGAAAUGGUCAUAAUAUGACAAAGGAAAAUUGAACACUGGAAAUUUUUAUAAGGCCUAAUUAACAAUAUGAAAUGAAAUGUAUAUGUGAAGACAUUUGGGUGCCUAAAAGUAGUGUUAGGCAAAGGAUUUGUCUACCUACGUUAUGAACUCUGAAAAUUGAAAUAAAAGAUUCUAAGCAACUGUAAAUCAUGUUUAUAACUGAAAUGAAUAUAUACUCAUAUUAUGAGAAAUGAAAAUGACUACUAAUUUUUGUUUUAAUGGCGUAAGCUGUGUAAAUUUCAUUGAUUUCUGUUAAAAUAGCACAAGUCACGUGAUCUUUACUGAAUUAUGGUUUAGUGACAAAUUUCAUGGGAAGUUUGUACUAAAAUUGAAAAUUAAAAUGAAAUAGAAAAUUGUACUAAAACUUAUAAUGAUCUGAUAUGAAAUCUUCUGAUAAACUGAAUUAAUAAAACAAAGCCGUAGUAGCUUAGUGAGUUAGUUAGGAUAUGAUUGACAUGCUAAUAUGGGACUUCUGUUGCUUCUGAUAGGAGAUGCAGUUUCGACCAUGGUUUAGCCUUCGGGCAUAGUACUUUUGUUAUUAGUACUUUAGUAGUUAUGAUACUCGCACUUCUGUGCUUCUGUUAUUGGCACUUUGGUGCGAUCCUAUUUUUAUCUUCGGACACUAACACUACAAUGUUUCUAUUAUUACGAUGUGUUGGUUGGUUAGUCUUGAGUAUUCAACCUUUGUCCCUAAGUCUACUCAGGGUGUAAUUAAUUACAAACUGAUUAAUAAGAUGGACCAUGAACACAAGAAAAUGAGUACCAAUGAUGGUUAAACAUGAUAAAAAGCUAAUAAGCUAUAUGAAUUGUAAAUAACCAAAUGGAAAUAUAAGCCUCUAAGAAAGUGGUGUAAAUGAACGACUUAACAAACUGUGGUAUGAUUGAAAGCCUUAAUGCGUUAUUAAGGUGAGUUAAUAAUUGUGUAAGAUCUUAGGAUGAAAAUUGAAAUUGAAAGGUAAAAUUCAUAAAUGAAUCAAAUUUCAAAACUAGAGUAUAUGCAUAAUAAAAAUGGUUAAUAAAUCAUCAAGCUAUAAGUUGAGGCUUAACUUGAAAAUUCACAUGAAAUGGUUAAAUUAAUAACAAUGUGGCUUAAAUAAACUUAAAAACGAUGAUUCAUCUAAAGGGCUCAAGGUCAUUAAAGACUUAGGAUAAAGUUUGAUUAUCCUUAUUACUUAUUGAGCUUUAUAGCUCACGUGUUAGUUGUUUAAAAUGCGUAGGUACAAACUUGUCGAGAUGUUGCUAUGAUAGCUAGGGAGCAUCUCAUCACCCGAUGAUCCUAUAAGGUUGUUAUUUUUAAAUGUUAAAGUGAAAUUUGUAUUAUAUUAGUGGCAUGUAUACUAAGUCUUGUGAUGAAUAUAAAGAUUGUAAUGUGAAUGACAUGUACUUAGGGCAUCAACGUGUAUAAAAAUGUUUAUUUCAUAUGUCAAAUAGUGCUUGAAACUUGGGUCAUAAUGCAGUGGUUGAAGGCAUCAUAAAUUAGUUAAAGUUCAAGAAUGUGCAAAAUUGUAAAUAGUUUCAAUACCGCUUGAACAGCAGCGUAACGAAAUUAAUAUUAACUACAUUAAUGCUUGAGCAGUGGCUUGAGCUAUCUAAGCAACUCCUUGGCAGAAAAAAGAACUAAUAACUCCAAUACCACCUAGGUGGGAGCUAUUGACGCUUGGGUGGCAACUUAACAUACUUUUACUCUUUUUGGUUUUACUUAUUUUCUUAUAAAUUCUUUAAGGGUUUGAGUAACCUUUAACAAAUUAAGUAACAUUCAUAUAUUUUACAAAUUACCUAGUUCUUUUGUUUUAAUUGGCACUAAAAGGUUUUUUUCUACUUUGUUUUGAAAGCAUAAAACUUAUUUUGAAUAGAAUUUCAAUAAUUUUUUAUUAUUUUAUAGAAAAAAAUAUUUUAUCAUUUAUUUUCUUAAACAAAGUAUUGGUUUUGCUUCGAAAAUGGCCCGUUAGUGUCUCACAUACGUAUCAGCCAUCGGAACGGGCGAGGGACGUUACAACUUUAGUCUAAUGUGCAAUUUGAUACAUAAACUUUGUUUUGGUGCAAUUAUACACAUGAAACUUGAAUUGUGGUUCAUAUAUAUACAUGAAACUUUGAUUUUGCUUAACUAUACACAUUUAAAGAAAUAAAAACAUACAUUUAUUUUCAUAUCGGAUUAAUAUAAUUGUUUGUAUGCAAUAUAACAACAUAAAAUUAUACUAAUUCGAUAAUGUUAUUAGUAAUUUGUGAAAAUUGAAUCAAAUCAAAAUUUCAUAUAUAAAAUCGUAAAAAAUCAAAGUUUACAUAUGACAUUGCAUAUUGAAUCAAAAUUAAUAUAUAAUUUUAAUACUUAUCAAUAAUUAUUUAAAUAUUAAACUUCUGAGUAAUAUAACAUUCUUCAAAACUGAUAGAAAUGAACUAUAUACAAUUUAAUUUUUAUAUAAUUUAAUAUCAAAAUAAAAAAGCAUCUAAAUUAGAUGUAUAUUAAAAUAAAUAUUACUUGUUUAUUUUUUUAAAGAUUGCAUAUUUAAGUUUUAUAUGUUGUAAUAUAUAAUAUUAAAAAAUAAAAGAAGAAUAUCAUAUUAUAAAAUUAAAAGAAAGGAUUGGCAUGUGAAGGUAAUGUUUACUUCACAUAUAGCGAAUAUGGCUGCAGAUUCAAUGGCAGCAUUAGGAAGAAAUAUUCCUCUUGGUUUGGGAAUUUAUGAUGUUCCCCCAAGAUGACCGAGAUAGAUAUUUUACAAGAUAGUGUUGAUGUACGACAUAAUUCCUUUUAUGACUAAAUGCAUUUAACUUCCUUAUCUACCAAAAACAAAUUUAAAAAAAGGAGACGAGUUAGCCUGACUUAUAAUAUAAGUAGACCCAAUUUUUUGUUUAAACUCUUUUAAAUAUUAAAUCGACUUUUGAAUUUUAUCGGAUAACUUGAUAAAUAUACAACAAUUUUUAUAUAUGUUAAAGUAAGGGCAAUUUACCAAUAAAAGCCCCUUUUUUUUCAAAAAUUACCGAAAUGGGCCCAUUAUUUUAUUAUUUACCGGAAUGGUCCAAAAACUGCAAAAUCGCGUCCACGUCAGCGCGAUGUCAAUGCACGCGCCAGGACAUCGCGUCUACGUCAGCAACUCGCGCUGACGUGGACGCGAUGUCCUGGCGCAUGCACUAACAUCGCGCUGACGUGGACGCGAUUUCGUGGUUUUUCCCACGUUAGGUUUUUUUUGGCUUUUAGGGUUUAUGGUUUAGGCUUUUUAGGGUUUUAAGGUCCUGGAAGAAAUAAUUUCGAGUUGACGUUUCUGAUAAAAUAAUAUAAAAUCGCUUCUAGCAGGAUGGUAUUUGAGAAAAAUUUGUGAAAUCGCGCCCUUGUGGACGCGCUUUUGCUACAGUAGGUCACGGAAGAAAUAAUUAUUUUUUUCACGUUUCUGAGCAAAUAGUAUAAAAUCGGUUCUAGCAGGACGCUAUUUAAAAAGAAUUUGUGAAAUUGCGGCCUUGUCAGCGCGCUUUUGCUACAGUAGGUCAUGUAAGAAAUAAUUUUUUUUUGAUGUUUCUGAGCAAAUAAUAUAAAAUCACUUAUACUAGGAUGCUAUUUGAGAAGAAUUUGUGAAAUCGCGCCCUCGUGGACGCAAUUUUGCUACAGUAGCAUGUUUGGGCUGAGGCUAUAAAUUAGGCGGAAAAUGUUCUCAGAAUGCAUAAGUCACAAUAGAAACAAUUUGGAGAGGCUAAGAAGGUUAGAGUUUCAAAUAUGAGUGAACGUAUUAGUGCUGUUAUUUACUACGAUGGUGAGGUUUGCCACACCGAGAAUGGUGUUGUUUUUUUGUCGGAGAAUACGGUGCGACUGGUUUUUAACCAGAACAUAGAUUUGACAGAACUUCGUAAAAGGAUUAGGCGUAAAAUUUUUGGAAUGACGCCAAUGAAAGUUCUGUCUAUCACAUAUCGAUUUUGUUCUUCUGUUGAUCCGGUUACAUAUGACUCGUUCGACAUAAAAGGUGCUCGUAGCUUGGAGGCAAUGGUGCAGACUCAUCUUGCUAGUGGAGCAACUUAUAUUGAGUUAUAUGUACAAUUUACAUCGCCAACUGAUGUACCAGUGACCGGUGUUCGAGAUGUAUACACCACCCCUGGCCGACACUCGGUCAGCGGGUUACAAAAUACGGAACAGCCCAUGUUCGAUAGUGGUGUCGAUUGUACAUCCCCUGUAAGACACUCUGUCGGUGGAUGGGACAUGUACGCCGGUGGCUCGAUGUUUGAUGCUGGAAAUACGUAUUGGGGAGCGACAUCAAGUUCUAGCGGGUGGCAACCUACAUCUAAUUGGGGACGUUAUCAAAUGCCCAGAAGAAGGGAUAUGUACUCCCUACGACGUCAACCGGUGAGGGGACCUCCUACACUACAGAUGAUUGUGGGUUAGAAGAUAACUCGAAUAUGGAUCCACCUCGAGAGCCCGGGCCGGAUGGUGCAGAAGUUGGCUUAUUUUCUGAACCGGAGCCUAUUCCAACAGAGGCUGAAGAUGCUGACAAGAGUUCAGAUGAGGAAGAAAAUCCACGAUUCAGAGCAUACUCACCUCCAGCCUACAUGCAUAAUGUCGAUCUAUCAGCAGAUAAUGCGUUAGAGUUUCUAGAUCUACCAUAUCGGUUGCGUGAUCGUACAAGUUCGGGGGUAGAUUUCGGUGAACUUGAAGUUGGUAAUCAGUUUACCAACAAGGAUAGUUUUAUUGGUGCUUUGAAACAACAUAGCAUUAAAAACGGCGUUAAUUACCAUGUCGUUAAAUCAAAAUCUGAUAAGUUUGAGGCGAAGUGUGCGGUGCAAGACGACACAUGUUCAUGGAAAAUCUACGUCUCGUUAAGGAAAAUGACAGGGUUGUGGGAGAUAAAAAAGUACAAAGGUCCACAUACAUGUGCUGUAGGUACAGUAUUGACUGUAUCUGAAUAAUACUUUUAUUAUGCAAUUAUUAAUUAUUUAAUGUACUCCAUUUGUAGGUGUUUCACAAGAUCAUCCGAAAAUGGAUUCAGCUAUGUUAGCUAGCUUGAUACUUCCCACGAUAAAAGCAGAUCCUAAGACUUCAGUGCCGGUGUUAAUUACCAAUAUCCGUAGCCAAAUAGGGUACAUGCCCUCUUACCGCAAGGCUUGGAUAGCUAAGCAAAAGGUGUUGGAGAAGAUGCAUAGUGGGUGGGACGCCUCAUAUAAUGAAAUAUGGCAGUGGUGUCAGGUGCUAGAGAGAUACGUCCCCGGUGCCAUCACAGACCUUGAAACGGAACAUGCGUACUACAACGACCGAUUGCUACAUCAAUGCCAAGUGUUCAAACGCUUGUUUUGGACCUUUAAGCAAUGCCGAGAUGCAUUUCCAUACUGCAAGCCGUUGGUACAAAUUGACGGUACAUUCAUGUUCGGUAGGUAUACUCAUCGGCUAUUGCUUGCAGUGGCACAGGAUGGCAGUGGGAGAAUUCUUCCAAUUGCUUUUGCAAUAACACCGCGGGAGUCAUCUGAUGACUGGAAUUUCUUUCUCUUUAGGUUAAGGAGGCAUGUGUGUCCCCAACCUGAUAUAUGUGUUAUUUCAGAUCGGGGCGCCAGUAUACUAGCUGUAUUUGAUCGAGAGGGAAGCUUAUGGCAGCGCACACACCAUAGAUAUUGCCUAAGACACGUUGCUUCGAACUACUACAAGCAAUAUCCAUCUAAGAGCGAACGACGACAAGUGACCAACAUGGGUAUUUAGUCUAUAUCUGUGUUAUUUCGUUUGUCAAUUUAAAUUAGUUUUAUUGGUAGAAGUGGUAUAAAUUAUUCGUUAUGAUAUUAUAUUGGCAGGGUAUGAAAUAAAUAAAGAUCAUUUUCACGAGAUGUAGGCAAUUUUACGAUCCCAAAAUGACGAAGGGGCGGACUACCUUUGAAACAUACGUUUCGAACAGUGGGCACAAGCAUACGACGGCGGCCUACGAUAUGGCCAUAUGACGUCGAACCUGGCAGAAUGCAUAAAUUCUGUUCUUAAAAGAACGCGCCAUCUACCGAUAACAUCGGUUGUGCGAUAGACAUAUUUUCGUUUGGCGGUGCUAUUUCCAAAGCGAGCAGCAAGUUAUGCAGGCCAGAUGCAGGGAAGCCUUGUAUGGUGCAGUAAGGUAGUUCAAGAAAUUAACAAGGCCAAGGCGAGGGCAAACACCAUGCACACAGUGUGUCACGAUCGAGAUAAUUUAUGGUUUUGCGUGACAGAGUUUGACAAACCGCACUAAGGUGUUGUUGGCGGGCAAUAUCGUGUACACUUGUGAAAUAGGACAUGUGACUGUGAGACGUUUGAUGCACUUCGGUAUCCAUGCGCUCAUGUUAUUGCAGCUUGUCAGAAACUCCGUCUGGAUCCAAUGAGUUAUGUGGACGAAGUGUACAAAUUAGAAAACAUGUACAACGUAUGGAGACAUGUUUUCCCACCGAUCCCAGAUGAACGUAAGUGGCCGCACGUAUCUCUUGCUCCUUUUAAGCUGUUAUCGGAUAGAGAAUUACGUCGCAAACCAAAUGGUCGACCUUGCUCGACUAGAAUACGUAACAAUAUAGAUAUCCGAGAAACAGCUAGUCAAACGAAGUUUUGCAGAUGGUGUAGGAAUCCAGGCCAUACAAGUCGAUCAUGCCCUAAUCGCAAUAGUUGAAUGUAAUUGUAAAAAAAUUAAGUUUAUGAAAUUAUUAAUUGAUAAAUUGUAUUAAGUCAAAAAAUUGUAUUAAUGGUUAGUAAAUUAUUAAAUUAUAUACAAUUAUUAAUUGUUAGUACCAGUUAAAACAUUUUUCCAAAUUUAACAUUAUGUGAAUGUAAAAUUAUUAAGUCAAAAAAUUGUAUUAAUGGUUAGUAAAAUUAUCAAAUUAUAUACAAUUAUUAAUUGUUAGUACCAGUCAAAACAUUUUUCCAAAUCUAACAUUAUGUGAAUGUAAAAUUAUUAAGUCAAAAAAUUGUAUUAAUGGUUAGUAAAAUUAUCAAAUUAUGUAAAAUUAUUAUUUGUUAGUACCAGUCAAAACAUUUUUCCAAAUCUAACAUUACGUUAAGGUUAGGGUUUUUAAUUGAAUUAGGUUAGGGUUAGGGUUUUUAAUUAAGGGUUUAGGGUUUUUAAUUGAAUUAGGUUAAGGUUAGGGUUUUUAAUUAAAUUAGGCUAGGGUUUUUAAUUAAAUUAGGUUAGAGUUUUUAAUUUAAGGGUUUAGGGUUUUUAAUUGAAUUAGGUUAGGGUUUUUAAUUAAAUUAGGCUAGGGUUUUUAAUUUAAGGGUUUAGAGUUUUAAAUUAAAUUAGGUUAGGGUUUUUAAUUAAAUUAGGCUAGGGUUUUUAUUACAUGUCAUAAACUUCUAUUUUAUUACAUCAAAUAAUAUCAAAAUAACUUAAAAAAAUUAUAUUUUUUACAUAAAAUAAUAUCAAAAUAUUCAAAAUAUUUGUACAAAUAAAUUAGGCUAGGCCAUCAAUGUCUAUGCCCGAGGGAUUCAGUGCCACAUGGCGCCCGUCGACGGUUACACGCUGGAUUCCUCAUUUCUCUAGCUUUCGGUGGUGAUUGUUCUUCCUCCGGCGGGGAUUCUGGUUCUUCAGGUUCGGCAGCUGGUUGUCGGACUUGGGACGAUGAUCCACCUUCAAAGAAUAGUGUAUGUGGAGGUGUUUGCAUCAGUAACGGCGACGGUGUUUGAAACCCAUACGUUGGUGGGGAUUGGUAAAAAGGAGAGCUUCCCGACGGCCCCCCUUGCGAUCCCUCCUACGCCGCUGGCCUAUACAUCGGCGGUCCGAUCGGCAUAACAGGAAAUAGAGCUGAACCGGGCAUUUGGCUCCAACCUGCCAUAAGACUCGGAAAAGGAUACAUAUAAGGGUUAGGGUACAUAUAAGGGCUAGGAAACGCACCUGGCAUCAUCUGAAAAGGCGAUUGCGUGGGUAUCAUGUGUUCAACUGCUGUGUCGGGUGACUGCAUCGGUGCUCUCGUUGGGCCUGGUGAUUGCAUGGCCGCUGAUGAUGAGCCGGGUGAAUGUCUGGGCCUCAUUGAGGGGCUGCAUUCGUCUUGUCGUCUUGGAUUUAGAAGCUCGCGCCUUACCCUUUUGACACGUAUUUGCCGCUACCUCUCCUCUGGCGUCAGUAAAUACGGCUUGCCAUGGAUCCUAAACCAUGGCAUGUAUUCUGGAACACACGAUAACUCCGGAACGAUGAUUGGUUCUCGAGUAGGUAGAUAUUCAUACCGAUCUUCCCACAUUUUCGUGUACUCAGACCAGUAUCUCGGCCAAUCCGUAUUCAAUUACCGAAGGUCGAUUUUGUGUUGAUCGUCAAACACCUCAGGAUCCACCGGAAUCGGUUGUCUACAUCAAAACUGUCGUAGCACUCUGUCUGUCUGGUGCGGCUCCACAGUUGCGUAGUUGACCAACACGACUUUCACGGGCCAAGCUUGUGGAUUUUGUAAAAACUCUUCCGGGAUUACUGCCCGAAUUACCGGAUCCUCGUAUGGUGUCCAUUGAAACUAUAUGAACAUGAUAGAAAUAUUAGUUAUAUACAUACAUAAUACUAAAUACUAAAUACUAAAUAUCAAUCGAAUAGCGAAUGUAUGGAAAUAUCUAUUUGCAAUAAUACUUACUUUUGCUUCCGACCGUUGGUCCAAUAGAAGCCGUAUAUCUUCAAGAAAGGACGGUAAUCUAGUAUAACUUGCCGGAUGGUUCCACCUAAUUAUAUACAAAUUUUUAGCAUACUUUUAUUUUUAAAAAUCUACAUAAUAAUUGUAUAAUGUAAUAUAAUAAAAUUUACCUCGUUAUGAGUAGGAAUGUAUAUGGGUGGUUCACUCAAGGACGUAGAAAUGGAAACUAAAACCGUGCCCAUGACUGCAGUAGUGACAGGUAACCUCCGAUGUUUGCUCUCCUCGGUCACGUCGCCCUGCACAUCUGCCGAUAUAAUGUUGCCAAGACGGCAGACCCCCAACUAAAUUCACCGGCUGCUCUAAAAUCAACGAGUUUUAGCAGCCAUCUUAGAUGUACGCGGCUCCGUGACGUGUCGGGCAUCAGAUAACCUCCAAUUAAUUGAAGAAUGUAUGCCCGAGCAUAUCGGAUUCUUUCAAUUUCGGUUGAAUCUUCAUCCGGAUCAGGGAAUGUGUCAUGUAACCAGCUCAUCUCGACCUUACCUCCCUCCAUUUUCUCCGGAAUAGCGCCCAAAAGGUCGUAGCACACCGCCUCCAAAUUGCUAGAUUGGGCAGACCUAGUGACUGGGUGCCCGUCCAUCGGCAAUCCCAACUGCAGACUAACAUCUUCUAGAGUGAUAGUGCACUCUCCACAUGGAAGAUGGAAUGUGUGCGUCUCGGGUCUCCACCUCUCGAUCAACGCACUGAUCAGUUUUGGGUCCAACUUGCAUCCCCGACCCACCGUCACCACGUGCCAAAAACCCGCUUCCCCCAGGUAGUUCUCUACCAACGGUGAUGGAGGAGCAUGCAUAUUCUGGAUAUUGCAUUCCAAUAUCCGAUCUACAACUUUUUAUAACAAAUAACAAAUUAAUAAUUAUCUAAAAAUGCAUAAACAAAAAAUUCUUAAAUAAUAUUUAAAAAUUAAAUUUAACACUUACUAUUGUCAUUUGUUCCACCGAUAUGUGAUGCCUAUCAAGACGAGUCAAUGAUACGGCCAUUGAUGAAAUUGGACAAAUUUUUACGAUUUAUAAAAAUAUAAAAAAAUUUAAAUUAUUUUAAAAAAGGAAAUUGAGAAGAAAUUGAAAUUAAAUAUGGAUUUGAGAGAAUUUUGGGAGGAAAUUGAGAGGAAAUUGAAAUUAAAUAUAGAUUUGAGAGAAUUUUGGAAGGAAAUUGAGAGAAUUUUGGAAGGAAAUUGAGAGAGGAUUUGUUUGUGAAAAAAUAAAAAGGGGUGGGGGUAUUUAUAGUUUUUUUUUUAAACCAUUGGGGGGGCAACGGUCAAAUUUUUGACCGUUAGGUACUGUUCACGCGCGGAUGACAUCACGUCCACGUCAACAACUCGCGCUGACGUGGACGUGAUGUCCUGGUGCGUGCACUGACAUCGCGCUGACGUGGAUGCGAUUUCCCAAAAAAGGACCAUUCCGGUAAAUAAUAAAAUAAUAGACCCAUUUUAAUAAUUUUUGAAAAAAAAGACUUUUAUUGAUAAUUUGCCCUUAAAGUAAAUAUUAAAGAAUUAUUAUAUCGUUUACCCGCAAAAGCACAUUGCGUGAUUUACGAUAACGAACUUUUCUACUAUUAGAUUAUUGCCAAAUAUAUAAAUAAGUUGGAAAACAGGAAAAAAUUUGGGGAAAAUAAAAUAGGUAAAAACGAAUUGUUAGUCCUUAUACUUGAACGAAUUUUGAGAUUUAGUCCCUAAUUUAAUAUUUAAUCAUAAAUUUAAAAUUUAAAUCAUCUCAACUUAUUCAAUGCAAAAAUCCUAGUUUAGUUGUUGGCAUAGAUUUUUUUUUUCUUUCAAAAUUUGCCAUCAAUACAUCCAUGCAAAUCAUACUAACUUCUAAAGUAAUAUAUUAUGAAAUUAGGGUGGGUUUGGAUGAACGGUGCAUUUAUUUGUGGUUAGUGUAAAAACAGUGUUGGUGAUGAGAUUAGAUACUGUAGUGUGAGACAAAAAAUAAGCUAAACGCACCAUACUGUACCCCACCACCUAUUAAAAUUUUUUUAAACAAAUUUUCUAAUAUUAAAUUUGGCACCUUAAUCCAAGUCCAUAUAAAUGAUUUUUAAAAAAAAAAUUAUCUCUCAUGUUUCUAUUAUAGAAAAAUAAUGACCAAAUAUGUUUUCAUUAUUGAAAACAAAAUUUUAUUUCUAUUUAUCAAAUAUAUUUUUUAACUUUUAAAAAUAAAAAAUGAAAAAUAGAAAAUAUUUUCAAAAGUCAAAAGGAGCCUUAAAUUUUACUUUUUCAAGUAUAAAAAACGAAAAUCUUAAAUUUUAUGGAAAUACAAGGACCAACUGUGGAUUUUGACCAAUCAAAAUUUUCUUUUAAAAGAAAGGAGAAAGUAACCAUAAAGAAAUGUGAAUGACUUUUGAGAAAAUGUCAAAAUAAACCUCUAAAUUUCCUUUAUUUUUCAGUUUCUAAAAAUUGUUGCCUACCAACGUUUGAAAAGGUUAUUAAUUUGGCAGUUUCACACUCUUCCUUUCCUUAUAAAUUCCCUGUCUGCUCAUCCUCCAAUUGCAUCAAACAAACACCCAAGUUUCAUACACUUUCUUUUGGGCCUUUAAAACUUGACUGUUUUUCCAAAAAUGGGUUUCACAUUUGCUCAUCAAGGACUUGUUUUGGUGCUUGUUGCUUCUUCCAUGGUGGGAGUAAGCUUAGCAAACAAGGAAUGGGGGAGCUUGGGUUCCCAUCCUCAUCCUCAUCAUCCCCACAACCAUACCAAUGUCCCCAAAAGAAUCAUAGUUGGGGGAUCCCAAAACUGGCAUUUUGGUGUCAACUACACUGAUUGGUCACUCAAAAAUGGUCCCUUCUACAUCAAUGAUACUCUAGGUAACUAAGACAAUCCCAAACCUUCUUAUUUCUGGAGUGUUUUUGGUUAAAUUUUGAUAUCGUUCCCGCUGCUAUACUCAAAUUUUAUCUUUAGUCUUUAUAUUUUAAUUUUACAUAAUUUGGUCAUCUAUUUCUAUACUAUUAUUAGCUAGUUCAAACAGUAUUGUUAACUAAUUCAAAUAAGAUGCUAACGUGGAGUAUAAAAUACAGGGACUUUUCUAAAUUUGAGCAUAGCAGGGACCAAAAUCAUAAUUUGACAUUUUUCUAAAUUUGAGCAUUACUUAUGUUGACAAUUUUUUUGUAGUGUUGGGAGGGAUACUUUUUAAAAAAAAAACAAUUAACAUAAACUAUUUAAAUUAAUUAAUGAUAUUAUAAAAAUAGAUGGAUCAAAUUCUAAAUUUGAGGGACCAAAACUAUAAUUGAACCCCUUUUUUCUUUACUAGCAUUGCUCAAUGUUCGUAAUUUUUGAGCAGUAUUCAAAUAUGAUCCACCAAGCAACACCACAUUUCCUCACAGCGUCUACUUGCUACCCCACUUAAAGAGCUUCCUCAACUGCGACUUAAGAAAAGCUAAGAUGAUUGCCAACCCAACUCAGGGAAGUGGUAAUGGGUUCGAGUUCGUGUUGAAAAAGUGGAAGCCCUACUAUUUUGCUUGCGGUGAACGUAAUGGCUUCCAUUGCAAGGUUGGCCUCAUGAAAUUCGCCGUAGUAUCGCCGCUCCGUCGCCGCCAUUGAUGGAUCACUUAAGCCUUCAGGGUAGAUGCAGUGCCUGUGUUUUUUCUUUCACUACCAUUUUUGUUCACGAUAACGUGUUGAAUGUUGAGCCUCUCUUUUUUAAUAUUGUUCAAUAAGUUAGAGGUUUGGGACCUUAGGGUUCAACUCUGGCCAUGUUAUUUUGUCUUUUUGCAGUAAUUUGUGAUUUCUUCUUUACAAAGAAAUACCAUGUUUUGUGUUUUGUUAACAUCUUGUUUUGGUUUCAAUUUAUUUCGUUUGGGGAUGUUUCAUUUGUGUCUUGCAACAUUCUUGACUUCACCCCAUGUAUGAGCUAACAUUGAUCCAAACGCUUGGAAUUGGGUCUAAUCGAAAAUGUCAAGACCAUUGACACUUAUUUUGAGCAAUGGGUAGAGCUUUCAUCAAGUCUGUAGAUAAUACAGAUUCAAACUCUUCCUCCUUUAAUAUUGGACCAUUUUACCAUUAAAGGCGCAUUUCCAAAUUUGUUUAUGGAAAUGGGUAAAUUUUUUCAUUAUUUACUGGAAAUGGCUGAUUUUAGUAAAACGCGUCCACGUAAAAGUGUUUUUGGGAGAAAUUUUAGCAAAACACGUCCUUGGAGAGCGAUUUUGCCAUGUCAGCACAAAAUGUGCCUACGUGGACGCGCUUUGCUGACGUUACAAAAUUGCUCCCCCUGGGACAUGUUUUAGCCUGUGUUUUUUUUCCCAACAACUAUUUAAUUUUUUGACCGUUGGGGGUCCAACGGUAAAAAAAAAAAUCCUAUAAAACCCCCUCCUAUUUUUUCACACAUUAUUUCUUCAAUUUUCUCUAAAAUUUCUCUCUAAAUUUCUCAAAGCUCUCUUUAAUUUUGGAAAAAAAGCUCACUUUAAUUUUUUUUUGAAUUGGUAUUUUUUAAUAAUUUCAAAAAUAUUUGGUCGUGUUAACAAUGACCGGGGAAUUAAUUUGUCUCGAUCAUGAACAUAUCUCUGUUGAACAAAUGAAAAUGGUAAGGGUUAAUUUUAAUUUUUCAAUAUUAUUUAAUAUUUUUUCAUUUAUGUAAUUUUAAUUAAUUUUUAUUUUAUAAUUUUUUAUAACAUUCUGUAGAUCGGGUGUUACAAUACUAUAUUCAUAAUAUGUCUGGUCCUCCAUCACCGUUGAUAGAGAAUUACUUGCAGGAAAUGGGUUUCUGGCACAUGGCCACUAUAGGCCGGGGGUGCAAGUUGGACCCGAAACUCAUCAGCGCGUUGAUAGAGAGGUGGAGACCCGAGACGCACACAUUUUAUCUUCCAUGCGGAGAGUGUACCAUCACUUUGGAGGACGUAUAGUUACAAUUGAGAUUGCUGAUGGAUGGGUCCGCACUCACCGAGUCCGUUCAAUCUGCUGAAUGGGGAGUCGUAUGUUACGAUCUUUUGGGUGCGAUCCCGAAUAAUAUUUACAGAGGUUGAUCGAUAUGGGCUGGUUACGAGACACAUUCCCAUUCCCGGAGCUGGGGAAUGAUUCGACUGAAGUAGAAAGAAUUCGAUAUGCUCGGACAUACAUUCUUGAGAUGAUUGGAGGUUGUCCAAUGUCAGACUUGUAUGCUAAAAAUUUAUAUUAGAUUUUACAAUUAUUACAUAGAUUUAAAAUAUAAUUGUAUGCUAAAAAUUUAUUUAAUUAGGUGGAACCAUUCGGCGAGUUAUGUUGGAAUACCUAUCGCUCUUGAAAAUAUACGACUUCUAUUAGACCAACGGUCGAAAGUGCAAGUAAGAUUAAAUAAAAUAUAUAUACAUAAAAUAGUCGUUCCAUGUUUAAUAUUUAGUAUUAUGUAUAUAACUAAUAUUUUUAUCAUGUUCAUAUAGUUUCAAGGGACACCAUACGAGGAUCUAGAAAUUUGGGCAAUAAUUUUGGAUGAAUUCUUUCAAAAUCUAAACAUUUGGCAUGUGAAAGUCCCAUUGGUCAACUAUGCUACCGUGGAGAUGCAUCAGAUGGAUAGAGUAUUGUGACAAUUUAGAUUUCAAGAACCGAUUCUCAUGUCACCUGAGGUGCUCGAUGAUGAGCACAAAAUUGACUUACGGCAAUCGAAUAUGAAUUGACAGGUGUUCUAGUUGGAAUAUAUCGAAAUGUGGGAAAUUUGGUAUAAUCAUAUACCUAUUCGGGAACCGAUCAUCGUUCCAGAGUUAGCGUGCGCGCUGGAUUACAUGCCAUGAUUUAGGAUCUAUGGCAAACCAUAUUUAUUGUCAGAAGAGCAAAAGCGUCGGUAAAUUUGUGUCGGAAAGGAACAACGGGGCCCUUUAAAUCUAAGGAGAAGGGAUGACGGCACGAGCCCAUCAACAGAGCCCUCACAAUCACUGGGCCCAACGCCUCAACCGAUGACACCCACAUCAUAACCUCUUCAGAUUAUGCCAGGUGCGUAUCCUAGCCCUUAUAUGUUUCCUUUUCCCAGCCCUAUGCUAGGUUGAAAUCCAUGGCCCGGUGCAUCUCAUUUCCUAAUGACUCUGACUCAACCGACGAUAUAUAAGCCGCCGUCGCAGGAGGGAUUGCACGAGGCAUCGUUAGGGAGCUCUUCUCAUUACCAAUCUUCAUUGCCUUAUAGGAUUCAAACACCUCCGCUGUGGGUGAUGCAAACGCCUCUGCAUUCUUUAUUCUAUCAAGGUGGGUCAUCCUCCCACAACCACAACCCUAGCCGGAGCAACCACAGCCCCCGUCGGAAGCUGAACCAAGGAGAAAUCCAGCGUGUAACCAUCGACGACCCCCAUGUGGCACUGAUUCUGACCGACACCAACUUUAAUUUUUUAAUAUAUUUGUACAAACUAUUUUAAUAUUGUUUCAUUUAAUAAAAUAAAAGUUAUUUUUAAUAUUUUAAUAGUAAUUUAUUUUUUAUAUUUUUAAUAAAAUAGAAAUAAUACAACAUAGUUUUAUUACAACAACUAUCAACUAUUUCGAUUUGGGCAUGAUCGAAUUGUAUGACCUGGUUCCUACACCAUCCGCACAACUUAUGUUGGUUCGUUCUUUCCCGGAUAUCCAUAUUGUUACGUAUUCUACUCGAGUAAGGUCAACCUUUUGGUUUGCAAUGCAAUUCUCUAUCCGGUAACAACUUAAAUGGAGCAAGUGAUACAGACAACCACUUACGUUCAUCUGGGACCGGUGGAAAUACGUGUCUCCACACAUUGUACAUGUAUUUUAUUUUAUACACUUCGUUGAUAUAUCUCAUGAGAUCCAAGCAGAGAUUCUGACAAGCUGCAAUUGUAUGAGCGCAUGGAUAAUGAAGUGCGUCAAACGUUCCACAGUUGCAAGUCCUAUUUCUCAGGUGUACACGAUAUUGCCUGCUUGUAAUACCUUGGUUUGGUCUGUCAAACUCCGUCACACGAAACCAUAGGUUGUCGCGAUCGUGACACACCAUGUGCAUGGUGUUUGCCUGCACAUUCGCAUUGUUAAUUUCUUGCAAUACCUUUCGGCACCAUACAUGGCCUCCCUACAUUUGACAUUUAUAACUCACUGCUCGCUUUGGAAAUAGUAUCGCUAAAUGAAAUAUGUCUCUCACACAAUCGAGGUUAUCGGUAAAUGACGCGUUCCUUUUAGAAUAAAAUUUAUGCAUUCAGGCAUAUUUGAGGUCAUAUGACCAUAUCGUAGGCCGCCAUCGUAUGCUUGUAUCCACUGUUUGAAAGGUAUGUUACAGAGGUAGUCUGCGCCUUGUUCGUUAACUGAACGCAAAAUCACCAACAUCUCAUGAAAACGGUCCUUAUUGAUCUCGUACCCUACCAAUAUAAGUUGAUAGCGAAAAUUAAAAUCCACUCUUCUAUUCAGAAUAAAUUAAAUAUUACAAAAAAAAUUAUAUUAAUAGAGAUCAAAUACCCAUGUUGGUCACUUGCCGUCGUUCAGUGGUAGACCGGUAUUGCCCAUAGUAGUUGGAUGCAAUGUGCCUUAGAAAAUACCGAUAGUGUGUGCGAUCCCAUAGGCUUCCCUGUCACUCAAUUGCGGCUAGUAUUCCAAUGCCUCAAUCUGAUAUAACGUAGAUAUCAAGUUAGGGGCAGAUAUACCUCAUUAACCUAGAAAUAAAUAAAUCACAGUCAUCACCUGACUCUCCCAGUGUUAUUGCAAACGCAAUUAGAAGGAUUCUCCCACCGCUAUCCUGUGCCAUAGCUAGAAAUAGCUGAUGGGUAUAUGUACCAUACAUAAAGGUAUCGCCAAUUUGUACCAAUGACUUGCAGUACAAAAAUGUAUCCCACAAUUACUUAAAGCUCUAGAUCAGACACUUGAACACUUGACAUCCACGGAGCAAUCGGUCGAUGUAGUACAAAAGUGUCGUUUCAAGGUCUGUUAUGCAACCUGAGACGUACCUCUCUAGCUCCUGACACCACUGCCACACCUCAUUAUAUGAAGCUUCACACCUACUAUACAUCUUUUUUAACGCCUUCUGCUUAGCUAUCCAAGCUUUAUGGUAAGAGGGCGUGUACCUCAAUUGGCUACGAAUAUUGGCAAUUAAGACCGAUAAUGAAGUCCUGGGAUCUGCCCUCACCGUCGGUAGUAUUAAGCUAGCUAACAUAUCUGAAUCAAUCUUAGGAUGAUCUUGUGAAACACCUGCCAACGAAGUACGUUAAAUAAUGUAACAUUAUGUAAUAACAGUAUUAUUCAAAAACCCUAAACACCCAGCGAUACUGUACUAGCAACACAUGUAUGUGGACCUUUGUACUUUUUUAUCUCCUACAAGCCUGUCUUUUUCCAAACCAAAAUCAUGAUUUUCCAUGAACAUGUACCGUCUUGCACUGCAUACUUGGCCCCGAACUUCUCAGAUUUAGAUUUAACCACGUUCAUGAUGCUAUGUUAUUUCAAUGCACCAAGGAAACUAUCCUUACUGGAAAACUCCUUACCAACUUCUAAUUCACCCGAAUCUAAUGAGGAACUUGUACGGUCACGCCGUCUGUGUGGUAGAUCUAAAAACUCCAACGCAUAAUCUGCCGAUAGAUCGACAUUAUGCAUAUGGGCUGAAGGUGAGUACGCCCUGAAUCGCGGAUCUUCUUCUUCAUCUGAACCCCAUUCAACAUCUUAAGGUUCAGUUGGAAUAAGCUUUAGUUCAGAAAAUAGUGCAACUUCUGCACCAUCAGGGCCGGGCUCUUGAGGUGGAUCCACAUUAGACUCAUCAUCCAACCCACCAUCAUCUGCAACAUAUUAGGUCCCUUCGUCGGUAGACGUCGUAGGGAGUAUAUCAUCCCUUCUUAUGGAUGUUUCAUAACAUCCCCAAUCAAAUGUGAAUUGACAACCACUAGAAAUUGAUGUCAUUCCCUAGUAAGUAUUUCUAGCAUCAAACAUCGACCCAUCGAGGUGCAUGUCCCAUCCACUAAUCGAGUGUUGUACAGGGGUUGUGUAUUCCAUACUGCUACCAAACACGGGCGCUUCCGUGUUCUGCUUCCCACUAACGGAGUGUCAGGCAGGGGUCGUGUAUUCCUUUCAAACAGCAGUAGAUGUUGAAGUCGCAAAUGCUCCAUUUGGCGAUGAAAAUUGUACAUAUAACUCAAGAUAAGGUGAUUUACUAGCGAGAUGACUCUGCACCAUAGUUUCCAAGCUACGACCACCUUUGAUAUCAAAUGAGUCAUAUGUCACGGGAUUAACCGAAGCAUAAAAUUGAUACUUGACAAACAAAACUCUUAUUGGCGUCGUUUUGAAGAUUUUUCGCCUAAUUCUUUUACGAAGUUCUGUCAAAUCUAUGUUCUGGUUAAAAAUAGUGAAGUUGUGUUUUUUGAUAAAAAAAUGUCGUUCUCGGUGUCACGGACCUUAUUAUCAUAGUAAAUAACAACACUAAUACGUUCAUUUAUCUUCAAUUUUUAUUCUACUUAGCCUCAAUUUUUCUUGCUGUAACUUAUGCAACAUGAGAAUGAAUUUUGACUCAUUUAUAGUCUAAGGCCAAACAUGAACUACUGUAGAAAAAGAGAGUCCAUGUGGAAGCUUUUUUUAGUAAUUUUGCUGACAGUACAUCCUGCUUGAAGCAUAUUUGACACUAUUUAUUCAGAACCGUCUUCUCAAAAUUAUUUUUUAGGAACUAUUGUAGAAAAAGAGCGUCCACGUAGGAGCUUUUUUAUAUAAUUUUACUGACAGUGCAUCCUCUUGAAGCUUUUUCUACAUUAUUUUUUCAAAAACUACUGUAGAAAAAAAACAAAAGUUUUUAUAUUGUCAAUAUAAUUUUCCCUAAACCCUAAACACAAAAUUAUUUUAAAAAAUGAAACCUUAAUUUAAUUUAUUUAUUUAAAACCUCAAAAACGUAAUUUAAUUAAUUAUUUUUAACAAAACCCUAAACCCUAAACCUAUCAAAAACCUAAAAACCCUAGGGACUAAACAUGCAAAAAGCCCUAACCCUAGAAAAACAUGGGCUAAAACGCGUCCCUGGGGGAGCGAUUUUGCCAUGUCAGCAAAGUGGGUCCACUAGGCAUGUUUUGUGUUGACAUGACAAAAUCGCUCCCGUAGGGAUGCGUUUUGCUGAAAUUUCCCCCAAAAACGCUCCUACGUGGACGCGUUUUGCUAAAAUCGGCCCUUUCUGGUAAAUAAUGAAAAAAUUGGCCCAUUUUCGUAAAUAAAGUUGGAAAUGGGCCUUUAAUGAUAAAAAAUGUUUAAAAUGACUCGCAAAUUUUUGAAGAUUGUGAGUUUGAAUGGAUUAAGGCACCUAAUGCCCUCGGAUGAGUAUAAAUAUAAAUAAUUUAAGAUUUGGGGUUAAGAGUAAAUUAUAAAAUGAGCUUAUAUUGAGAAGUUAGUUCAUCUACUUUAAUUUUUCAGAAUUUGAUUCUUGUACUUUACUUUAUGAGAAUUGAACAAUUAGUCCAAUUGGAUGGCAUUGUUGAACCUUGCCAUUAAAUGUGACAUAGAAAUCAACAAUUCAAUAAUUUAUAUGCAGUUAAUUACAAAAAUCAACAAUUUAAAUUCAUAUAUUUAUCAACAAUCUAAUUAACUUCUCGAUUUUUAUAAAGUGAAAAGGACAAAUAUUGAGAAAUUAAAGUAAAAGAAAGUAAAUACUAAAAUCCAAUGAGAGUCAAAAUUAAAAUAUUUCAAAAAAGAAAAUAGAUUAUUAAAUAUAUUGGUAUUUGUCUAAUAACAAAGUUAUAUACUUUGGGGGGGGGGGGUUGAAUAUAAUCAAAAAGUACUUAAACGAUGAGGUAAAGAAUGUUGAGAUUCACCUAACUUCUUUAAUUCCCACCUAAAAGCCAAAAGCCAUUCAAUAAAAAAAAAUUCAUCUGGAUUGACAGAUGAAAUUGAUUGAAUGAGAAAAUUUCAAGAAUAUUUUAAUUUAAUGAGAAUUAAUAUAAUAUAGGGUUAUCUUUAUCUUAAUAUAUUAUCUCGGUCUCAACAAUAUUAUAUUCAGAUCGUAAAAUAGUUGAGAAUACUUGUGGUUAUAUACCCCAAAAAAUUUAUCUUUAGUAAUAAGAUUAUUUUUAGUACAUUAUUGAAUAUGUUAUAGUAUUCUAUUAUUUGAUUUAUUUCGUUAGGAUAUAAGAUUAUAUUUGGUUCAUCUGGUUGGAAUGUAACAAUCGUCCUUGUACUAUACUUUGGAUUGCAUUUUGGUCCCUCCAUCGGAAAAAUGAGUAUAACGGUUCCUAUAUGUUGGAAAAAAAUAGUCCGUCCAUUAAAAUUGUGCUGUCAAAUGCUUAUUUUGGUGUUUUUUGUAUAAGAUAUAAUAAUAAAUUUAAGUAUAAGGUAUAAUAAUAAAUUUAACUCUUAACCUUUCCUACUCUUUUUAUUUGAAGCAAAUCUUCCUUCAAUCUUUCAUUUCUGAUGUGACACUAUUUUAUCUAAUAUAUCAUGUUAAAAAUUAUACUUAAAUACAAUACAAAAUAUUUUUAAAAUAAGUUAAAACAUGAAAAUUAGUGUAACAUUUUUGAGGUUUGGGAUUAGUAUCAACCAAAUAUAUUUGUACAUGAAAACAUCUAUUUAUCAAUAUUCUUAAUAAUAUUUUCUAAAAAAAAUCAAUAUUCUUAAAAUUCUCAAUUGUACACAAUUGAGUUUUUAUCGCUUGAUUCGCCUAUGAUUCAACUAUAUAUCAAUAAUUGAAGUAUAUAUCAGUUGUAUUUAUAUAUAAUAAACGUGUGCGUACCUUUAACUCGGUUACAACAAACCCAUCAUUAAUCAGAUUUAAUUUUAUAGGGUGCGACUCGCAUUUAUCGAAAAGUUUACAAACAUUUAAGACAACAAUCAACGAUCAGUAGGAGAAGGACCAAAAUAGGCCUGGCGUCAUGACGAGCAGGUAGGGCUCGUCGAGACAACGCGAUGUAAAGCCCAGACAAAUCUGGCAUUGACGUCGUGACGAGGAGAGUCGGCACGUCACGACAUGCUCUCCUAUUUGGUAACUGCGUUAUAGACUUCAAUCGGGGUUGCUUCUUCCAGCUGGACUCUAAUUAUUUUAGGAAUAUUUUAGUAUGAUUAGAACUUUAAUCUAAGUCUAUUUAAAGGGGACAUUGUAUUCCUGUUUUGACACGUCAAUCAGUAAGGGCUUUUCUUGAGGGCGGUAAGAUGUAGCCGUAGAUUAGUUUUGGUGAGAAUUUUCGUGGUAACUAUGGAGAGAAUUUUGUUUCGGAGUGAGGGCUUUGUUUUUGGGGUCUGGGUGAUGUACGUUUAGUACAUUUAAGAUUAUUCUCUCCAUAUUUUACUUUCAUUUGUUUACUCAUUUAGUGAAAAGCCAAAGCCUCCUUUGUCCGAGGUUUUUAUCAUCUUCGGAAGAGUUUUUCACGUAAAAUAUUUGUGUGAUCAUUCUUCUCUAUUUUACUUAUUCAUUUAUACAGGUCAAUCUCCAACAAAUUUAUCUGUGUGUAAAUCUAAAUUCAAGCUUUAUAAACUUAGUCGUCAAUUUUGUGGAACUCAUUGAUGAAAAAGAAAACAUAAGAACAACGUUGAAUUUUAGUUCACAUUUUUUUAUUUUUUUUUAAAUUUUAUUAUUUUGUGAUUACUUAGGUAUGUAUAAUUCGAUCUUAAAUCAAUAUUAAAUGAUUUAAAUUUCGUUUCAAUUAAAAUUUUGAUAGGUUUCAACCAUUUUUAUCUAUUUUAACUAAUAUUGUAUGAACUUUUAAUAUUUUAUACUGAAAUUUCAUAUUUAAGGGAAUUUUUUUAGAUGCAAGUUACUUAAGCUUUUAUUUGGUUACCAAUUAAAAUUUAAACGAAAAAUAUUAUCGUAAGUUUUAUUUAGACAAAGUUAUAAAGUAAGGUGGGUGAAAAUAAUUAUGUAAUAUAUUUAAUUAAAAUUGACUUGAAAAUUAAAUAAUACUUUAGUUGAAAUGGUAAAGUUAAAGAGAGCAAAUGUUAUGAUAUCUUGGGACCUUGAUAGCAUAACCUUUUGUAAAAUUAGAGUCCAAGUUACAUUUCAAUCAGAGACCGUAUAAUCACCGUUGGACCUUGAGUUGCAACGCGAUUCAGUUUUUCGGGUGAUGGCUCCAUGCUCACAUGCCAGAUGAAAUUCGUAGGUCACCCAAAGUCACAACACCACCGUAAAUUCAAACAUACCUUAAAAUAAUAAUAAUAAUGUCUAUCUCAAAUACGGGAAAAAGAUAAAUUUACAAGCUUCUAAUUUCAAACCGUAAGAAAAUAAAUUAGUAAAGUGAAAACGCAUCGCGUUUUUAUGAAAUAAAAGAAAACGCAUUCUACAGGACGCGUUUUCCUUACUAGAUCAAUGAAAACAUGCCUUAUAAGACACAUUUUUUCUUUUUCUCUUCAAAAAUAGCGUAAAUAGGAAAAUUUUCAAAAAAAAAAACUAGUUUCUUCAUUGAUACUUUUUCAACAUAUUUACAUAAUUUUGCCCUAUUAUUUGUCUUAUGAAAUCAAGCUAUUCUUCCCAAAUGGAUUUGGAAAUAUGCCAUUGAUGCCAACUCUCUCUUACGCAGAAUAGUCAUUUCAAAAUAGGGAGUUAAUCUUUAAAGUGGUUGCCAUGACAGAUGAAAAAGUUAAAAUUUUGUUAAUUUUGUUGACGUGACAUUUAUGUGAAAAUUCAUAUAUAUGUGAAUUUCUUAAAAAUUUUAAAAUAUAUUUUUAAUUUUUAUACUUUUUCUUUUCUAAUUUUUUAAAUUAUUUUUUUAAAAUUUUUUAUAUUUAAAAAAUUAAUUGAUCUUUAAUGUAACAAUCAAUAGUCAACAAAGUUAACAAAUGUCAAUUCUUUCAUCCAUUUUUGGGAGAUUUAACAAGUAGUGCAAGUUUAAAAGUUAAAAGAAGUGAAAAAUUAAAUGAAGAGCUAAAAUGAUUUUUUUAUAAAGUUAGAGAAUUAAAUAAGUUAUUUUACCCUAUGUAAAAGUAAAAUUAAUUACUAGUUUAUUAAUUAUUAUGUUCAAGACAAAAAUAUUUAUAAUUAAUAAAAAUUAAUUACUAGUAAUUAAUUUAAAUAGUCCUUAAAAAUAUAAAAAUAACAAAAAUAAAUCCUUUUCAAAUUUUAUUCUUUUUUAAAAAAUAAUAAACUCAAAAAAUUAUAUGAGGAAAAUUCUUGAGGGAUAUAUUUGGAUAAUUUAAAUAAGAAAUUUUUAUAUUUUAUUAUUUUUAAAAGGAUAAUAAUUUUUUUUUAAAAAAUUUAUUCUUAUAUUUUUAAGGGUUAUUUAAAUUUAAUUUUAAAAUGGAGUAUGCCUAAUAUGUAAAUAGACAUUUAAUUGGUGUCCAACAGGAAUGGCGUCACUCCUAUUUUUUUAUCUAGUUUAAAAAUGAUAAUUGCUUCAUCAGGUGUUUGAACGUUUUAUAUAAUUAUUCUUCAGUCCGAUGUCACCAAUAGUAAUGAUGUCACCCAAAAUAUAUAUAUUUUAAAAACUACCGAUGACAAUAAGUCACCGACAUUUACCGUUUAAAAUGAGUUUCAAAAUAAGUUAUUUUUAUAAAUAAUUAAAAGUUUGGGGUAUUUUUAAUAAAAAAGCCUAAGUUUGAUGAAUGGCGUAAGCCAUUAUGUAGGUCUACUUAAUACGAAAACGAGGGCUAGGUUUUGUUGGCCGAAAGGAAAGUACCUUUUGGGUUUUGCUUUGCCCAAAUGCUAGCAAAGUCUUUGCAUGCAUUUGUUUGAUUGGAAAAGUGAGAAAUAGAUGAACAUGGUAAGCACAAAUUCUAGACAUUACCAUAUCACCUAUAAAAUUUGGUUAUCGUUUUAUAUGCUAUGCCUAGAACAAAGCCUUCCUCUUUGGCCACAAAAUAGGCACUACUUUUUAGUUAUUAAAUUAUUAAAUUUGAAUACUUUCUCAAAUUUAAUUACAAUUAGUAUUCCUGAUCUAAGUUUAAUUUCUAUUGUGCAGAAUCUAUUAUAUGGUAAAUAUAGAGUAUAUUUUUAAAUUUAUGGGAAAUUUUUUUUAAGGAUCCUGAAUUAAGAGGAAAGAAAAUAAAAGAAUUUUAUUAAGACAUAUUUAAUAAAACACACUUAAUAUUUUUAUUGAAAGAUUUUCAAUGAUCACAACUGAAAAUUCUUUCUCCUUAUAUAGAGAAAUCUUAGUCUUCUUGAAGAUAAGAAGAAAUCAUCUGACUUACUAUCGACACUCUAUUAUUUUUACAGUACUUUAUUAAAGUAUGAGAUAAAAGGUAUCUCAUAGUCCAUGACUCAAAAAAUAAAAGACAAAGGUACAUAGUACAUGACUCAUAAUCUCAUAUAUAAACAAGACCUAGAACAAGGCCUAAAACAAGAUAAAUUUCUAACAACGCCGUGAUUAACACGACCUGAAUCAAAUCAUAUCUUAGUAAAGAGAAAGGGUUAUUUUAAUUUUUGUUUAUAAAAAAAAAUCUUGUUCAUUGAGGGCCCUAGUAGGAGGUAUUGAAUAAUAACUUGAAGUCAAAUCCUGCACGCUUCCCAUUUCUGUGUAUUGAAUUGGCUGUAAUUUUCAGAGAAAAAUAUACUGAAUAAAUGGGACAAAAUGACAUGAACCUUGAAGAGGGACGAGUGUAGUGUCUUGAUGCGAAAUGUGUUGAGUGUCACCAUUCAAAACCCACAUUACCAUAACAGAUGCAAAAUCUGAUCGGUGAAGAUAAGAAAAUGGAGACCAUGGGAAAUCUUCUAGUCCUGUUUACAGCUUCUUUAUGCCUCUACCUUUUCGUUGCUUUGCUCAAUGUUUUCUACAAGUAUUGGUGGAUACCUCAACGGGUACAGUUCAUCAUGAAUUCGCAAGGAAUAAGAGGAUCUCCUUAUGAAUUUAUCCAUGGAAACAACAAAGAAGCUGCCCCAAUGCUCAUGGAAGCAUCUACCAAACCUAUGACCUUGACGCACGAUAUAUUUCCCAGAGUCAUGCCUCAUGUUUACUCCUGGAUCAACAAAUACGGUGAGAAUAUCUUUUUUUUUCUUUUUUGGGUAGUAUUUUCUGAUUAAUCUCCAGUUUCCAUGAAGAGAAAUCAUUUUCUUUCAGGGAAGACUUAUCUUAGUUGGAAUGGAAUUCGAGGUCAACUGCUAAUUACAGACCCAGAACUGGUCAAAGAGGUCCUUAAAAACAGUGACAAAGCUUUUCGAAAGCCAAAGACUUCAUAUUUCUUCGACAAGCUAAUAGGCGAUGGGCUUGCUUCAACCGAACGUGAGAAAUGGGCAAGGCAAAGGAAACUGGCCAAUUAUGCCUUUCAUGGGGAGAGCUUAAAAGUAAAUCAUCUCUACCUUCUAAUCUAAUUAUUGUAGUGGGACAUUUACAAACUUGAUCAUUUUUUGCAGAAUAUGACUCCAGCAGUAGUUGCUAGCGUUGAAACCAUGCUUGAGAAAUGGAAAAGUAAGGAGGGCAAAGAGAUAGAAGUGUUCCAAGAGUUCAGAUUAUUGACUUCAGAAGUGAUAUCCAGAACCGCCUUUGGUAGCAGUUACUUGGAAGGGGAGAAGAUUUUUGACAUGUUGAUGAAGUUGUCAGUAAUUGCAGGCAGAAAUAUUUUUAAAGCAAAGAUUCCCAUCGUCAGGUAACUUCAUCAAAUCUUUACUUUGUUAAUCAACAUACUUCAGCUUACAAUGGGUUGAUUUAAUCUGGUUGUCCUUUUCAGCAAGUUUUGGAAAUCUGCUGAUGAAAUUGAAUCAGAAAGAAUUGCCAAAAUGAUACAUGAUUCUGUGAUGAGGAUUGUUAAAAAAAGGGAAGAGACAGUAGUGAACGGAGAAGCUGAUAACUUCGGUCGUGAUUUUCUGGGAUUACUUGUAAAUGCUUAUCAUGAGGCGGACCAGAAAAACAGGCUUUCGAUUCAAGAUAUGGUAGAUGAGUGUAAAACUUUUUAUUUUGCUGGGCAAGAAACAGUCAAUUACUUGCUUGCAUGGGCAACUCUGCUUUUAGCAAUACACACCGAUUGGCAAGACAAAGCAAGAGCAGAGGUGAUUGAGGUCUUUGGUAAUCAAAACCCAGAUUCUGAAGGGAUGGCCAAAUUAAAGACGGUAAGCAAACUAUACAAAUUCAAUAGCUUGAAAACUACCACUGACCAUUUAUAUUGCCUUUGUUCAAAGGUGGCAACUGCAGCAGCAACAUGCAAGAAACCAUGCAAAACUCACGUUGCAUGCAUGGAACCAGGAACUCAGCAGAAGCAUGCUAAAGUCCAUGGUGUAAUUUGACAGUAGCUUUGUUUAUUCAGUUGACUUUUUUGUUAGGCUAUGGUGUAAUUAUUAUUUGCUUUGAUCAGCUAAGGUUAAAUGUGUGCUUAGCCGAUUUAGUAGUCAAUUUUAGGUUGUCAUUUUGUUGAUGUAAACCUUUAGUUACUUGCACAAGCAAGCUUUGUUUUCUUUCUAUGUAUUUUGAUCUAUUUAUGUAAGCAACUAUGUUCUUAUUCGGGUAAUGAAAAAAACACUUUGUUCAUUCAUUUUUUCAGCUUGUUUUGCUUCUGUUUUAAGCUUUCAAACACUUAAACAUUUGAUUUGUUCUUUUGAACCUUGUUGCUAAGUUAAAAAACCAACAGCCUUUUGGAUUGUUUUUUUUUCUCCAACAUAUUAUCAUGAUUAUCAAUGAAACUUUACGGCUCUAUCCUCCUAUAAGUGGCGUGAUAAGAGAAGUAGGAAGAGAAGUCCAAUUAGGAAAACUUGUCCUGCCUACUCAUUCAGAGGUCGACAUGCGAAUCAUAGCACUUCACCAUGACCCUUACUUAUGGGGAGAUGAUGUUAAUCUUUUCAAACCCGAGAGGUUUGCUGAAGGGAUAGCGAAAGCUACUAAGUACAAUGCAGCUGCAUUUAUGCCUUUUGGAUUGGGACCUCGAUCUUGCGUUGGCAUGAGCUUUGCAAUCACUGAAGCGAAAACUGCACUUUCCAUGAUUCUGCAACGCUACACUGUCACCGUCUCCCCUACCUAUGUUCACGCACCUGCACAACGUCUUACACUCAAGCCACAACAUGGGAUUCAGUUGUUGUUUCAUUCACUACAUUAUGAUGCUUAAAAUUCUAGGCUGUUGGUCUCCAAUAUAGAAAUAUAUAGUAAAAUGUGGAUGAUACUGUAUUUUGCAACCAUACGAUUAUAUAUGGUUUGGGGAUUUCAUGUUUUGGCAACAAGAUUAUAUGCUUUUUUUUUGUUGUUGAUAUUGUUAGAGGUUAAAAAGGUAUUACAGCAAACAUCGCCACCACUGGAGCAGGCCCUACAGUCCUGUGAAUAACAUAAUCAGCAACAAAAUAGUCCACCAAAGAGAAAUCAAUUCAAACUAGCCAAAAAACUGGAAUGGCAGCAGCAAAUCCAGUCAGCUCCCUGAACAUCAUACAGAAGCAAGAACAUCACAACCCAGUCAUAUACACGCCAUGAAGACAUUGGACUCCACAUUUUGCUAAAGUAUCAGCAAAGCAGUUAGAUUCUCUAUAUACAUUCACAACGGAGACAUUAUGGGAUCUCAUCACACAGCUUGGUAAAUGACCCAUCCAGCAUUUGAGAAAUAGUGAAGAUGUCAAGUCCAGGAGCUCCAAACAAUGCCUCAGCUGGUGGAUCCUUAAUUAGGUGUCUUUCUUCCAUUACUACUGCAGUAGUGAAGUUUUUAUUCCACUUGGUUCCCUUCUUCCAGAAUUUCUGCUUGAAACACUCACUCCUGGAGCCGGCCAUUACAUUGCUUGUUUAGCUUUCAUGGAAGGCUCGAAGCUCAUUAGACCAGAAACAUUGUUCCUUUGCCUAUGUAUCUUUUUGACAUAUUCUCUUCAGGAAGAGCUACUUAUAUCAAGGCUCCAUCUUUCUGAGUUGCAGGGCAAAAGUCCGUUCUCCAUGAAAAACUACCCAUUUCCACUAAAGCAUACUAGCUUUCGCCAUCCCAUCCUCGAAAAAACCUGAAAUGAUACACCAGAAACUCCCUCAAGACAGAGAGCCAAGUCACUUUCUAGCUAAUCCCCAUUGAACCCUCCAAUUAAGCAAAGCCAUUUCAUAUUUCAACCCAAUGGGCACCACAAUUGCCGCACAAAAUUUACAAAUUAAAAUGCAAAAAGUAAUACAGAAAAAUACACAGUCCAAGCUCCAAAAUGCAAGAAAGUCUGAGCCAAAAUUUAGAUUCCAUUUAAAAAACUUGAAUCUAAUUCAUUUUUAAUUUUGUAAUAUAGUACAUGUAAUGGGCCUAUUUUGCCCGGGCCCAAACCAGGCCAGGAAAAUAAACACAAAAAAAUAAAUAAAAAUCCUAAAAAUUAACAGUUUAUCAGUCCCAAAUUACAAAGCCCAAAAAAAAUUAAAAACCCUAAUAGCCCAAAUAGCCCAACACCCCAUGUGCGCCGCACCCAUCUGCUGCCACCCUCGAUCACGCUGCCCGCGCCUCAUCUCGAGGCCCGACACAUUGCUGCCGUCGUUUCACCAAAGAAGCAAGGAGCCACCUGCUCCCCUCCGUUAAUGCAUGCAAACAAGCAAAAAAGAGCAAUAGCAGAAACGAAAGCAAGAACAAUAGCAAAUAGUAGCAAAAAAAUAAUGUAAACUGGCUGUAAAAGCCACCACUACCAGUUUGUAAUUUUUACACACAGACAUUGAUUCUAAAUACAAAAAGAAGUUUGAAACAGAUUCAAAGAAAUCAAGGUGCUUUAUUUAUUUAUUUUUAUUCGAAAUAAACAAACAAAUACAUAAUAUUGAAUAAGUAAAUAAAGGGUGAAAUCUAUUACCUUUAACGCCGCGGUCGGAGGCUUCUCCGGUCUUGAGGGUGGCUGAGUCAGUGGGCUCGCCGAAAACCCCACCGGCGGUGAUUAGGGAAUCCAAAAGGAGUGGGUUUUGGCAUUUCCGGCCACCGUGGAUGGCGGCACAGUCGCCGAUGGUCGAUGGCCGGACUUUAGGGAAAUUUCAGAGAAAGGGAGAGCAAAUUUCUAUUUUUUUUCUAGGAGGGCUGAAAUGAGGAUUAAAAAAAAUUUUUGGCUUAAAUAGCCCAAAUGAAACAGUGCCGUUUCAUUCCUCCCUCAAAUGCCCAAAACGGUGCCGUUUUGAGGGAGCCGACCUGAGAACCGACCCUUACAGAUGGGAUCCGCGUGUUCUUGCGGUGAAUGGGCUAUUUCGUACGCGGUUCUUCUGCGUUUGCGACACUUUGCAAUUUAGUCCACACUUGUUUUUUUUAUUUUUUAAUUUUGCAGUAUAAUUUUAUUUUUGUGUGUAACAGCCCGAAUUUAGGCCUAGUCAGGAUAGUGGUUUCGGGACCACAAAUGUAAUAUUUUCAGAAUUUCUACAGUAAGAUAUUAUCCUUGGUACAGUAAAAUAAGGAAAUGAAGUGAUAAAAAAAAAGAAGGAAUUUUGAGUUAUGGCAACAUUGGGAAGUAUAUUAUAACAUGAUAAUUCAAGAAAGGAUUAAAUCGCAAAAGUGCGAAAAGUUUUGUUGCCCAAGAGUAAAUACUCAAAAUUUGAGGGGUUAAAGUGUAAAUAUAAAAAAGUUCAAGGACCAAAGGUGUAAAUAUUUUAAGGGUGGAAUGAUCUAGAAACUAAGGAAAAUGGAUGGAUUAGGACCAAAUUGAAAAAGGUGAAGAAUUUUGAGGGACUAAAUCACAAUUUUACCAAAUUAAGUGAUGACUCAAGAAUGAAAUUUUAAAAGAUCAUGAAGGGCGAAAUGGUCAAUUAAUAAGUGAGAGAAAUCUAGAAGAUAAUGAUGAUGUUGGAGAUAUUUUAGAUUAAUUAAUUAAAUAUUAGUUUAUUAAUAUUUUAAUUUGAUUUUUAAAUGAUAUUUUAUUAUUUUAUUAUUAUUUUAUUUAGUAUAUAUAUAAGAAAAGGAAGAUGAAGAAUCAUCAUCUUUCCCCAUGCAUUCCAACGUAUGAAGAGAAAAGAAAGAAAGAAACUUUCUUUUCUUUACAAUUUGGUCCUCUAACCAAAAAUCCUCCAUUUUCACUUUGAAAUCAAACAAAUUUCCAUAACCACCAAGAAAGAAAAUUGAUAUGGAGACAAUGGGGAGAUAGAAUAUCAAGUUAGAUUCAAGAAAUAGAAGCUGGAGGAGAGAGAAAAUCAAGUUAAAGAUUGAAAUCAAUAGCACAAUGUAAGAACAUCAAUAUUUCAAUAUAUUUUUAAGUUUGAUAUUAUUGAAAAAGCAUGGAAUUAAUGUUAUAGUAGAGUUUUCUCAUAUAAAUUCUUAUGUUCUUGAUAUAUUAGUGAAGAGAAAUAAGUGAAAGUGAUGAGAAAUAUUAUAGAGAAAGGGAAUAAGGGAGUUAUACACCUAGUAAUCAACAUUUUGCACUAAAACAGUUUUGGACAGCAGCGGUAGGUUAACUUUGAAAAAUCACCAAAAAUUGUGGGAAUUGAAUUAUAGAGUGAAUAAAAUAUAAAAUUAAAUAUUAUUGAGUCUAGUUUCUCAUAGAAUAAAUGGUGUAAGUAAUGGAAUUGUAAAUUAUGAGAUAUAAAAAAUUUUGUGAGACAAUGUCAGAAUGAUUUCGGGUUCCCCUGCUCUGAAUUUGUAAAAUCAUAAAAAAAUGAAGAAAAAUAACUAUGAGUUAUAAUUUAUAUUACUAUAAUAAUUUAUGAGUAUAUUUUCAAAGGAAACAAACGAAAACAUCAUCCUAAUUCUGUACAAUUAGAUAAUUCAUUUUUAGUGAAGAGUGGUCGAAACUGUCAGACAGCAAAAUAGGGGAAACUUUAAAAAAUACUGUACUAUUUGGCUAAACCAGAAAUUCUGAAAAUUUUAUAGUAAGAAGAUAUGUGGGUGUAGUUUCAGAUAAAAUUAACAGAUCUUAAUUUGGAAGUCUAUAUCUCCAGAUAAAAAUAAUUUAGUGACUCUGACUCGGAUAAACAACUUUGAAUAUACAUGUGAGUGAAUAGUGAAAUUAUAGUUAAUGUUGUUUAAGUGUGUUAUACACAUUAAGGAUGUGGAAUAAAGAGGAGGAGGAGGAGGGAAAUAAAUAUAUGAAUAUUAUGCUAGCAUGGGUUUUCAUUACAAAUGGUUAAUUUGCAUGAUUUGGGCUUCGAGACUAAACUGAAUAAAAAUAAAACUUUAGGGGCAAUUUUGGAAAAAAUGUCAAAAAUGACCAAAUUGCAUGAAAUGAGUUGUUUUAUUAAAAGAAAAAUUAAUUUAGAUCAAGAUCGGGUAGAAAAUCGAGAAAAAUGGAAAAUUACCAAAAUGCUCUUAUAUCUUGGUAUUUCUGCAAAUUAGCCUGGUAAGUUCAUAUGGCUAAAAUUUUAAUGAUUAAAUGUCAAUUUAAUGAAUUAUAUAGUAUAUGAUGAUAUAUAUUUGUUGAUGAAAUGAGAAUAAAAUAAAAAUGCGAAAACCUAAUAAAUGAUCAAAUUGAGCGGAACGCCGGAUUUGAGUACUUCUGAUCAGUGACAAGUGAUAAGUAGUAGCUUCAACUACACUUAUCUGAUCAGUGACAAGUGACAAGUGAUAAGUGAUAGCUUUAGCUACAGUUAUCUGAUCAAUGACAAGUGAUAAGUGGUAGCUUUAGCUGCACUUAUCUGAUCAGGGACAUGUGAUAAGUGGUAGCUUUAGCUACACUUAUCUGAUCAGGGACAAGUGAAAAGUGAUAAAUACGAUCCGUGUAAGACCGUGGCAGGGCUACGGCUUCGGAAAGUGAUAAGUGAUCAUACGCAAGACCAUAGUAAUACUAUGGCAAAGUGGAAGUGAAGUACUCAAUUUUCCGUAACUGUUCCCUAAUUUGAUUAAGGAUGGUAAGUGACAAAUGGUCCUAAAAGAAUUAUAGUAAAUGGAUAAGUGGUAGUGAAUUUAUACCGGGAUGAUGAGUUCAAUCGAUGUUGUUAUAUAAGCUAAAAUGAUAUUUUCAUUGCAAAAAUUGAGAACUUCAUAAAUGUAUUAAUGAAUGGUAUAAUCAAUUAAAUAUUGAGUUAAAUGAUAAAUACGCAUUAGUAUUGAACUUAAUGAUUUGAAUUGUGAACAUGAGAAAUUUGUGAAUUGAAUGAAAUGGAAAUGAAGCAUUGAAUUAUUAAGACUUGUGAAUUGCAUGAAUAUGUAUCAGGUCUCAUAUACCCUAUUUAUUAUGAUUAUAAUAUUUUGAGGAUAUAUUAUGAAUGGUUAUAAAAGCAUGUUAAUAAUUUUGAAAGUUUUAAUUUAGAUAAAAUUUUAUAACUCGGUUAAAUACGUUUACAAGUGUAUGUGUUCUAGUAAUACCUCGUACCCUAUUCCGGUGUUGGAUACGGGUAAGGGGUGUUACAUUAUGUCACUUUGGUCCAUAUUGAAACAGUGCGUUCGGAGGACUGGGAAUAAUUUCCCAUCUGGUCCCCGCCCUUUUUCAGCGCGUUUUAGUUGGUCCUUUACUUUUUUCUUUUUUUUGUAAUUUAUGCCUUUAAAUUCCAUUCAAAUUUCGAUCUAGUCCCUUUUAUGUUUAUUCAUCUAUUUUAUUAUAAUUUAGACUCUAAAUUUUAUUUUAAUCUCAAUUUAAUCCUUUAUCCGCUUAAUUUCAAGCUUUUAUUUAUUUAUUUAUUCUUUUUUUGUUCUGUUUUAUUUAUUUAUUCAUAUAUUCAUUCAUUUAUCUAUUUCUUUACUUUUCUUGUACUUAGAAUUUAUAUUGUUAUUUAUUCAUUUAUUUAUACAUUUCAUUAUCAUUAUUGUUUAAUUCACUUUUGUUAUUUUUAGUAUUAGAAUAGUAGUUAAUAUGAUUAUUGUUAUUAUUAUUUGGUGUUAUUAUUAUAAUCACAUCAUUAUUAUUGUAUUAUACAUUACGUUUACAAAAUAUUUGUUCGCUUUCACACGAUGUUCGAAUAAAUUAAACACAUAUCUUAUUAAAUAUUAAAUUAAUUCUUACUCAAAUUCAAAAAAAGAAAAUUUUCAAAAUAAGGCAAUGUUUCGUUUUUGGAGAUUCGAGAAAUCGUACCCUAACUUAUGGGAUUUUGAUUUUCUCGUUGAACCUAAACGACAGAAUAUCCUUUUUUAGAUUAAAAUACAUAAGUUCUAAAUAAAAAUAAAGGCAAGCUCAUUCUCAAAGGUUCAAUGUGUCGUGUCCUAACGUACGGAAUGUGACAUUUUGCUAUCUCGAGACGAGAGGGUCUUUAAUGUUCGUUUCAACUUAUUCAAGCAUUUUUUUUAAAUAACAUUAAUAAAAAAGGGAUCGUAUUUUAAAUUUUCUUUCAAAUUUUCAACAUUCGACACUAAAAACACUAAGCAAUCAACUAGGUAUCGAUUUUGGGCGUAUCGAGGGUGCUAAUCCUUCCUCGUGCUUAACUGACUCCCGAACCCGUUUUCUGGAUUUUGUAGACCAAAAAUUAUUAUUUUAGUAAAUUUUAAACUUUUAUUAAAAUGAUUAAAUUAUGAGGUGAUCCGAUCACACCUAAAUAAAAAGGAUUGGUGGCGACUCCAUUUUCGUUUUUAAAUAAAAAGUCGACCUCUUUUUACAAAAAAAUGAUUUCAACAGUACAUUCACUACAAGAAAAAUAUGAAUUGUCAACAUUAAAAUUUUUUGCUAAAUGUUGUAUUACAGUUACUAAGAUUUUAUUGUAACAGCAAAAAAAUCGUUGUGAGGCCGUUGUGUAUAUCUCCAUCGUAUAAAAUAUGUACAACGAUUUUACAAAUUAAAAAGUCAUUUUAAUUAUAUAUAUUGCAACGACUUUUUUCGUUUUAAAAUGUAUAUAUAUUUUCUGUAACGACUUAAUUUAUUUGUCUAAAAAUGUUUUAGUUAUAAUAAAAUUUGUUAUGUUGACAUUUUUCUAAAAAUGUAUUGGUUAUGUUACAAAAAAAAUUACGUAACAAUAAUAUAUUGGUUAUUUGACAUUUUUCUAAAAAUAAGAUGCUAACAUGGAGUAUAAAAUACAGGGACUUUUCUAAAUUUGAGCAUAGUAGGGACCAAAAUCAUAAUUUGACAUUUUUCUAAAUUUCAGCAUUGCUUAUGUUGACAAUUUUUUUUAGUGUUGGGAGGGAUAAUUUUUUUAAAAAACAAUUAACAUUUGAACUAAUUAAUGAUAUUAUAAACAUAGAUGGAUCAAAUUCUAAAUUUGAGGGACCAAAACUAUAAUUGAACCCCUUUUUUCUUUACUAGCAUUGCUCAAUGUUUGUAAUUUUUGAGCAGUAUUCAAAUAUGAUCCACCAAGCAACACCACAUUUCCUCACAGCGUCUACUUGCUACCUCACUUAAAGAGCUUCCUCAACUGCGACUUAAGAAAAGCUAAGAUGAUUGCCAACCCAACUCAGGGAAGUGGUAAUGGGUUCGAGUUCGUGUUGAAAAAGUGGAAGCCCUACUAUUUUGCUUGCGUUGAACGUAAUGGCUUCCAUUGCAAGGUUGGCCUCAUGAAAUUCGCCGUAGUAUUGUCGCUCCGUCGCCACCAUUGAUGGAUCACUUAAGCCUUCAGGGUAGAUGCAGUGCCUGUAUUUUUUCUUUCACUGCCAUUUUUGUUCACGAUAACAUGUUGAAUGUUGAGCCUAUCUUUUUUAAAUUGUUCAAUAAGUUAGAGGUUUGGGACCUUAGGGUUCAACUCUGGGCCAUGUUAUUUUGUCUUUUUACAGUAAUUUGUGAUUUCUUUUUACAAAGAAAUGCCAUGUUUUGUGUUUUGUUAACAUCUUGUUUUGGUUUCAAUUUAUUUCGUUUGGGAUGUUUCAUUUGUGUCUUGCAACAUUCUUGACUUCACCCUAUGUAUGAACUAACAUUGAUCCAAACGCUUGGAAUUGGGUCUGAUCGAAAAUGUCAAGACCAUCAACACUUAUUUUGAGCAAUGGUUAGAGCUUUCAUCAAGUCUGUAGAUAAUACAGAUUCAAACUCUUCCUCCUUUAAUAUUGGACCAUUUUACCAUCAAAGGCCCAUUUGCAACUUUAUUUACGGAAAUGGGCUAAUUUUUUUAUUAUUUAUUGGAAAGGGCCAAUUUUAGCAAAACACAUCCACGUAGAAGCGUUUUUGGGGAAAAUUUAGGCAAAACGCUUCCCUGGGGAGCGAUUUUACCAUGCAGCGCAAAACGAGCCCAUGUGGACGCACUUUGUUGACGUGGCAAAAUUGCUCCCCUAGGGAUGCGUUUUAGCUAGUGUUUUUUCCCCAAAAUUGCUCCCCCAGGGAUGCGUUUUAGCCAGUGGAUGGGUCCGCACUCACUGGGUCUGUUCAAUCUGCUGAUUGAGGAGCCGUAUGUUACGAUCUUUUGGGUGCAAUUCUGGGUAAUAUUUACUGAAAUCGGAUCGAGAUGGGCUGGUUACAAGACAUAUUCCCGGAGUCGGGGAAUGAUUUGAAUGAAGUAGAAAGAAUACGAUAUGCUCGGGCAUACAUUUUUGAGAUGAUUAAAGGUUAUCUGAUGCCAGACUUGUCACGAAACCUCGUACAUCUGAGGUGGCUGUUGAAACUCGUUGAUUUUAGAGCAGCUAACAAAUUUAGUUGGGGUCUGCCGUGUUGGCAACAUUGUACCGGGAGAUGUGCGGGGCGACGCCACCAACUAAAGCAAAAAUCGGAGGUUGCCUAUCACUACUACAAUCAUGGGUUCGAUUUCGCUUUCCAUUAUUACGUCGUUGAGUGGACCACCCAUAUACAUUCCCACUCAUAAUAAGGUAAAAUUUAUAUUAGAUUUUACAAUUAUUACAUAGAUUUAAAUUAUAAUUGUAUGCUAAAAAUUUAUUUGAUUAGGUGGAACCAUUCGGCGAGUUAGGUGGAACCAUUCGGCGAGUUAUGUUGGAAUAUGUAACACCCCUAACCCGUAUCCGUCGCCAGACUAGGGUUUAGAGGCUUUACCGGACAUAUCGAAACAUUUCAUGAUCACUUUACAAUCAAAAGUCAUACAUCGACCUAUCAUAGUCAAACAUCGACAUAAUUCAUUUUAUAAAUGAGCGUAUAACAUUAUAUCCAUCGAUAUACAUCUAUAUCAUAUCGAAUUAUUGAUCAUACAUUUUAAUAACCUAUAUACAAACACAUACCAAACCAUUUCAUUCCAUAUCAUGAGGCAUUAAUAAUCAUUAUCUUAUAAAAUAUUACUUGACAUUACCACAUAGCCCCAAUGUACUUUUAAUACUACUAAAGUAUGCGAAUCACCAUAAUAUUAAUAGCUAUUACUGAACUCAAUUGCCUAACCAAACAUACCAACUUCAUAGGUAAAACAUCAUUCCAAAAUUACAUAUACUAUUCAAGCCCAUUUAUCUCUCAUUCAGCUAUCAAAAUUAACCACAAAUGUAGUACAAAUUUUCUUUACUCGAUGUUAAACCAAAACCUGUCAUUUCAUUACCAACUAGCCUUACUAAAUAUACACAUUAUACUAGCCCAAUUGUUUAACCAUUCAUCCAUGAGAAAUAUAUAUAUAUUUUUUACCUAUUAUUGCUGAAUAUAAAUAUACUUCACAAAUCAUAAUUCAUCUCACAUAGAGAGUGAAUCAAUUUUUAUCAUUUGUCAAAUAGAUUACAAAACAAUUUAUAUAACCAAAUAUAGAUACAUUUUAAACCACACCAAUAAACAAAUUCUCAUGGCAUUGCAUAAUCAUCAUAUAUCAAAAACAAUCACACUUGACAUUUACAUCACAUAAACCGAAUUAACCAAUGCAUCCUCAAUGAUAUAAUCAUCCCUUUUACUUAAUUAACCAAGCCGAAUCAUAUCAUCAUCUCACACCUAAAAUGACCCACCUAUCACACUUCCAAAUUAUGCCACUUAAUAGACCGAAUAUACCUAGCAUUUUACCUAUUUAAUCAAGCCAAAUCUCAAAACCAUUCCACACAUAAAUUAUACUACAAAUCAUACUUACAAGUUUAGCUAAUACAAGACCGAAAAUCACUAUCAUAGCUUCAUUAGCAAAACACUCAAAACAAAUCCAUCAUCUUUAUACCAAGCUUACAAACAUGAUCUAACCAUAAACCAUAUAUACAUAUAUAUCCUUUCAUCAUACCAAAUUCAUAUACCAAGCAUACCACACAUAUAUACCAUGUCCCAAAAUUACUUAAACAUUAGCAUUAAUAUCAAGCCAUUUACGCAUGGCUAAAUAUCUACAAAUUACAAGACCAACCAAAAUAAACACUAGUCUAUACACGCCAUACGUUCAAAUUUUCAAGCUUUCAAAAUAUCGAAAUAGAGAUUGAUAGUGUGACGGACUUCCUUGACGAUCCUCGAGCUCAUAACUAACCUUUAAAAUCUAAAAACAAUGCAUGAACAAACACACAGUAAGCUUAAAUAGCUUAGUAAGUUAUAAGCAAAUAGUUUAUCAAAGAACAUAUAAUUUAUACAAUUAGAUCGAAUACUCUCAAUCUUGAACACACACACACACAAACACACACACAUAUAUAUAUAUAUAAUCACAUUUAAGCAAUUAGUUCACAUUUUCAUGUUCAACCACAAUACUUACGUUUAUUUCCAAAUUUCAUAAAACUCAAACAUACCUGAUUCAUUUAAAUCGAACUCACAUUUUGUCUUGCCUUACCUUUGCUCGUAGAACCAUUCGGAAUCAAAAAGUAUACGCGGAUAACUCAAAAAGAUCGUACAAUGCCAAUGUCCCUGACGUGGUCUUAUAUGUAAUCAAAUAACGAUGCCACUGUCCCAGACAGGGUCUUACACGUAAUCAUAUACGAUGCUAAUGUCCCAGACAUGGUCUUACACGCAAAUCUCAAAUCGAUGCCAACGUUUCAGACGUGGUCUUACACAAAAUCACAUAUUAGAAUCCUGUGGUUCGAAUGGGCUUUCGAAUGUCGUAAUUCAAUCGUAUCAAACUCGUAAACAAUUCUCCCAUGCAUAAAAUAAUUCGACAUUUACACAUAUGCUCAUUAAAUUUUAAUUUGGCAUUUAUAAUACAUAUAUAUUCAAAUUAAUGAAAUUUAUUUACUUAUGAACUUACCUUAGACAAAGACGAGCGGAUGGAAUUGACUAUUCGACCACUUUCAACUUUCCCCUAUCUAAUUUCGUUUUCUUUUGUUCUUGAUCAAUAUAAAUUCAAAUUUGGCUAUUUAAUAACACAUUUUAUUCAAAUUUAUUCUAAAAACACAUAAAUAGGAAAAUUAAAUUUUAGCCCCUAACAUUUCACAUUUUUUACAAUUUAGUCCUUAAUUCACAAAACACAAAAUAUUCAAAAUUUCACCACACCCAAGCUUGGCCAAAUUCCUAUAGGGUCCCUAGCAGCCUAUUUCUUUCAUUUAUUUCACAUUUGACCCUUAAAUUUACAAAUUUCACAAUUUAAUCCUUAAUACACAUUUUUAUCAAAAAUUACUUAAUUAAACAUAAUAAUCUAUCAACAUAUAUUUAUUUUUCAUCAUCAAAUAAUAAAACAACAAGCUCUCUCCAAUGACAAAUCACAAAAUCCACAUCCAAUUGAAAAAUUUAAGCAUGGGCUAGCUAGUAUUCAAAGCAAUGAUACCAAAAACGUAAAAAUUAUCAAAAAUCGAACAAAGAGCAUACCUAAUUUAAAGCCUCAAAGUGCCGAACCUAAAACACAAGAAUGGCUUCUUUUCUCUUCAAGUUUCGGCAAGAAAAAAGCCAAAUGCAUGGCUAUUUUGUGUUUUAUUUUAUUUAUUACACAUUAAUACAUAAUUUACUAUUUUAAACAUUAUUAAUUCAUUUAAAAUCCACUAACAUAUGUCCGUAAAAGUCCACUCACAAAUCCAUUGGUAUAAUAUCAACAUAAGGACUACACAUUAGAAAAACCAUAGCAAAUAAGCACUUUAACAAUUAGCUAGCCACUUUUGCAUUUUACGCGAUUAAGUCAUUUUUUUAAAAUCAAGCACACAAACGAUAAAAUUUUCACACGAAAUUUUCACACAUAUAAAUUAACAUGCUGUAGAAACCAAAAAUAAUAUUAAAAUAUUUUUUGACUUAGAUUUGUGGUCCUGAAACUACUAUCCGACUAAGGUCUAAACCGGGCUGUUACAGAAUACCUAUCGCUCUUGAAGAUAUACGGCUUCUAUUAGACCAAAGGUCGAAAGCGCAAGUAAGUAUUAAAUAAAAUAUAUAAAAAUAAAAUAGUCGUUUCAUGUUUAGUAUUAGUAUUAUGUAUAUAACAAAUAUUUUUAUCAUGUUCAUAUAGUUUCAAUGGACACCAUAUGAGGAUUCGAAAAUUUGAGCAGUAAUUUCGGGUGAAUUCUUUCAAAAUCUGAACAUUUGGCAUGUGAAGGUCCCAUUGGUCAACUAUGCUACCGUGGAGAUGCAUCAUAUGGAUAGAGUGUUGCGGUAAUUUGGAUUUUUGACAACCGAUUCUCGUGGCACCUGAGGUGCUCAAUGAUAAGCACAAAAUUGACUUACGAUAAACGAAUAAGAAUUGGCUGAUAUUCUAGUUGAAAUAUAUCAAAAUGUGAGAAAAUUGGUAUGAUCAUAUACCUAUUCAGGAACCGAUUAUCGUUCUAGAGUUAGCGUGCGUGCCAGAUUACAUGUCAUGGUUCAGGAUCCAUGGCAAGCCAAAUUUAUUGUCGGAGGAGUAGAGGCGUCAGUAAAUUCGUGUCGAAAGGGAAUGAUACGGCCUUUUAAAUUCAAGGAGAAGGGAUAAGACACGAGCCCAUCAAUAGUGCCCACACAAUCGCCAGGCCCAACGCCUCAACUGACGACACCCACAUCAUAGCCUCUUCAGAUUAUGCCAGGUGCGUAUCGUAGCCCUUAUAUGCAUCUUAAAUUUUAUAUGUUUCUUUUUCCAGUCCUAUACUAGGUUGGAAUGCAUGACCCGGUGCAUCUCAUUUCCCGAUGACUCCAAUUCAACCGAUGAUAUAUAGGCUACCAUCGUAGGAGGGAUCGCAUGAGGGACCGUCAGGGAGCUCUGCUCAUUACCAAUCCCCAUCGCCUUAUAGGAUUCAAAGACCUUCCCCAUGGGUGAUGCAAACACCUCCGCAUUCUCUAUUCUAUCAAUGUGGGUCAUCCUCCCAACACCAACACCAACACCAACAACCAUAACCCUCAACCCCUUCCGGAAGCUGAACCAAGGAGGAAUCCAGCACUUAACUGUCGACGACCCCAUGCAGCACUGAUUUCGACGUGCACCAACAUUAAUUUUUUUAAUAUAUUUGUACAAACAAUUUUUAUAUUAUUUUAUUUAAUAAAAUAAAAUUUGUUUUUAAUAUUUUAAUAGUAAUUUAUUUUUUAUAUUUUUAAUAAAAUAGAAAUAAUGCAACAUAGUUUUAUUACAGUAACUAUCAACUAUUUCGAUUUGGACAUGAUCGAAUUGUAUGACCUAGGUUCCUACACCAUCCGCACAACUUCUGUUAGUUUGUUCUUUCCCAGAUAUCCAUAUUGUUACGUAUUCUACUCGAGCAAGGUCGACCUUUUGGUUUGUGACGUAAUUCUCUAUCCAGUAACAACUUAAACGGAGCAAGCGAUACAAACGACCACUUAUGUUCAUCUAGGUAAUGUGGAAAUACGUGUUUCCACAUAUUAUACAUGUAUUUUAUUUUGUACACUUCGUCGACAUAUCUCAUGGGAUCCAAACAGAGAUUCUGACAAGCUACAAUUGCAUGAGCGCAUUGAUAAUGAAGUGCGUCAACCGUCCCACAGUCGCAAGUCCUAUUUCUCAGGUGUCAUGAUAUUGCCCGCUUGUAAUACCUUGAUUCAGUCUGUCAAACUUCGUCACACGAAACCAUAGGUUGUCGCGACCAUGACAUACUGUGUGCAUAGUGUUGGCCCGCGCCUUCGCCUUGUUAAUUUCUUGCAAUACCUUCCAGUACUAUACAUGGCUUCCUUGCAUUUGGCCUUUAUAACUCACUGCUCGCUUUGAAAAUAGUACCGCUAAAAGAAAAUAUGUCUCUCGCAUAAUCAAGGUUAUCGGUAAAUGACGCAUUUCUUUUAUAAUAGAAUUUAUGCAUCCAGCCAGAUUUAAGGUCCUAUGACCAUGUUGUAGGUCACCGUCGUAUGCUUGUGUCCAUUGUUCAAAAGGUAUGUUACACAGGUAAUCUACGCCUUGUUCGUUAACUGAAUGCAAAAUCGCCAACAUCUUAUGAAAAUGGUCCUUAUUGAUCUCGUACCCUGCCAAUAUAAGUUGAUAGCGAAAAUUACAUACCACUCUUUCAUUCAGAAUAAAUUGAAUACUACAAACAAAAUUGUAUUAAUAGAGAUUAAAUACCCAUGUUGGUCACUUUCCAUCGUUCAGUAGUAGACCAAUAUUUCCCGUAGUAGUUAGAUGCAAUAUACUUUAGACAAUACUGAUGGUGUGUGCGAUCUUAUAGGCUUCUCUGUCACUCAAUUGCUACUAGUAUUCCAGUACCCCGAUUCGAUAUAACGCAUAUAUCAGGUUAAGUGCAGACACACCUCAUUAACCUAGAAAGUAAUAAAUCCCAGUCACCACCUAACUCUCCUGAGGCUAUUGCAAACGUAAUUGGAAGGAUUCUUCCACUGCCAUCCUGUGCCACAGCUAGGAAUAACCAAUAUGUAUAUCUACCAUACAUAAAGGUAUCGUUAAUUUGUACCAAUGGCUUGCAGUACACAAAUGCAUCCUGACAUUGCUUAAAGAUCCAAAACAGACGCUUGAACACUUGGUAUCCACGGAGCAAUCGGUUGUUGUAGUACGUAGGUGUCAUUUCAAGAUUUGUUAGUCAACCUGAGACGUGCCUUUUUAGCACCUGACACCACUGCCACACCUUAUUAUAUGAAAUAUCUCACACACUAUGCAUCUUUUUCUACACCUUCUGCUUAGCUAUCCAAGCUUUGCGGUAAGAGGGUAUGUACCUCAAUUGGCAUGAAUAUUGGCAAUAAAGACCGAUACUGAAGUCCUGGGAUCCGCCUUCACCGUCAGUAGUAUUAAGCUAGCUAACAUAUCUGAAUCCAUCUUGGGAUGAUCUUGUGAAACACCUGUCAACUGAAUAAAUUAAAUAAUGCAACAUUACGUAAUAACAGUAUUAUUCAAAACCCUUAAACACUCAGUGAUACUGUACAAGUAACACAUGUAUGUGGACCUUUAUAUUUUUUUAUCUCCUACAAGCCUAUUUUUUUCCUAACCAAAGUCAUGAUUUUCCAUGAACAUGUACCAUCUUGCACUGUACACUUGGCAUCAAACUUCUCAGAUUUGGAUUUAACCACGUUGUUGUUAAUCUCAUUCAUGAUGCUAUGUUGUUUCAAUGCACCAAGAAAACUAUCCUUACUGGAAAAAUCCUUACUAACUUCUAAUUCACCCGAAUCCAAUGAUGAACUUGUACAGUCACGCCUUCUGUGUGGUAAAUCUUAAAACUUUAACACAUCAUCUGUCGAUAGAUCGACAUUAUGCAUGUGGGCUGAAGGGAGUACGCCCUGAAUCGCGGAUCCUCUUUUUCUUUAUCUAAACCCCUUUUAAAAUCGUUAGGUUCAGUUGGAACAAGCUCCGGUUCAGAAAAUCAUGCAACUUCUCCAUUAUCAAGGCCGGGCUCUCAAGGUGGAUCCACAUUGGACUCAUCACCAUUAUCUGCAACGUACGAGGUCCCCUCGCCGGUCGACGUCGUAGGGAGUACAUCAUCCCUUCUUGUGGACGUUUCUUAACGUCUCCAAUCAGAUGUGGAUUGCCAACCACUAGAAAUUGAUGUCAUUCCCAGUACGUAUUUUCAGCAUCGAACAUCGACCCGUCGAGGUGCAUGUCCCAUCCACUAACCGAGUGUCGUGCAGGAAUUGUGUAUUCCAUACUGCUAUCAAACACGGGCGCUUCCAUGUUUUGCCUACCACUAACAGAGUGUCGGGCAGGCGUCGUGUAUUCCUCUCGUGUAGCAGUAGAUGUUGAAGUCGCAAAUGCUUCAUUUGGAGAUGAUAAUUGUACAUAUAGCUCAAGAUAGGGUGAUCGACUAGCGAGAUGAGUCUGUACCAUCGCCUCCAAGCUACAAUCACAUUUGAUAUCAAAUGAGUCAUAUGUCACGGGAUCAACCGAAGCAUAAAAUUGAUACUUAAUAGACGAAACUCUCAUUGGUGUCGUUCCGAACAUUUUAAGCCUAAUUCUUUUACGAAAUUUCAAAUCUAUGUUCUGGUUAAAAACCAGUCGUGUUGUGUUCUCUUAUAAAAAAAUCAUUGUUCUCGGUGUCGUUGGCCUCAUCGUCAUAGUAAAUAAUAGCACUAAUACGUUCACUCAUCUUCAGUUUCUGUUAUACUUAGCCUCAAUUUUUCUUGCUGUAACUUAUGCAACCUGAGAAUGAAAUUUGAAUCAUUUAUAGUCAAGGGCCAAACAGGAACUACUGUGGAAAAAGAGAGUCCAUGUGGGAGCUUUUCAAUAAUUUUGCUGACAGUGUAUCCUUCUUGAAGCAUUUUUGACACUAUUUGUUCAGAACUGUCUUCUCAAAAAUACUUUUUUAGGAACUACUGUAGAAAAAUAGUGUCCACGUGGGAGCUUUUUUCAGUAAUUUUACUGACAGUGCAUCCUGCUUGGAGCAUUUUUUACAUUAUCUUUUCAGAAUCGUUUUCUCAAAAUUAUGUUUUCAGAACCUAUUGUAGAAAAACAAACAAAAGUUUUUAUAUUGUCAAUAUAAUUUUCCCUAAACCCUAAACACAAAAUUAUUUUAAAAAAUAAAAUCCUAAUUUAAUUUAUUUAUUUAAAACCCAAAAAACCUAUUUUAAUUUAUUAUUUAAAAAACCUUAAACCCUAAACCUACCAAAAACCUAAAAACCCUAAACCAAAAAACCUUAGGGACUAAACAUGCAAAAAGCCCUAACCCUAGAAAAGUACAGGCUAAAACACGCCCUAGGGGAGCGAUUUUGCCACGUCAGCAAAGCGAGUCCACGUGGGCGUGUUUUGUGCUGACAUGGCAAAAUCGUUCCCCCAGGGAUGCAUUUUGCUGAAAUUUCCCCCAAAAAUGCUCCUACGUGGAUGCGUUUUGCUAAAAUCGGCCCUUUCCGAUAAAUAAUGAAAAAAUUGACCCAUUUCCGUAAAUAAAGUUGGAAAUGAGCCAUUAAUGAUAAAAAAUGUUUAAAAUGACUCGCAAAUUUUUCAAGAUUAUAAGUUUGAGUGGAUUAAGGCACCUAAUGUCCUCAGAUAAGUAUAAAUAUAAAUGAUUUAAGAUUUGGGGUUAAGAGUAAGUUAUAAAAUGAGCUUAUAUUGCGAAGUUAGUUCAUCUACUUUAAUUUUUCAGAAUUUGAUUCUUAUACUUUACUUUACGAGAAUUGAACAAUUAGUCCAAUUGGAUGACAUUAUUGAACCUUGCCAUUAAAUGUAACAUAGAAAUCAACAAUUGAAUAAUUUAUAUGCAGCUAAUUACAAAAAUCAACAGUUUAAAUUCAUAUAUUUAUCAACCAUCUAAUUAACUUCUCGUGAAAAGGACAAAUAUUGAGAAAUUAAAGUAAAAGAAAGUAAAUACUAAAACCCAAUGAGAGUCAAAAUUAAGAUAUUUCAAAAAAGAAAAUAGAUUAUUAAAUAUAUUGGUAUUUUUCUAAUAACAAAGUUAUAUACUUUUUUUGGGGGGUCGAAUAUAAUCAAAAAGUACCUAAACCAUGAGCUAAAGAAUGUUGAGAUUCACCUAACUUCUUUAAUUCCCACAUAAAAGCCAAAAGCCAUUCAAUAAAAAAAAAGUUCAACUGGAUUGACGGAUGAAAUUGAUUGAAUGAGAAAUUUUCAAGAUUAUUUCAAUUUAAUGAGAAUUAAUAUAAUAUAAGGUUAUCUUUAUCUUAAUAUAUUAUCUCAGUCUGAACAAUAUUAUAUUCAGAUCGUAAAAUGGUUAAGGAUACUUGUGGUUAUAUAUUCCAAAAAAAUUAUCUUUGGUAAUAAGAUUAUUUAGCACAUUAUUGAAUAUGUAAGAUUAUAUCUGGUUCAUUUGGUUGGAAUGUAAUAAUCGUCCUUGUACUAUACUUUGGAUUGCAUUUUGGUCCCUUCAUCGGAAAAAUGAGCAAAACGGUUCCUAUAUGUUGGAGAAAAAUAGUCCGUCCAUUAAAAUUGUGCUAUCAAAUGCUUAUUUUGUUGUUUUUUGUAUAAGGUAUAAUAACAAAUUUAACUCUUAACAUUUACAUCUUUAUGCAAUUUGCCCCUACUCUUUUUAUUUGAAGCAAUUUGUCCUUCAAUCUUUCAUUUCUGAUGUGACACUAUUUUAUCUAAUAUAUCAUGUUAGAAAUUAUACUUAAAUACAUUACAAAAUAUUUUUAAAAUAAGUUAAAACAUGAAAAUUAGUGUAACAUUUUUGAGGUUUGGAAUUAGUAUCAACCAAAUAUAUUUGUACAUGAAAAAAAAAAUCUAUUUAUCAAUAUUCUUAAUAAUAUUUUCUAAAAAAAUCAAUAUUCUUAAAAAUAUUUCUCAAUUGUACACAAUUGAGUUUUUAUCGCUUGGUUCACCUAUGAUUCAACUAUAUAUCAAUAAUUGAAGUAUAUAUCAGUUGUAUUUAUAUAUAAUAAACGUGUGCUUACCUUUAAAUUGAUUACAUUUUGUAGCAAACCCAUCAUUAAUCAGCUAUAAUUUUAUAGGGUGUGACUCACAUUUAUCGAAAAGUUUGCAAACACUUAAGACAACAAUCAACGAAUAGUAGAAGAAGGAUUAAAAUAGGCCCGGUGUUAUGACGAGCAAGUAGGAUCGUCGAGACAACGUGAUGAAAAGCCCAAACAAAUGCGGCAUUGACGUCAUGACGAGGAGAGUUGGCACGUCACGACAUGCUCUCCUAUUUGGUAACUGCGUUUUAGACUUCAAUCGGGGUUGCUUCUUCUAGCUGGACUCUAAUUAUUCUAGGAAUAUUUUAGUAUGACUAGAAAUUUAACCUAAGUUUAUUUAAAGGGGCCAUUGUAUCCCUGUUUUGACACGUCAAUCAGUAAGGGCUUUUCUUGAGGGAGGUAAUGUAAUGGCCCAAAUUUAAGGUUAUCAAAAUAGUGGUUUCGUAACCACAAAUCUGAUGAGGAAAAUUUUAUUUUUUCUUAUAUUUUUAUGGUCUAUGAUUUCACAAAAUGAUUUCGUGAAAAUUUCGUUUGAAAAUUUCGACGUUUGGGCACUCAAUUUAGUCAAAAAGACUAAAUUGUAAAAACUGCAAAAGUUGAGUUCUACAUGUUAGAGGUGUCCAAUUGUUGUGAAACUUUAAAUUGGAGGUCCUUAUAUGGUAAAUAGACCAUUGGUUAAGUUGGUAGACAAAAAUGGACAUGGGAUAAGUGAAAUAGGAAAUUUUUAAGUUAGGGGCAAUUUGGUAAUCUAGUAAUUAAAUGAAUUAAAAGGGAAAAAGAUGGCAAAAAUCAUCAUCUUUUUCAUUUGGAUGAAAUCAGCAAGGGGGGAAGCCAUGGUUAGGGUUUUCAAGCUUCCAAGCUCCAUAAUCAAGAAGAACGAAACUCGAGGUUAGACAAAGGAAAGAAUAAAUUUGAAGACUAAGUUGGUGAAUUGGGCUAUAAUUGGUACCGAGGUAAGUUUACGGUAAAUAAAUGCAAUAUUUUAAUAAUUAUUAUUAAUGAUGUUAUUUUCCAACAACUAUGAAUUUAUUUCAUGAAUUUAUUUGAUGAUGAUCCAAGCAUGAAAUGAUAGAGAAUUAAAAUUAAAAAGUCCCGUUGAUACAUAAGGAUGGUACUGGAUACGAAUGUCAUGACAUUUGGGUAAAGAGGUCUCAUGUAAGACCAUGUCUUGGACAUGGCAUUGGCACCGAGAUGAGAGGUCCCAUGUAAGACCAUGUCUGGGACAUGGCAUUGGCACCGAGACGAGAGGUCCUAUGUAAGACCAUGUCUGGGACAUGGCGUUGGCACCGAGAUGAGAGGUCCCCUGUAAGACCAUGUCUGGGACAUGGCCUGGGCACCGACAUGAGAACAUCCCAUGUAAGACCAUGUCUGAGACAUGGUUUUGGCAUGUUAUUAUCAGAAGAGACCCGAGUAUCCUUAUUGUUCCAAUGUAGCUCAACGGGCUAAAUAACGAAUCAUGUUCAGGAAAGUUCAGUUAAAAACAUAAAUGGCAAGCUCAGGUAAGUUAUAAGAGUUAAGAACUUAUUAUAUUAUCAAUUGAUAUUCAACGAUACAACAAGAGAAGAGUAAUUUAUGCACACCAAGUAUACUAAGUAAACAAGCAAGAGAACUAGAAUGAGAUUAACUAAAGAGUAAACUAGAGAUAUAGACACUUGAGUUUAAUUAUUUGUGUUUAAUGUUGUUAUUUAUUUGCUAGAAAACUUACUAAGCUUUAUGCUUACUUCUUUUAUUUCUCUUUCUCUUAUAGUAUUGCAAAGCUACUUCAAGGAUCCUAAAGAAGUCGGAGAUCGUCCACACUAUCAACCACAAUUGCUCGGUAUUUUAUGACAAAGCACGUUUGAGUUAUGGCAUGUAUAGGGACUUAGUUAUUUUGCAUGUUUGUAAUUAUGAUUUUGCUAAAGAAUGAUGUAUAAGUAUUUGAUGACGAAUGGUUAUUAAAAUGGUUAAGUAUAAAGGUGUUUGUUGUUAUAAAAGCCCAGGUGAUAAGUUAUGCAUGAAAAUUGUGGAAGGGUAAAAUUUUGCAAAGAAAUAGAAUUCAGGUAGCACAGUGACGUGACUUUAAAAAAUAACCUAGGAUGAUAUAAAAUUAAUUAGAGGAUUUAAAAUAUAUAGAGUGAAAGCUUGUUGAGUAUACUUUCAUGGAAAAAUAACGGUUUAGCAAAAUGAAAUUUAUAUUUUGAGAUAUGUGAAUUUUGGUGAGACAGGGUUAGAACGGUUUUGGAGUCCCCUGUUCUGAGUUUAGAAAAUCAUUAAAAAUUGUACAAAAAUAUUUAUGAGUUCUAAUUUAUAUUUCUAUAUUCCUUAUUGAGUCUGUUUUCUGUAGGAAUAAGUAAGAAUACUAUAUGAAAAUCCUACAAUGAGAAAACUUAUUUUUAGUGGCAAGAGGUCAGGACAGUUGAGUGAUGAAACAAGGGGAGACUUCAACUAAUAAACUGUACUAAUUGGUUGAACCAAAAAUUUUAAAAAUUUUAUGGUAAGUAUAUAUAUGAGUCUAGUUUCAGGGAAAAUUUAAGGAAUUAAAUUUCGAGUUCCGUAGCUCGAGUUAUAAUAAAUUUAGUAACUGCUGCAUGAUUGGACAAAUUUGCUGUAAAUAGCGAAAUUAAUUUUCAAAACAAGUUUUUAUGCUCCGAAUUAGUAAGAUAAGCUAAGUAAUGCCUUUAGAAAAAUUUAAAAAAUUUUAAAAUUUUCUUCUAAGAAGAGAAUUUAUUAGGUGUCCGAUCACACCUUGGAAAAAAGAUCGGUGGCGACUCCUUUUUCAAAUAAAAUCGAGAUUCGAUUUUCAAGUUUUCAAUAAUUACUUCGACUAGUGCCCAUCGCCAAAUUUUUAGGUCGCUACAGCUGGCGACUCCGCUGGGGACCUUUUUUUUUUUAGAGUCGAGUCUGAUAUUAAACGCGUGUUGUCAAAAUUUUUAAAUUUUCUUGUUCAAAUUAAUUUUUAAUCGUGAUCCUUGAAUUUUAUUUUUGAAAAGUCAUGCAUCUGCAUUCGGUUUUUAAAUUAAUAUUUUUCUAACUUGUUUUAUUUUUCUGUUUUGUUUCAGCUCUAAGUUUUACGUAUUUUGGUUUGUUUUUUUUAGUAAAAAUAAAAAAAUAAAAAAAGGUUUGUGAGUUUCUCCCCACACACUGUGCACUUACAUUCUUGCAUAACAUAAGCUCUCUACCCGGGCUCUAUCCUUUUAAGUGGAAUAAACGCUACGCCUUCGUGAGUUAACUCGUCCCUCUGCACAGGCUAGUGAAUUACUUCCGGGUUACAUAUGACUUAUGCUUUCGUGAGUUAACUUGUCUCUCCGCAUAGGCAUAAGUAAAUGUAAUCCCUCGAAUUGAGCUCGCAAGCCCAUGACGGGUGAUAACCGAGGCUCCGUACUAGCCUUAGUAGGUGACAGUAUAGACAAUUUGAGUAUUUUUUUAGAACCAAAACCACAUAUAGUGAACUGUACGAGCCACCCGAUUAGAGCCAUGCCGAGCCUCUGUCCGUUAGAUAAUUACCAAAUAAGUACAUGGGAGAAACGCCUCUUACCUUGUAUUUCUUUUACAUUUACACUUUUUGCAAGGGAAUCAGGUCUGUUUAAUAAAUUUGAUCGGGUAGAUUGAUGAGCAUGUGGGGUAAGUUUAUUUUUGUAAAGCAUGAUAGGGUAAAAAACCAAAAAAAAUGUAGGUCGAUUUGUUAGAUUUUCCAUAGUUUUUCUUUGUUUAUAUUUGUCGUGAUUGCUAACUAAGUUUAUUUGUCUUAAUUUUAUUUUUCAUCAUGCAUCAUGGGCAUCUCAUUAGGAAGGUGUUGAUUAGAUAUUGGUUGCCAAAAAUGGGUUUCUGAUAGAGAAGUCAAUUACGCAAGUAACCGAGAAAAAAUGUUGUAGUCAGAGACUGGUCUUUGAGGACCCAGAAAGCAAAAUGGACAAUUUAAAGGACAGAUAUACCUCUGAUCUUUCCAGGAAGGCGACUUCGAAUGCUCGUCAGAAUAACCCCGAAGAUUUGACUUGGAUCUGGAAACAAUGAGACUCAGGCACUAGAGGCAUCUUUAUUGGCAAAAUAUUUUGUAAUGGACUCUUUUGAUAAAUGAAACACCAAAAUAUGGGGCUAUCUUAAAAUCAACACCAUUUUUGCAUAUUUACACAUGACUAGCAUCCAUUGGUCAUUCAUUCAUUCAUUCAUUGCAUGUACAUAUCACCAUUGCCAUUCACUGAGGCUAAAAUAGUGUAAUUCACAGUUGCGACACAAGUCUAGAAUCACGUCAUCCUUACAGGACACGUCUAAGAACUAGAACUAUGGAUGCUGAACUUAAUAAAAGAAUCGAAAGGAUGGAAAGGGUUCAAAAAGAGUUACAAGAGCAAUUGGCCAAGUUACAACAAGAGGCAAGAGAUAUGAUGGUGAGAUCUCGAGAAGAAUCACUCGAGCAAAGAGAUCAAAUGCCUAAAAUGAUGGAAAUGAUGACAGCUUUGGUUAAAGGAAAGGGACCCGUGCAAAGCCCUGACAUCAUGGAGCCUCAGUCAAGAGCUAAUAAUGAUCAAGAUCCGCUUUACCCCCUAGGAUUCACUCCACCUCACGCUCAUGCAAUGCAAAAAGGAUAUCCUCAAGGGGAAUCUACAGUCCUAGAACAACGUCCUGUACCACCUGCUCAUCUAGGGCAAGGUAUAUUUGUAUCGAACCCUGAGGCUAAUCCAGCAGAUCCAAUUGUUCCAAAUCUGGACGAUCCGGUGGAAAUAGCAAAGUUGAAAGCUAAUGAUUAUGACGCUCAAGAUAGGUAUAAAAUCUUAGAAGAAAGGCUCAAUGCAAUAGAAGGUACUGAAGUCUUCUCUGCCUUGAGUGCUAAAGAACUCAGUUUGGUGCCUAAUCUGGUUCUACCCCCGAAAUUCAAGGUUCCAGAGUUUGAAAAAUAUGAUGGAACGAGAUGUCCAAAGGUAUAUCUUAUCAUGUUUUGUCAAAAGAUGACUGGCUAUGUGAAUGAGGACAAAUUACUGAUACACUGUUUUCAGGACAGUUUGGUUGGAUCGGCUCUUCGGUGGUAUAAUCAGCUUAGUAGAGAAAAAUCCAAUCAUGGAAGGACUUAGCAUCGGCGUUUUGCGAGUAAUACAAGCAUGUAUCAGAUAUGGUACCCGAUCGACUAACCUUGCAGAUGAUGGAAAAAGCCAACGGAGACUUUUAAACAAUAUGCGCAAAGAUGGAGGGAUGUUUCAGCUCAAGUGGAACCCCCGUUGACUAAAACAGAGAUAACAGUCCUCUUCAUCAAUACUCUGAAGGCACCGUUUUAUGAUAAGUUAGUAGGAAGCGCCAUGAAAGACUUUGCAGAUAUUGUAAUAUCUGGGGAGCUUAUAGAGAAUGCCAUUAGGAGCGGGAGGAUGUAAGGCCUUGAAAGUUCAAAAAGGGUAGUACCCGCGAGGAAAAAGGAGGCAGAAACCCAUAUGGUCGGAAAUGCAAGCCACCAUACUUCCAACCCUUACUCAUUUCAACCACGACCUCAUUACCGCCCGCCUUCAAACUUCUACUUUCCUCAUCAAGGUCCUUACUAUCCAACACCUUCUCCUUAUCCUGUAUAUGCCAUGAAUAAUCAAAUACCGUUCGCUAUGUUUCCACCAAACACCAUGCCCACACAAAGCCAACCUAAAAAUGAACAAAGGCCAGCAAGACCUAAUUCUGAAAGACCUUAGCUUACACCAAUUCCUGUGUCAUAUGGAGAAUUAUACCCGAAGCUAUUGGAAAAGCAAUUGAUAUCCCCACAUUACAUGGCACCCUUGAAGCCCCCAUAUCCGAAAUGGUAUGAUCCUAACACUAGUUGCAUGUAUCACACUGGAAAUCAAGGGCAUUCUACAGAAAACUGCCUUGCCUUUAAAAGAAGGGUUCAAGAUCUCAUCGAUGCUAGCAUUCUGCGAUUUGAUGGCAUUAGUAAUCCUCUUCCUAACCAUGCUGAUGUGAAUGUGGUAACAAAUGAAGAUGAGAGGCAAGAUAAUCUAAGAAGUGCUUUGAUUGAAAAGGGUCUUCAGAACAUCAGCAUAAAUGUUGUUGACAGCGGGGGUGAUGCAAUUGAGGAUGUUUUAAUGAUACGCCACUGUCCUCCAAGAUAUGUUUUGAACAACUGGACUGCUGUGGACCUCUUUGUAGCUUCUAAGUCCUCUCCAGAGUAAUGCCCAAUGUUAAUUCUCCAUUAUUUUGUGUGUUCCUAAAUAAUGGGAUUCAUUUUGUAAGAGCUUAUGUUUGCUCUUUAUCAUUUCAAUGAACAUUAAUGAAGAUGCAUUUUGUCAUGGUUUUGUCAUUUCAAUUAGUGUCUCAAUUAUUCCCGCUUCUCAUAGCUUUUUCCUACACAUAUAUCAUAUCAUUCCAUAACAUUGUGUGUGUUGAUUCUAAUACUUUGAUGCUCCUCUAUAGUUUUAUUUCUCAUUCACCUUUCAGGUGCUCAUAUAUCCAUGGUAUGAACAAUCCUGUUAUAAGUCCUGAAAUUGAUUUCGAGAAGGCUAUUUGUUUAGGAGAAUUUGAAGCCGAUGAAGAUGCUGAAGGUUUUGUCUCGUCUCAUGACUUACUGAGAAUGGUAGAACAAGAAGAGAAACAGAUUCUACCCCAUCAAGAAUCUAUUAAGACAGUGAACUUAGGGAGUGAAGAAAAGAAACAAGAAGUGAAGAUUGAGACUUCCAUUUCAGGGAACACCAAACAAAAUUUGAUCGACUUGCUCUAUGAGUACAAAGAUGUAUUUGUCUGGUCGUAUCAGGAUAUGCCAGGGUUGAAUGAGGAUGUGGUGGUCCAUAGGCUUCCAUUAAAACCAGAAUGCAAGCCCGUUCAGCAGAAAUUGAGAAGGAUGAGACCUGAAAUGCUGUUAAAGAUAAAAGAAGAGGUUAAGAAACAAUAUGAUGCUGGCUUUUUACAGGUCUCUAAAUAUCCGGAAUGGGUAGCUAACAUAGUCCCGGUACCGAAAAAAUAUGGCAAGGUACGAAUGUACGUAGAUUAUCGUGAUUUGAAUCGAGCAAGCCCUAAGGAAAACUUUCCUUUGCCACACAUCGAUACGUUGGUAGAUAACACAGCAAAGUAUUCAUUGUUUUCUUUCAUGGAUGGUUUCUCGGGUUAUAAUCAGAUUAAGAUGGCUCCCGAAGAUAUGGAGAAAACUACAUUCGUUACAAUGUCGGGAACGUUCUGCUAUAAAGUGAUGCCGUUCAGAUUGAAGAAUACUGGGGCAACAUAUCAAAGAGCCAUGGUGAUGCUGUUCCAUGACAUGAUGCAUAAAGAAAUAGAAGUAUAUGUCGAUGAUAUGAUUGCCAAGUCUCGGGGAGAAGAAGAGCAUGUUGGGAACCUCAGGAAGCUAUUCGAAAGAUUAAGAAAAUUUCAGUUGAAGCUUAAUCCAGCCAAGUGUACAUUCGGGGCUACCUCGGGAAAAUUGCUAGGUUUUAUUGUCAGCGAGAGAGGUAUUGAAGUUGAUCUAGACAAGAUAAAGGUCAUACAAGAACUGCCACCUCCGCGUACACAAAAAGAAGUUAGAGGAUUUUUAGGAAGGUUGAACUACAUUGCUCGAUUCAUUUCUCAACUUACCAACCAAUGUGAUCCAAUUUUUCGACUCAUUCGAAAACAUAAUCCAGAAGAGUGGAAUGAGGAGUGCCAAGUGGCCUUCGACAAGAUAAAAUAAUAUUUGUCUAAUCCUCCGGUGCUAGUACCGUCGACCUUUGGAAAACCCUUAAUAUUGUACCUGACCGUGUUUGAAAACUCAAUGGGUUGCGUACUGGGGCAGCAUGAUGAGUCAGGAAAAAAAGAAAAAAUGAUUUACUACCUCAGCAAAAAGUUCACAAAAUAUGAGGCAAAGUACCCGUCAAUUGAAAAAUUCUGCUGUGCAUUGGUCUGGGUAGUUCGAAAGCUCAAACAAUACAUGUUGUAUCAUACAACGUGGUUAAUUUCAAAGCUAGAUCCAUUAAAGUACUUGAUGGAAUCACCUGCACUCUCAGGGAGAAUGACACGAUGGCAGAUCCUAUUAUCUAAAUAUGACAUUGUGUAUGUGAGCCAAAAGUCGAUAAAGGGAAGCGCGAUAGCUGACUUCUUGGCAAGUCGAGCAAUGAAGGAAUAUGAGCCGCUGAGAUUUGAUUUUCCAGAUGAAGACUUGAUGGGUAUUUCCGAAGGUGAAUCAUUAAAAGAUCAAUCAUGGAAUAUGAGUUUUGAUGGUGCAUCGAACGCGUUGGGGCACGGGAUAGGAGCAGUCUUAGUGUCACUGGAAGGAAACCAUUACCCGCUCACUGCCAGAUUGAAUUUCUUCUGUACUAAUAACAUAGCAGAAUAUGAAGCUUGCAUCAUGGGACUUCGUGCAGCUAUUGAAUGGAAAAUAGAAAUCUUAGAGGUGUAUGGGGACUUAGCGUUAGUGAUUUAUCAAAUUCGCGGAUAUUGGAAAGUGAGAGAUUCAAAAUUAGUUAAGUAUCGUGAUUUCGUGGCGAAAUUGGUAGAAUUCAAAGACGUGACUUUUCAAUACUUCCCACGAGAGGAAAACCAAUUGGCUGACGCCUUGGCCACCUUGGCUUCAAUGUUCAAAGAAAAUAGAGAAACAGAAAUAAUGCCUCUCCAAAUGAGCAUAUAUGAGGCCCCCGUACAUUGUUUUAGCAUUGAAAAGGAAUCAGAUGGACGACCAUGGUUUCAUGACAUAUUGGAGUACAUUAAGAAUCAAAGGUAUCCCGAGCAAGCAAACGAGAAUGACAAAAGAAUAAUCAGAAGAAUGGCGGCUGGUUUUGUUCUUGAUGGGGAUAUCCUAUACAAAAGAGGAAAUGAUCAAAUGCUCCUGAGAUGCGUGGACAAUGUUGAAGCUAGAAGAAUACUUGAAGAUGUCCACGAAGGAAUUUGUGGAACGCAUGCCAAUGGGUUUACUAUGGCUAGGCAGAUUAUGAGACUUGGUUAUUUUUGGCUGACGGUGGAAAGGGAUUGCAUUAGCUACCACGAAAAUGCCACAAGUGUCAAAUAUAAGGCGAUAAAAUUCAUGCAGCUCCCUCGCCUCUUCAUGUCAUGACUUCGCCAUGGCCUUUUUCUAUGUGGGGCAUGGAUGCCAUAGGGCUAAUCUCCCCGAAGGCCUCCAAUGGGCAUCGAUUCAUUUUUGUGGUUAUAGAUUACUUUACAAAAUGGGUAGAAGCUGAUUCAUUUGCUAAUGUGACGAAGACUGCAGUCUGCAGGUUCCUAAAAAAGGAGAUCAUAUGUCGAUAUAGUUUGCCUGAGAGGAUCAUUUUAGAUAAUGCUUUGAAUUUGAACAACAAAAUGAUGAAAGAAGUGUGUGAGCAAUUUCAGAUAAAGCAUCAUAACUCCUCACCCUAUCGCCCAAAAAUAAACGGAGCUGUCGAAGCGGCCAACAAAAACAUUAAGAGGAUUAUCAGGAAGAUGACUGAGACAUAUAAAGAUUGGCACGAGAAGCUACCAUUUUCUUUGUACGCAUACCGUACCUCUAUACGGACAUCUACAGGAGCAACUCUAUUCUAUUUGGUGUACGGAAUGGAAGCUGUUUUGCCCAUCUAAGUAGAAAUCCCAUCCCUAGUGUCUUGAUGGAGAUAAAGUUAGAAGAAUCAGAGUGGGUUCGAGCUCGAUAUAACCAGCUAAACCUUAUUGAAGGGAAACGCUUGAAGGCAAUUUGUCAUUGACAAAUGUACCAGAAGAGAAUGAUCACGGCCCAUGAUAAAAAGGUGCGGCCAAGAGAAUUUCACGAAGGGGAACUCGUACUAAGAAAGAUCCUGCCGAUACAAAAAGACUUUCGAGGAAAAUGAUCACCAAAUUGGGAAGGGCCAUAUGUUGUAAAAAAGGCAUUCUCGGGAGGGGCUCUGAUUCUCACUGAGAUGGAUGGGAAAGAAUAUGAAUGUGAGGUAUUUCUUUCAUGCCUACUGUGUCAUUUUUCAUGCAUCUCGUGUUUGAUUCAUUUAAAUGAUAAAUAGUAAGAUGACAUACUCUAAACAAAAGGAAUGUUGAGCUUACCUGGAUGAGAAUUUGAUAAAUAUAAGGACCCUGAAGCAAGAACAAAGUUCAACAAGGGGGCAAGAAGGUGGUAUACGAAUAUGUGGAUAACUCACAAAACUUGAGGAUGAGUACAAAACUGGAGAGAAAAGUCAAGAAUUAAGGAAAUAAAAUCGGACCCUCACGAAAAUCAAAAGUGGGGCACGUGACAAACAGCCUAUGGUGCAUGGCAUUAUCAUGUAGACACAAAAGCAUUUAGGACAAACACGUGCAUAUCAUAAUAACAUCAUACAUGACAUAUACAGGUAUACCAGUAGAGUAAGGAAUACUGGGAGAAAGCUGCACAGAAUCAAUGAAGAAGAAGGUUUUUAGUUUCACCUGAUGUUUUUUAAAAAACCCUGUUUCUUUCAAGAAAUAUUUUUCAAUUUCUGUUUUUUUUUUCCAAAAAUCAACUCAUAUUGCAAGAUGUGAGUUGAGCCUCGGACUCACGCCAAGGUAUUUCUUUUAAAUUUCUGUUUUUCAAAAAUCAACUCAUAUUGCGAGAGGUGAGUUGAGCCUCGAGCUACACGCCGAGGUAUUUUUAUUAAUUUCUGUUUUUUCAAAAAAUCAACUCAUACUGCGAGAGGUGAGUUGAGCCUUUGGUCACAUGCCGAGAUAUUUCUUUUAAAUUUCUGUUUUUCAAAAAAAUUAACUCAUAAUACGAGAGGUGAGUUGAGCCUCGGGUCACGCUGAGGUAUUUUAAAUUUCUAUUUUUUGUAAAAUAAACUCAUAUUGCGAGAGGUGAGUUGAGCCUCGGGACACACGCUGAGAUAUUUUUUUUAUUUCUGUUUUUCAAAAAAAUCAACUCAUAAUGCGAGAAGUGAGUUGAGCCUCGGGUCACGCUGAGGUAUUUUCAAUUUCUGUUUUUUUUUAAAAUCAACUUAUAUUGCGAGAGGUGAGUUGAGCCUCGGGUCACACGCCCAGGUAUUUCUUUUAAAUUUCUGUUUUUCAAAAUCAACUCAUAUUGCGAGAGGUGAGUUGAGCCUCGGGCACACGCCGAGAUAUUUUUUUUAAAUUUACUUGUUUUUUCUAAAAAUACAACUCAUNNNNNNNNNNNNNNNNNNNNNNNNNNNNNNNNNNNNNNNNNNNNNNNNNNNNNNNNNNNNNNNNNNNNNNNNNNNNNNNNNNNNNNNNNNNNNNNNNNNNAAGAAGAAGAAGGAAAAAGAAGAAAAAAGAAGAAAAAAAGAGAAAAAAUAAAAUUAUUUUAAAAUAGUCGGGUCAACCCGACCCGACCCGCAACCCGCAACCCAAACCCAACAGUCCAAUCAAAAAAAAAAAAGAAAUUAAGCAAAAAAAAAAGAGAAAAAAGCAACACAAAAAAAAAACCAAAACAGCCCAAACUAAAAGAGAAGGCCCAAAGCAGAAAAAAAGGCCACAACAGGCCAGCCCAAAGAAGCAGCCCAGUAGCGCAGGCCUACCUGCAGACCCAGUCCAGCAGCGCGGCCCAGUGCAGCAGCAAGCCCAGCAGACCCUCAGGCCCAGCGCAAACAGUCCAGCCCAGUCCAAAAAAAAAGAAAAAGAGAAAAAAGAAAAAAAAAGAAAAGAGAAGAAAAGAAAAAAAAGAAAAAAGGAAAAAGAAGGGAAAAAAAGGAAAAAAGAAAAAAAAGGGGCCCAAGUUGUGUAACGCAUUCGACCAAACUCGUAUUUUUGGACAUUUUUUUGUAAUUUCGUUUAUUUCACUUUUAAUUUAAUGCAUGUAUUUUUAUGCCAUUUCGUUUUAAUAUUAUUGGUAUUUUUAUGCAUUUUUAUAUUUUUGUAUUUAUGUUUUUAAUUUAUUUAAUGUAAUUUUAUUUUAAAUAAUUUUAAUAAAUAAGGCAACGAAUCGAUUUAACAUUAAAUCGUGGAUUUCAUCGCUAUGUUAGGUGAAUAUUACCGGUUUGCGUUAAUACGAUACGCCCUUUUAAAAUUUUCGAAAAAAAAAUUUUCUCGUGUCUUAAAAAAAAUAUUCGCGUUUUCAAAAAAUAAGGCAACGAAUCGGUUUGACACUAAUUCGUUGAUUUCAUUGCUAUGUUGAGUGAAUAUCACCGGUUCGUGUUAAAUAUGAUACGUGCUUAAUAAAAAAUCGGAAAAUUUGUGUAAAAAAAUCCUCGUGUUUUAAAAAAUUCCGGUGUUUCAAAAAUUCGUGUUUUCAAAAUUCCAGUGAUUCAAAAAAAUUUCAUGUUUUCUAAAAAUUUCUCUGUUUCAAAAAAAUUUUCGUGUUUACAAAAAUUUUCAUAUUUUCAAAAAUUUUCGUGUUUUCAACAAUUCUCGUGUUUCACAAAUUUUCGUGUUUUAAAAAAAUUUUGUGUUUUAAAAAAAAAUUAUUGUGUUUCAAAAAUUGUCGUGUUUCAAAAAUCUUAGUGUUUUCAAAAAUUUUCGGUUUUUCAAAAAUUCUCGUGAUUCAAAAACUUCCGUGUUUUUUUUUAAAAAAUCGUGUUUCAAAAUUCUCGUGUUUUUUUUUAAAUUCUCAUAUUUCAAUCGGAUCACGAGUAAAUAUUAAAUUGAAUUCAUAUUUUUUGAAAAUUAAGACAACAUGCGUUUAACGAGAUACCAAUUUUGGGCGUCGCAAGGGUGCUAAUACCUUCCUCGCGCGUAACCGACCCCCGAACUCUAAUCUUCUCUGGAUUUUCACGUAGACCUAAAAUUACCUCUUUUUUAGAAAAAUUUAAAAAUAAAAUUUUCUUCUAAAAAGAGAAUUUAUUAGGUGCCCGAUCACAGCUAGGAAAAAAAUCGGUGGCGACUCCUUUUUCAAAUAAAAUCGAGAUUCGGUUUUCAAGUUUUUAAUAAUUACUUCGACUAGUGCCCAUCGCCAAAUUUUUAGGUCGCUACAGAUGUUUUAAUUAGUUGUGUACUAAUUGCGCAACAAUAUAAAAAUUUAUUUAAACAACCAUAAAAUGUGGUUGCCAAAUACUUUACGCAACAACAACAAUAAUAAUAUGGUUGUUAAUGCUUUUACAUAACAAUUUUUACUUAGUUAUGAAAUAUUAAUUUACAAUGACAUAAUAUUUGGCCACGUCAUAUAUUACAUGAUAUUUAAAUAUUAUGCAAAGUUAAUUUUAACAACCAUAAUAUUUGGUUGCAAAAUUUUUAUAUGUAACCAUAUUAUUAUGUUCGUUGAAUUUUAUUUUGCACCAAAAUUUUAUCUAAUCGAUAAUAAAAAGAAGUAAUUACAAAUAUUAAAGAAACUAGUUAUUUGUUUAAAAACAAUAUUAUCAAAAUUUUAAGCUUGUUUGUUAGAGUCUGGCUUGAGAAGUGGGUCUAAAAUUUUUCUCAAGCCCAGCCCAGAUAAAAAUGCUAAACUCGGUCUGACCAGGUCAUAUUAAUUUUUUUUUAUAAUUUUUUUAAAAAAUAUAAUACAUAAAAAUACUAAAAAUAUUAAAAUAAAUAUUUCCCAACAAAUUGAAAAUAAAUUAAAAACAGUAUGUAUAGUUAAAUAAUACUAAGAUAAGGUGUAACUUAACAAGCAAAUGCCUCUAAAAUAGCAACAAAAUUAACAAAACAACAGUUAUACAAUAUCCAAAAUAGUAACAACAUAAUAGUGAAAUGGUAGCAAAAUAGUGAAAAACAAUAAGAAAAUAGCAUCAAAAUAGUAAAAAAAGAAAGAAAACAACAAUUUUUUUUUUUGCAUAUUUAGGUCGGGCCGGGCUUAAGCAAAAAAAGCCUUAGCUGAAGCUCGGCCUGUUUUCUAAAUGGGCAUUAUUUUUUUGUUCAAACAUAUUUUUCGAGUCUAAUUUUUACCCAAACCCUUCCAUUUUUCGGGCGGGCCAUCCGGCCCGACUCAUAGACAAGACUAAUUUAAUUGCAAUUAAAAUAAAAUAAAAAUCUAACAAAAUUAAAUAGAUAUAUAUAAUAAUCUAAUAAAAAUAAUUUUGAAACUAAAAUUGAAAUAACCCAUAAAAUUUAAAGUCUAAAAAUUAAAAAUUUAUAUGUACUGUAUGGUAAUAAAAAAAUAAUUAAAGUUUAGAUAUAUUCUCCCUUUUCACUUUUAACACUUUUUUCAGGUGAAUUGUAGUGGAGAAGGUAAAACACAUUUCAAUAAAAAAAAUCACAUUACUUUUCCAUUAAUUUUUAAUCCAUUCGGGUGAUUAAUUAAAAUAUUUUUACAAAAUUCAUUUUAAUUCAAAAAUUUUAAUAAAAUAUUCAAAUUUUAAAUUAAAUAAUUUGAGUUAUUCGUGUUAAUCGAGUUAUUCGGAUUAACUCGAAUAAAAAAAUUAAAAUUUUCAGUUUAACUCGAAUAUGAAUUAUACAAUUCAAGUUAUCUGAAAAUCCGAAUAAGAAAAUAUAAAACUACGUUUUUUGAUAAAUAUUUAAAAUAUCUAAAUUUGAAGCCAAAACCAUUAAGUUAAAAAACAAAACAGUUUUAUUGUUUAUGUAGUUAUAUAAUCUUGUAUUUCAUCUAUUAGUUAAAUAAUCGUUUAUGUAAAUACAACAUUGAGUAUAAAUAAUAAGAUUUGUUAACUCGAAUCGACUUGACAUGAAAUUUUUGACUCGAUUCGAUUCGAAAAAUUUUAAAAUUGAGUUUGGUUGCUAAAAUAGGAUUUGUCAACUCAGGUAACUCGAAAUUUUUUUACUCGAUCGAAUAUUCACCCCUAUUUCUAAACUAUAACAGUUAAUGUAAACUCGUUAAGUCAUAAAAAAAUUCAAGUAAAUGUUUUAAACUUGAGUUUUAUGAAUACAAAAAAUAAUUUUAAAAGCUAUUUUAAAUUAUAAAAUUUAUUUGAUAUAAAUUAAAAUUGUAUACAAAAUAUAAUUAGAUUAUUUGAUAAAAUAUAAUUUUUUAAAAAUUUAAGGUGGGGAAUUUGAAGGAUUUAAAAGAGAUAAAAUAAGAAUAAUUGAAACAAAUUCUACAUUAAGAUAUAAAUAGUUAUUUAUCUAAUUUUCAUUUUCCACAUCUUUUCGUAGAAAAAUCCAAUCAUUAAUUUGUUUUUUUAUUAUGAAUCAUCAUAAUUCAAAAGAAGGUAUUUUUUUAUUUUUUUUUUGCUUUUUUUAUACGUUAUAUAUAUAGUUUUUAAAUAUAAAAGAAAAAUAAAAAUAAAGAAUACAAACAGUUUCGAAAGAAAGAAAAAAUAAAGAGAAAAAUAAAAAUAAAAAGGAAAAUAGAACUUGUACCAAAAAAGUUUUUUUGAAUCUCUUUUCUUUGCCUUUUUUAUUUCUUGAAAUAGUGAAAAAAAAAGAGGAGGUGGCCGAACCCCCUUACAAUGGUUUUGAAUGGCCUUUUAUAGCCAUUUUUACAGCAAGUGGGCUGCGGCAGUGGCAGUGGCGUGCGUCACUUGCACUGAUGGAGGCGGCUUUGAAAAUUUUGUUCUUUUGUGUUGUGGUUUGGGAUUUUGGGCUAGGGUUAGGUUAGUGGGCCAUUCGGGUUUUGGGCUUGGUUUGCAUUUGGGUUAGGCUGUUGGGCCUGGUUUGAUUUUGUGAGGCCCGGGCUAAAUUUGGGUUGUACAGCUACCCCUCUUUGCUUCGUUGUCGUGUAACGGGAAUGAAGCAAAGACUAAGAAAGACCAAAUUUGCCCGGUCUCGCCGAGUCUUGACUUCUCUUGACGCUUCUCUUCAAGUAGCUUUGUUUCAAUCCACUGCGGCUUGUUACUUUAAUCUACUCCACUGCACUUGAGAGAGAUGCGUCUUGUAGCUUCAAUCCAUUCUGCUGCAACUUCAGGGGGACGAGAUUUGUGGUUUUAGUCUGCUCCACAUCUUUGAUCUGCUCCACUACUAUUAGCAUAGUUUAUUUGACUUACUAAUUUAGCCUAUAAAUAGGCUCUUUUACAACCUUAGAAAGAUACAUCCAUUAGAUAAGAACUCAUAACACAUUUGAGAAUUUUGUGUUUACGUUUUUUGGCUUCUUUGUUUUUUGGGUUUUCGGAGUUUAGUUUUUAUCUCCAUCUUUUGUACUCUUCGUUCUUUUACCAUUAUAGUAAAAUUAUCUUUGCCCGUGAUUUUUUAUCCUCUUUGGAGGGGUUUUUCCACGUUAAAUUUUGUGUUCAUCUUCUCAAUUUCUUCUGUUAUUUUUACUUGUUCGUUGCUUAAUCGGGACGAUCCUAACAAGUGGUAUCAAAGCUAGUUUAAUUUUCAUAGAUCAGCCCGUUCAAAGAUGGCAGCAACAAGCUUUGAAAUUGAGAAGUUCGAUGGUGAGACAAAUUUCAAUCUUUGGCAAGUUCGGAUGAUGACAAUUCUAGUUCAAAACAGCUUGAAAAAGGUUGUUACAGGGAAAAAACCUGAGAAUCUAAAUCAAACAGAAUUGGAAGAGCUUGAUGAAAAAGUCUUGUCUGCAAUCCAAUUGUGCCUCGUGAAUACAGUAUUGCAGGAGGAAUUGAUGGAGAAGACCUCAUUUGCCUUGUGGAAAAGGUUAGAAACUCUUUAUGCGACUAAGUCUCUGGCUAACCAUUUAGUGUUGAAACAUCGUCUAUUUACGUUUCGUAUGAAUGAAUGUGAGCUUCUUAGAGAUCACAUCAAUCAAUUCAUUACUCUUUUAAAUGAUUUAAAGAACGUUGAUGUUCAUAUUGACGAUGAAGAUCAAGCUAUGCUAUUAUUGUACUCUUUACCCUCUUCAUACAAGUCUUUCAGGAAGACCUUGAUUUAUGGUAGAGACAAACUCUCAUUCGAAAAUGUGAAGGGUCAUUUGUUGAGUAGAGACAAACUCGACAAUGAGUUUGGUUAGGAUAGCAAGACAGAUAAGUAAGCUUCCGUUUUGGUAGCAUCAAAGAAACGAGACAAAAGGUGUCGCUAUUGUAAAAAUUUAGGUUACGUCAAAGCAGAUUGUUAUAAAUUAUGAAAUAAAAGAGCUGCUGAGAGUAACGAGGAAGAUGUAGCUGGUGCUAAUUUGGUCGAUGAAGGCUGUGAUGAUUUCUUUUUAGUGUCAAGGAGCGAUAACUCCAAGCUUACGUCUGAGUGGAUCCUAGAUUCAGGAUGUUCUUUCCACAUGUGUCCCAAUAGAGAAUGGUUCUCCACAUAUAGUUCAGUUGAAGGUGGAGUUGUGCACAUGAGAAACGAUUCAUCUAGUAAGAUAAUCGGCAUUGGUACUGUUAAAAUUAGGAUACACGAUGGGAUGAUUAAGACACUCUCAAAUGUCAGGUAUGUACCUGAUUUACGAAAGAAUCUCAUCUCCUUGAGUAUUUUAGACUUGAAAGGAUGAAGAAUCAACAUCGAGUCGAGCGGUAUUAAAGUAUCUCGUGGAGCUCUUGUUUUGUUAAAAGGUAAAAGAACUGGCAGUCUUUAUAUUCUGAAAGGUUCUACAGUGACCGGUGAAUCGGACGUCCUUCGUCCAUUACGGAGUCAAAGUCAACUCGUUUGGAGCGGAGGCAACUUGGUCAUAGGACGGAAAAAGGUAUGACCGUUUCGUUGAAGAGAGGUUCUCUUUUGGAUGGAGGUUUUGAAAAGUUAGGGCAUUGUGUUCUUGAAAAUCAGACCUGGGUUAGUUUUGAUUUUGCAGUGCACAAGUCAAAGGCCAGAACUCUUCCAGCUUCUAAGUACAUAUCCGACUCAGUUAAUUCCCUACAUAGUUCAAGAUAGGCCCGUGGCGGGUUUUGGCAAAGAUGGCGUUAAAAGAAUUCGUGUCAAGGUGGAGAUUGUUAGAGUUGUGUGACCCAAAUUCUAAGAGAUUGCUUGCAAGUCAAGGUAAACAAAAAUAUUUUUUUUUCUAGAAGAUUUAGUAUUUAUUAGUAUAAUAUAUUUAGCAUUUAUUAGCAUAGUUUAUUUGACUUACUAAUUUAGCCUAUAAAUAGGCUCUUUUACAACAUUAGAAAGAUACACCCAUUAGAUUAAAACUCAUAACACAUUUAGAGAAUUUUGUGUUUAUGUUUUGAGGGUUCUUUGUUUUUCAGGUUUUCGGGGUUUAGUUUUUUUCUCCAUCUUUUGUACUCUUUGUUCUUUUGCCAUUAUAGUAAAAUUAUCUUUACCCGUGGUUUUUUAUCCUUCUUGGAGGGGUUUUUCCACGUUAAAUUUUGUGUUCAUCUUCUUAAUUUCUUCUGCUAUUUUUUACUUGUUCGUUGCUUAUUCAGGACGAUCCUAACAAAGGUUAAAGGGGUAUUACAGCAAACAUCACCAUAGCAGGAGCAGGCCCUACAGUCCUGUGAAUAAAAUAAUUAAAAACAAAAUAGUCCACCAAAGAGAAAUCAAUUCAAACUACCCCAAAACACUGGAACGGUUGCAGCAAAUCCAAUCAGCUCCCUGAACAUCAUACAAAAACAAGAACAUCACAACCCAAUCAUAUACAGGCCAUGAAGACAUUGGACUCAACAUUUUGCUAAAGUAUUAGCAAAGUAGUUAGAUUUUCUAUACACAUUCACAACGGAGACAUUAUGGGAUCUCAUCACACAGCUUGGUAUAUGACCCAUCCAACAUUUGAGAAAUAGUGAAGAUGUCAAGUCCAGGAGCUCCAAACAAUGCCUCAGCUGGUGGAUCCUAUAAUUAGGUGUCUUUCUUCUGUUACUACUGCAGUAGUGAAGUUUUUAUUCCACUUGGUUCCCUUCUUCCAGAGUUUCUGCUUGAAACACUCACUCUUGAAGUUGGCCAUUUCAUUGCUUGUUUAGCUUUCAUGGAAGGCUCGAAGCUCAUUAGACCAGAAACAUUGUUCCUUUGCCUAUGUAUCUUUUUGACAUAUUCUCUUAAGGAAGAGCUACUUAUAUGAAGGCUCCAUCUUUCUGAGUUGCAGGGCAAAAUUCCAUUCUCCAUGAAAAACUACCCAUUUCCACUAAAGCACACUAGCUUUCGCCAUCCCAUCCGCGAAAAACCUGAAAUGAUACACCAGAAACUCCCCCAAGAUAGACAGAGCCAAGUCACUAUCUCGCUAAUCCCCAUUAAACCCUCCAAUUAAGCAAAGCCAUUUCAUAUUUCAACCUAAUGGCCACCACAAUUGCCAUACAAAAUUUACAAAUUAAAAUGCAAAAAUUAAUACAGAAAAAUACGCAGCCGAAGCUCCAAAAUGUCAAAAUAUGAGCCAAAUUUAGAUUCCAAUUUAAAAACUUGAAUCUAAUUGGUUUUUAAUUUUGUAAUAUAGUAUAUUCACUACAAAAUAUGAAUUGUCAACAUUAAAAUUUAUUGCUAAAUGUUGUAUUACCGUUACUAAGAUUUUAUUGUAACAGCAAAAAAAUCGUUGCGAGGUCAUUGUGUAUACCUCCAUUGUAUAAAAUAUGCACAACGAUUUUACAAAUUGAAAAGUCAUUUUAAUUAUAUAUAUCGCAAUGACUUUUUUUGUUUUAAAAAAUAUUUUUUGUAACCACUUAAUUUAUUUGUCUAAAAAUGUUUUAGUUAUAAUAAAAUUUGUUAUAAUAUCUUUUUACACAACCAUAAUACUUUAGUUACAAAAACUAUUAUGUAACAAUAAUAUAUUGGUUGUAAUAUAAAAUUUGCAACAACUGUAAACUAAAAUGCUAAGUUUUGCACGUAACAAUAACAAUAUUGAUAUGUCAUUGUAUUACACUACUCAAUGAUUAUAUGUCAUUGCCAAAAAAAUAUUUUAAUAACCAUAAAAUGUGGUUGCCAAAUCAUUUACUUAAGAACAAUACUACUGAUUACUAAAUAUUGUUCUACAACUAUUUUAAUUUGUUGUGUACUACAUUGCGCAACAACGAUAUUAUUUUUAAUCAAAGGGCUAUAUAUAACUUAAUAAAAUUUAAAAAAUAUUCUUAAUAAAAUUAAAAAAAAAGUUUCUUCAUCCUCUAACUUAAUAAAAUUAAAAAAAUUCUUCAUGUUAGAUUGAACUGACAUUGAGGUUAUAUAUUGUCAUCGAUCAAGCCAAAGAGAAUAGCUCUACCAAAAUAAAAAAAUUAUUUUUUAUUAAUUUUUAAAAAAAAUUUAAUUGCAGCAUAGUGGUCACGUCAUUUUCUCUAUGACUCUAUCAAAUAAAAUAAUAAUUUUAAUUUCAAAUUAAAAAUAAAAAUUACUUUUAAAAAAUUGACAUAAUAAAAGUGGUGUGACCAAUUUAUUUGGCUCCCGAAAUAUUAUUAUUUAUUUUCUAGUUCCCAAAAUAUUUAAAAAUAUUGGUGUUAGAGUGGUAUUUAUACGGGUGAAGCCAAAUAAAUUAACUUUACCUACAAAAAUUAAUUUUUGUUAUAAAAUAAAGAGAGAUAGAGAGAAUGAAGAACAAAGAAAAUAUGAAAGCAAUAGAGAAUAUACUUUAUUGAUCAAAUGGAUGAUUAUAAUGCUUCAUCGGAGUCUCUAUUUAUAGGCAUAAGAAGUAUAAAAAGAAGUAGAGAUCUAAUUCUAAUAACUAUUAGAAUUUAAGGUAUAUCAAAGCUUUAUCUUGAUCAUGAUGGACAUCCACUAAAUAAGAUAUUUAUAACGCUCCCCCUUGGAUGUCCAUUGGUAGAUAAUGUGCCUCGUUAAAACCUUAUUAGGAAAAAUCCUGUGGGAUAAAAACCUAAUGAAGGAAAAAGAGUACACAAUAUUCUAUUACAAGUUGUCUCAUUAAAAACCUUUACCAGGAAAACCCAAUGGGACAAUAUCUUGGUUAAAGGAAAAGAGUACAACUUAUUUUAGACUCCCCCUAAUGGCAACAUUACAUUACAUCUUUGAGUUGACGCAUUUCAAUCUUGUGUAGUAGUCUUUCAAAUGUGAUAGCCCGAAAUAGGGCCUAAUCGGAAUAGUAGUUUCGUAACCACAAAUCCAAAGUGAAAUAGUUUAAUUUUAUAAAUUUUUAUUAGUUACUGAUUGAUUGAAUUGUGUGAAAAUAUGAAUAAAAAUUUUUAAUGAUUUAGUGCCUAAUUGAAUUUUUAGGACUAAAUUGAGAAAAAUGCAAAGUGUGUCUAAUUAGUGAUUAAAUGACUUAAUUGAAUUAUUGCAUGAAAUUGGAAGUGUUUAUGUGGCAAUUAGACCAUAAAUUAGUGAUAUGGACACAAAAGGGUAAUUCUAGAAAAAUAUCUACGUAAUGGGUCAAGGGCAUUUUUGUCCAAAUUUAGAAAAAGACUAAAUAAAGUGAAAAUAAGUGUCUAUCUUCUUCAAAAUUGAAGAGCUUGCUGCCGAAACUUUCAUGCUUCAAUAGUUAGGGUUUUUGAUUUUUCUAAGCUCAAUUGUAAGUGAUUUCUUGCCCCGUUUUUAAUUAUUUUCGUAUUUUUAUGCUCAUUGAAGCUUGAAUUUCAUGUUUCUACUAUUUAAUUUAAAUGAAAUUAAAGUUUAAAAAUUGACCCAUUCAUGAUAUAAUUGUAAAUUGAUUAGUGAUGUUAGAUAAUGAAUGUUUGAAGUGUUAAUUACAAGUUUUACUAGAUGAAUUUUGAUGAAAAUGUUGAAAAAGGGCUAAAUUGUAAAAGAUGGUAAAGUGUGCAUAAAGUUGUGAUUUUGUGAAAUUGAGGGCUGUUAUGACUAUAAAAUAUGAUUUAGUGAAGUUUGAAAUUUAAGAAUUUAGUGAAUUUUAUUUUUACGAGCUUAGGGACAAAAGUGGAAUUUUUGAAAAGUUUUGGGGAAAAAUGUAAAUUUGCCAAAAUGUUGUGUAUGAAUUGUAUUUGAAUGAAAUGUUGAUAAAAUGUAUUAAAUUGUGUUAAUAUAGAUCAAGAAAGAAGAAAUAGUGGAAGUGAUCGGGGAAAAGAGAAAGUUAUCGACUAAAUUACAAAAAUANNNNNNNNNNNNNNNNNNNNNNNNNNNNNNNNNNNNNNNNNNNNNNNNNNNNNNNNNNNNNNNNNNNNNNNNNNNNNNNNNNNNNNNNNNNNNNNNNNNNGAGGUAAGUUACGUGUAAAUAAUAGUUAUAUUUUUCUAAAUUGUGAAUUAUAUUUGAUAUGUGAAUUAAUAUUGAAUGUGGAAGGAAAAUUGUUCAUGAAUUAUUCAAGUGUUAAAGUGUUGAAAAUAAAGUGUUAAGUGUAAAUUCCCGGUUGAACUUAGGAAUAGAAGUGGAUACAAGUGACAUGUCACUAGAGAUUAGUGUUACAGUGUUACAAUGAGUCCCGGGUGCUGGGUGAUCUAGCAUGUGUUGCAGACACCUGACAGCUUGUGUGAGCAGGCCCGUGGACAUUUCCAGUGUUAUUGAUCAGUGGUAGCUUCAGCUACGUUUCAGUGGUAGCUUCGGCUACAUUUCAGUGGUAGCUUCGGCUACAUAACAGUGGUAGCUUCGGCUACAUAUCAGUGUUGCACUUAUGUGCUAAAUCUCUACGUAUCUGUGUCUAUUCCGAGUGUUCAACGGGAUUAAUGAUGGGUUAAAGUGAAUAUGAAAUGAAGUGUGUAUGCAGGUACAAUUGAAAGAAUUGAGCAUAUGUGAUAAAUGUUAAGUGUGAAAAUGUAUAUGCAAGUGAAUUGGUAAGAUUGUGCAUGUGUAAGUGAUUGAAAUUGCUAAGAAAUGUUUUGAUUAGUUAUAUGUUAAAAGUGUUAAUUAUUAAAUGAGUAAUUAUUGUUUACAUGUAACUUACUAAGCUAUUUAUAGCUUACACCUUUCUUUCUUUCCUUUGUUUUAUAGUGAUUUGAACUUGAUCGAAUUGGGGAUCGUCGGAGCUCGUAUCACACUAUCAUAAUCAUCUCGGUAUUAUGUGCUUUUCAAAAUGUUUAAACUAUGACAUGUAUAGAGUCUUAAUCAUUUUGAGUGUGUUCAUAUGAUAUGGCUAAGAUUAGCUAUUGAAAUGGUUAGUAAAGAUUAUGUUUUGGUGUUAUGUAUGUGUAAAUGGUAGCUAAUACAAAGAAGCAGUUUCUUUGACAGCAGUAGUGAUGUGAAUGUGAAAAAUCACCAUAAAUAGUAGAAACGUAAUUAGAGAGUGAAUUAUAUAUGGAAUUAAAGCUUAUCAAGUCUAUUUUUAUAUGAAAGAAAUGGUGUAGGCAAAGGAAUUCUGUAUUUUGAGAUAUUUGAAUUUUAGUGAGACAGGGUCAGAAUGUUUUUUGAAGUCCCCUGUUCUGAAUUUGGAAAAUCAUUAUAAAUUGUACAGAAAGAAUUAUGGGUCAUAAUUUAAAUGUAUAGAUUUAUUAGUGAGUAUAUUUUCAAAAGAAACAAACUAUAACCUUAUAUGAAUUAUGUGCAAUGAGAUAAUUUAUUUUUAGUGCCAAGAGGUCAGACCUGUCGAGCUGUGAAAUAGGGGAUACUUUAAUGAAUAAACUGUACUAAUUGGCUUAGUAAAAAAUUCUGAAAAUUUUAUGGUAAGUAGGAAUAUCAGUCUAGUUUCAGGGAAAAUUUACGGAUUUAAAUUUUGAGUUUCGUAACUUGAGUUAUAAGUAAAUUAGUGACAGUUGCGCAGGUGGAUAGUUUUGUUAUGAACAGUAAAUUUAAUUUUAAAAGCAAAUUUUUAUGCUCCGAAUUGGUAAGUUAGAUUGGAUAAAUUCUCGUACUCGAUUCCGGUGACGGUCUCGGGUAAGGGGUGUUACAUCAAAUGUUCAAGUUGGCAAUGCCUUAGUAAAAAUAUAUGCUAAAUUAUCACUAGAAUGAAUUUGUUGAACAUUUAUAUCACCUCUUUUCUGAAGAUCAUGGGUGAAGAAUAAUUUUGGUGAAAUAUGUUUCGUUCUAUCACCUUUGAUGUAACCACUCUUCAAUUAAGCUAUACAUGUUGCAUUAUCUUCAUAUAAGAUAGUUGGCAUCUUUUCCUAUAAAGGUAAAUUACAUAUCUUUUGGAUAUGUUGGGUCAAUAACCUUAGUCAAACACACUCUCGAUUGGCCCCAUUCAUUGCAAUUAUUUCUACAUGAUUUGAAGAAGCAACAACUAAUGUUUGCUUUGUCGAACGUCAUGAUAUGGUAGUACCCCCCUCACAUGUAAAUAAAUAUCCUGUUUGAGAUCGACCUUUAUGUGGAUCUGGUAAGUAUCCAGCAUUAGCAUAGCCAACUAAUAGGUAUUUUGAAUCAUCUGAAUAAAAUAACCUCAUAUCAAUGGUCCCUCUGAAAUAUAUAAAUACAUGUUUAAUUCCAUUCCAAUGCCUACAUGUUGGAGAAGAACUAAAUCUUACUAACAAGUUUACAGUGAAAGUUAUAUCAGGUCUUAUGCUGUUUGUAAGAUACAUCAAUGUCUCCAUGGCACUUAGAUAUGGUACUUCAAGACCAAGAAACUCUUCAUCAUUCUCACAAGGAUGAAAUUGAUCUUUAUUCACAUCUAACAAUCGUACAACCAUCGGAGUAGUUAAUGGGUGUGUUUUAUCUAUGUAAAAUUUCUUUAAUAUCUUUUUCAUAUAAGUUGAUUAAUGAACAUGAAUUUUAUCUUUUAAAUGCUUGAUUUUUAAUCCAAGAUAAAACUUUGUUUUUCCAAGAUUUUUCUCAAAUUCUUUCUUUAAAUAAUUUAUUGUAUUUUGAAGCUCUUCAGGAGUUUCCAAUAAUAUUUAGGUAAUCAACAUAAACAACAAUUAUUACAAAAUCUUAUCCAAACCUUUUUAUAAAGACACAUGGAAAAAUUGGAUCAUUUUUGUAACCUUACUUUAACAAGUGUUCACUAAUACGAACGAUUGUACCACAUACGUCCAGAUUGUUUUUAUCCAUAUAAACUUUUCUUUAAUUUGAUUGAGUAAUUUUCUCAAGAAACUCUAUAUCUUUUUGGGAUUUUAAAUCCUUCGAGGAUUUUCAUAUAAAUUUCACUAUCAAGUGUACCAUAUAAAUAAGAUGUAACAACAUCCAUUAAAUGCAUGUCAAGUUUUUCUCGUACUGCCAAACUAAUAAGAUGUCUCUUCAUAAUCAAUGUCGGGCCUUUGCGAAAAUCCUUGUGCUACAAGGCGAGCUUUAUAUCUUAUGACUUCAUCAAUUUCAUUUCGUUUUCACACAAAUAUUAAUUUAUAUCCUACCGACUUUACUCCUUUAGGUGUUUUGGACUAUAGGUCCAAAAACUUCACGUUUAGAAAGUGAAUUCAAUUCUGCUUGAAUUGCACCUUGCCAUUUUGACCAAUCUUUUCUAUUUUUACAUUCCUUAGUAGAUUUAGGCUCAGGAUCCUUAUUUUCUUUUGUUAUUUCAAUAGCAACAUUAUAAGCAAAAUUGUUGUCGACAACUUAAUUUUUUUUCCGGUUCCAUCUUUUUCUCGUAUUGACAUAAUAUUUGGGCAUGCACCACAUAUGUGACCAUUAAUCUUCAUAUCACAUUGAUAACAUAAGUUAUAUUUACCCUUUGAAAAGUUAUCUUGAGAGCUCUCAUUGUUCUCUUAUUUAUUACUAUAUUCCCACUUUUAGUGGUCCAUGAGUAUAUCUUUUAUUUUCUUUAUGUUUACAUUCAUUUCAGGGAAUGCAACAAAUCUAGUAGGAUAGACUUAUAAACAUCCCAAUAGAUUCUUUAUUUCAUAAUCACCAUCGCAAACAUGCGUGAGAUUUAAAUCAAAAUUUAUCUAUUCAUAUUGUCAUGAUUAGUCUCCAAUUAUAAUAAACAUGAUAUAACACAUAAAACAUGAUAAAAUAUACCUGAAGAUCUUUAACAUCAUCGUCAUCAUAUUGACUAUUAUCACGAGCACUAUUACAAGUAAUAAAAUAACUUUGUUUUCGUAAUAACAUUUACAAUCUAAUAAUAAAAAUCAUUUAAUAAAUAAUCAAAAUUGUUGUGUAUCAAAAUUUUCAUGUACGAUGCUUGAAAUUUAUCUGAUACACAUUGUAUCAAAUUUCAAUACCACAUAUAUGUUAUAAAAUCUUAUCUUGCUCUAAUAAAAUAUUUAUAAGUUUAAUUUAAAAGAUAUCAUACAAUUAUUCAAUAUUAGAAAGUUAAUAAGACUAAAUAGAUCCUAUCAAAUUUCCUUUUAAUCCACAAUGGUAGGUUAAUAAGACUUUCCACCAUACUUUUAAUAAAAUUUCAAGAAUAAGUAACAAGAAAAAAAAUUUAAAACACAAAAAUAUUAUGCAUAAUAUAAUUUAAUUAAAAAAACUUUAAAAAAUAGAAAAAAAGAACAUACCAUAUUAAUAGCAAACAUAUCUAAUCAAUAAUUAUGUCUUUUAAGUAAAAAAAAUUUACCCUAAAAAAGCAAAAAUCAAAUACUAUCAGAAUGUGAAAUUUAUGUCAAAUAAAAAUUAGUAGUAGUUAUACCUUAAUUGAAAAAGAAAAUAUGGCCGAAAUAUAAAAGUUUCUUACCAAAUCUAUACUUUACCCAUACUUUUACAAUAAAUCAAAGAUCGAGAAUAAGAAUCACAAUCCAUUCUGAGAUUGAAUUUUUCAACAUCCUAAAAAUGAAGUUGUAAGGGAGAAAGUUUAAGGUGAAAAGGAAUUUGAUUUGUGGGACGACUUCUAAAGAUUUUGAAAAAAAUAAAGACUCAUCGUGCUGAUAACGUGUUAUAAAAUAAAGAGAGAUGGAUAGAAUAAAGAAUAAAGAAAACAUGAAAGCAAUAAAAAAUAUAUUUUAUUGAUCAAAGAGAUUAUUACAAUGUUUUAUCAGAGUCUAUUUAUAAGCAUAUAUAAGAAGUAUAAAAAAAAUAGAGAUCUAACUAUUAAGACCCAGAUUACCAUAACAGAUGCAAUAUCUGAUCGGUGAAGUUAAAGAAAAUGGAGACCAUGGGAAAUCUUCUAAUCCUUUUUCCAGCUUCUUUAUGCCUCUUCCUUUUCGUUGCUUUGCUCAAUGUUUUCUACAAGUAUUGGUGGAUACCUCAUCGUGUACAGUUCAUCAUGAAUUCACAAGGAAUCAGAGGACCUCCUUAUGAAUUUAUCCAUGGAAACAAUAAAGAAGCUGCCCAAAUGCUCAUGGAAGCAUCUACCAAACCUAUGGCCUUGACACACGAUAUAUUUCCCAGAGUCAUGCCUCAUGUUUACUCCUGGAUCAACAAAUACGGUAAGAAUUUUUUUUUUUCUUUUUGGGGUUGCAUUUUCUGAUUAACCUCCACUUUUCAAGAAGAGAAAUCAUUUUCUUUCAGGGAAGACUUAUCUUAGCUGGAAUGGAAUUCGAGCUCUACUGCUAAUUACAGACACAGAUCUGGUCAACGAGGUCCUUAAAAACAGUGAAAAGGCUUUUCCAAAGCCAAAGGCUUCAUAUUUCUUCGACAAGCUACUAGGCGACGGCCUUGGUUCAACCGAAAGUGAGAAAUGGGCAAGGCUAAGGAAACUGGCCCAUUAUACCUUUCAUGGGGAGAGCUUAAAAGUAAAUCAUCGCCACCUUCUACUCUAAUUAUUGUAGUGGAACAUUUACAAACAUGAUACUUUUUUGCAGAAUAUGAUUCCAGCAGUAGUUGCUAGCGUUGAAACCAUGCUUGAGAAAUGGAAAAGUAAGGAGGGCAAAGAGAUAGAAGUGUUCCAAGAGUUCAGAUUAUUGACUUCAGAAGUGAUAUCCAGAACCGCCUUUGGUAGCAGUUACUUGGAAGGGGAGAAGAUUUUUGACAUGUUGAUGAAAUUGUCAGUAAUUGCAGGCAGAAAUAUUUUAAAAGCAAAGAUUCCCAUCAUCAGGUAACUUCAUCAAAUCUUUACUUUGUUAAUCAACAUACUUCAGCUGCCAAUGGGUUGAUUUAGGGUGGGUUUGGAUGGGCGAUUGGGUACGGUGCGUUUAGUCUACUUUUUGUCUCACGCUAUAGUAUUGCUACAGUAUCUAAUCUCACCGCCACCGCCCAUCCAAAUUCACCCUGGUUUUCCUUUUCAGCAAGUUUUGGAAAUCUGCUGAUGAAAUUGAAUCAGAUAAAAUUGCCAAAAUGAUACAUGAUUCUGUGAUGAAGAUUGUUAAAAAAAGGGAAGCCAAAGUAGGGACCGGAGAAGCUGAUAACUUCGGUCGUGAUUUUCUGGGAUUACUGCUUAUUAUGAGGCGGACGAGAAAAAUAGGCUUCCGAUACAAGAUUUGGUAGAUGAGUGUAAAACUUUCUAUUUUUCUGGGCAAGAAACAGUCAAUUCCUUGCUUGCAUGGGCAACCCUGCUUUUAGCAGUACACACCAAUUGGCAAGAUAAAGCAAGAGCAGAGGUGAUUGAGGUCUCUGGUAAUCAAAACCCAGAUUCUGAAGGGAUGGCCAAAUUAAAGACGGUAAGCAAACUAUACAAAUUCAAUAGCUUGAAAACUAACAGUGAACAUUUAUAUUGCCCUUUGGAUUUCUUUUUCUCCAACAGAUUACCAUGAUUAUCAAUGAAACUUUACGGCUUUAUCCUCCUAUAAGUGGCGUGAUAAGAAAAGUAGGAAGAGAAGUCCGAUUAGGAACACUUGUCCUGCCUACUCAUUCACAGGUCGACAUGCGAAUCAUAGCACUUCACCAUGAUCCUGACUUAUGGGGAGAUGAUGUUGAUCUUUCCAAACCAGAGAGGUUUGCUGAAGGGAUAGCCGAAGCUACUAAGUAAAAUGCAGCUGCAUUUAUGCCCUUUGGAUUGGGACCUCGAUCUUGCGUAGGCAUGAGCUUUACAAUCAUUCAAGCGAAAAUUGCACUUUCCAUGAUUCUGCAACGCUACACUAUCAACCUCUCCCCUAGCUAUGUUCAUGCACCUUUACAACGUCUUACACUCAGGCCACAACAUGGGAUUCAGUUGUUGUUUCAUUCACUACGUUAUGAUGCUUAAAAUUCUAGUCUGUUGGUCUCCAAUAUAGUAAUAUAUAAUAAAAUGUGGAUAAUACUGUAUUUUGCAACCAUAUGAUAAUAUAUGGUUUUGGGAUUUCACGUUUUGGUGACAAGAUUAUAUGCUCUUUUUUUUUUGUUGAUAUUGUUAAAGGUUAAAAAGGUAUUACAGCAAACGCCGCCACCACAGGAGCAGGCCCUACAGUCCUGUACAUAACAUAAUCAACAACAAAAUAGUCCACCAAAGAGAAAUCAAUUCAAACUACCCCAAAAAGCUGGAACGGCAGCAGCAAAUCCAGUCAGCUCCCUGAGCAUCAUACAGCAACACAGCAACAAGAACAUCACAACCCAGUCAUAUACACGCCAUGAAGACAUUGGACUCCACAUUUUGCUAAAGUAUCAGCAAAGCAGUUAGAUUCUCUAUACACAUUCACAAAGGAGACAUUAUGGGAUCUCAUCACACAGCUUGGAAUAUGACCCAUCCAGCAUUUGUGAAACAGUGAAGAUGUCAAGUCCAGGAGCUCCAAACAAUGCCUCAGCCGGUGGAUCCUAUAAUUAGGUGUCUUUCUUCCAUUGCUACUGCAGUAGUGAAGUUUUUAUUCCACUUGGUUCCCUUCUUCCAGAGUUUCUGCUUGAAACACUCACUCCUCGAGCCGGCCAUUGCUUGUUUUCAUUUUUAAUUUUGUAAUAUAAUAUAUUACAAAAUAUGAAUGGUCAACAUUAAAAUGUAUUGCUAAAUGUUGUAUUACCAUUGCUAAAAUUUUAUUUUAACAAAAAAAAUCGUUGCGAGUUCAUCAUGUAUACCUCCUUUGUAUAAAAUAUGUAUAGAAAUUGAAAAGUCAUUUUUAAUUAUAUAUACUGUAACAUUUUUUUUUUGUUUUAAAAUAUAACUUUUUUCGUAACGAUAUAAUUUGUUUAUCUAAAAGUGUUUUAGCUAUAAUAAAAUUUGUUACAAUAUCACAAUGGUAAUAGUUACAAAUACUAUUACGUAACCAUAGUAUAUUGGUUGCAAAAUAAAAUUUGCAACAAUGUAAAAUUAAAUUUGCUAAGUUUUUUACGUAACAAUAAUAAUAUUGAUUACCAAAUAUUAUUUUGUAAGGAUAUUUUAUUUGGUUGUGUAUUAUAUUGUGCAAUGAUUAUAUUUCAUUGCCAAAAAAAUAUUUUAACAACCAUUAAGCGUGGUUGUCAAAUUAUUUAUUUAACAAUAAUACUAUUGGUUGCUAAAUAUUAUUCUGCAAUAAUGUUUUAAUUGGUUGUGUACUAAUUACGCAACAACUAUAAAAAUUUAUUUAAACAACCAUAAAAUGUGGUUGCCAAAUAUUUUUUGCAACAACAACAAUAAUAAUAUAUUUGUUAAUGCUUUUACAUAACAAUUUUUACUUAGUUAUGAAAUAUUAAUUUACAAUGGCAUAAUAUUUGGCCAUGUCUUAUAUUACACGAUAUUUAAAUAUUGUGCAAAGUUAAUUUUAACAACCUUAAUAUUUUGUUGCAAAAUUUUUAUAUGUAACCAUAUUAUUAUGUUCGUUGAAAUUUAUUUUGCACCAAAAUAUUAUAUAAUUGAUAAUAAAAAGAAGUAAUUACAAAUAUUAAAGAAACUAGUUAUUUGUUUAAAAACAAUAUUACCAAAAUUUUAAGCCCGUUUAUUAGAGUCCGGUUUGAAAAAUGUGCCUAAAAUUUAUCCCAAGCCCAACCCAAAUAAAAAUGCUAAACUCGGUCCGACCCGCUCAUAUUAUUUUUUAUAUAAUUUUUUUAAAAAUAUAAUACAUAAAAAUACUAAAAAUAUUAAAAUAAAUACUUCCCAAUAAAUUGAAAAUAAAUUAAAAAACAAUAUGUAUACUUAAAUAAUACUAAGAUAGGGUGCAACUUAACAAGCAAAUGCCUCUAAAAUAGUAACAAAAUUAACAAUAAAAUAACAGUUAUGCAAUAUCCAAACAAUAACGGCUAAUUUACCAAAAAAAGCCCAUUUUUUUUAAAAAUUACCGAAAUAAGCGGUUUUUUAAUUAUUUACCGGAAUGGGCCAUUUUUCGCGAAAUCGCGUCCACGUGGACGCGAUGUCAUGCCACGUAGCGCGGUACCGGAAACGCGAUUUUGACUCUGAUUUUACGUUUGGGUUUUCUGGCUUUUACGGUUUAGGGUGCAGGCUUUUUAGGGGUUAGGGGUCCCGGAAAAAUUGUUUUCGAGUUGAUGUAUCUGGUCAAAUAGUGGGAAAUCGCUUUUACCAGGAUGCUAUUUGAGAAGAAAUUGUGAAAUCGUGGCCUCGUGGACGCGAUUUCGCUACAGUGGUCAUGUAAGAAAUAAUUUUUUUUGACGUUUUCUAAGCAAAUAGUAUAAAAUCGCUGAUACCAGGAUGCUAUAUGAGAAGAAAUUGUGAAAUCGCGCCCUCGUGGACGCGAUUUCGCUACAGUUGGUCAUGUAGGAAAUAAAUUUUUUUUGACGUUUCUGAGUAAAUAGUGUCAAAUCGCGCCCUCGUGGACGCGAUUUUGCUACAGUAGCAAGUUUGGGCUGAAGCUAUAAAUUAGGCAGAAAAUGUUCUUAGAAUGCAUAACUCACAGAAAAAACAUUUUAGAAAGGCUAAGAAACUUAGAGUUUCAAAAUGAGUGAACGUAUUACUGCUGUUAUUUACUACGAUAGUGAGGUUUGCCACACCGAGAAUGGUGUUGUUUUUUUGUCGGAGAAUACGGUGCGACUGUCAUUUAGCCAAAACAUAGAUUUGACGGAACUCCGUAAAAGAAUUAGGCGUAAAAUCUUCGGAACAACGCCAAUGAAAGUUCUGUCAAUGACGUAUCGAUUUUGUUCUUCUUUUGAUCCGGUGACAUAUGACUCCUUCGACAUAAAAGGUGCUCGUAGCUUGGAGGCAAUGGUGCAGACUCAUCUUGCUAGCGGAGCAACUUAUAUUGAGUUAUAUGUACAAUUUACGUCGCCAACUGAUGUACUUCCGUCUGGUGUUCGAGAUGUAUACAUACCCCUGGCCGACACUCUGUUAGCGUGUUACAAAAUACGGAACAGCCCAUGUUCGGUAGCGGUGUCGAAUGCAUAUCCCCCCUAGACACUCUGUCGGUGGAUGGGACAUGUACAUCGGUGGCUCGACAUUUGACGCUGGAAAUACGAGCUGGGGAACUGCAUCAAGUUCUACUGGAUGGCAAUCUACAUCCAAUUGGGGACGUUAUCAAAUGCCCAGAAGAAGGGAUGACGUACUACCUACAACAUCAACCGGUGAGGGGACGUCGUACGCUGCAGAUGAUUGUGGGUUAGAAGGUGACUCCGAUGUGGAUCCACCUCGAGAGCCCGGGCCGGAAUGUGCAGAGGUGGGAUUAUUUUCUGAACCGGAGCCUAUUCCAACAGAAGGUGAAGAUAGUGAUAGGAGUGCAGAUGAUGAAGAAAAUCCACGAUUCAGAGCAUACUCACCUCCAGCCCACAUGCAUAAUGUGGAUCUGUCAAAUGAUGAUGCGUUAGAGUUUCCAGAUCUACCACACCGGGUGCGCGAUCGUACAAGUUCGGGGGUAGAUCUCGGUGAACUUGAAGUUGGUAAUCAGUUUACCAAUAAGGAUAGUUUUAUUGGUGCUUUGAAACAGCAUAGCGUCAAAAACGGCGUUAAUUACCACGUCGUUAAAUCAAAAUCUGAUAAGUUUGAGGCGAAGUGUGCGGUGCAAGACGGNNNNNNNNNNNNNNNNNNNNNNNNNNNNNNNNNNNNNNNNNNNNNNNNNNNNNNNNNNNNNNNNNNNNNNNNNNNNNNNNNNNNNNNNNNNNNNNNNNNNCUCGUUAAGGAAGAGGACAGGGUUGUGGGAGAUCAAAAAGUACAAAGGUCCACAUACAUAUGCUGCAGGUACAGGAUUGAAUGUGUCUGAAUAAUAUUUUUAUUUUCCAAUGUUGCAUUAUUUAAUGUACUCCCUCCCUUUGUAGGCGUUUCAGAAGAUCAUCCGAAAAUGGAUUCAGCUAUGUUGGCUAGCUUGAUACUGCCCACGAUAAAAGCAGAUCAUCGGACUUCAGUGCCGGUGAUAAUUGCCAAUAUCCGUAGCCAAAUGGGGUAUACGCCCUCUUACCGCAAGGCUUGGAUAGCUAAGCAAAAGGCAUUGGAGAAGAUGCAUAGUGGUGGGUCGCCUCAUAUAAUGAAAUAUGGCAAUGGUGUCAGGUGGUAGAGAGAUACGUCCCAGGUGCCAUCACAGACCUUGAAACGGAACAUGCGUACUACAAUGACCGAUUGCUACGUGGAUGCCAAGUGUUCAAACGCCUAUUUUGGACCUUUAAGCAAUGCCGAGACGCAUUUCCCUACUGCAAGCCAUUGGUACAAAUUGACGGUACCUUCAUGUUCGGUAGGUACACUCAUCGGCUAUUGGUUACAGUGGCACAGGACGGCGGUGGGAGAAUUCUUCCAAUUGCAUAUGCAAUAACACCGGGGGAGUCGUCUGAUGACUGGGAUUUUUUUCUCUCUAGGUUAAGGAGGCAUGUCUGCCCCCAACCUGAUAUCUGUGUUAUUUCAAAUCGGGGCACCGGUAUACUAGCUGCAUUUGAUCGAGAGGGAAGCUUGUGGCAGCGUACACACCAUAGGUAUUGCCUGAGACACGUUGCUUCGAACUACUACAGGUAAUAUCCAUCUAAGACGGAACGACGACAAGUGACCAACAUGGGUAUUUACUGUAUAAUUGUAUUAUUUCGUUUGUCAAAUUGAAUUAGUUUUAUUGGUAGACGCGGUAUAAAAUAUUCACUAUGUUCUUAUAUUGGUAGGGUAUGAAAUGAAUAAAGAUCGUUUUCACGAGAUGUUGGCAAUCUUGCGAUCCCAAAACGAAGAAGGGGCGGACUACCUUUGCAACAUACGUUUCGAACAGUGGGCACAAGCAUACGACGGAGGCCUACGAUAUGACCAUAUGACGUCGAACCUGGCAGAAUGCAUAAAUUUUGUUCUUAAAGGAACGCGCCAUCUACCGAUACCAGCGGUUGUGCGAAAGACAUAUUUCCAUUUGGCGGCGCUAUUUCCAAAGCGAGCAGCAGGUUAUGCAGGCCAGAUGUAGGGUGGGCAUGUAUGGUGCAGUAAGGUAGUUCAAGAAAUUAACAAGGCGAAGGCGAGGGCAAACGUCAUGCACGCUAUGUGUCACGAUCGAGACAAUUUAUGGUUUCGCGUGACGGAGUUCGACAUACCACACCAAGGUGUUGUUGGCGGGCAAUAUCUUGUACACUUGCGAAACAGGACUUGUGACUGUGGGAAGUUCGAUGCACUUCGUUAUCCAUGCGCUCAUGUUAUUGCAGCCUGUCAGAAACUCCGUCUGGAUCCGCUGAGUUAUGUGGACGAAGUGUACAAAUUAGAAAACAUGUACAACGUAUGGAGACACAUUUUCCCACCGGUCCCAGAUGAACGUAAGUGGCCGCCCGUAUCUCUUGCUCCUUUUAAACUGUUACCGAAUAGAGAAUUACGUCGCAAGCCGAAGGGUCACCUUCCUCCACUAGAAUACGGAACAAUAUGGAUAUCCGAGAAACAGCCAGUCAACAGAAGUUGUGCGGAUGGUGUAGGAACCCAGGCCAUACAAGUUGAUCGUGCCCUAAUCGCAAUAGUUAAAUGUAAUUAUAGAAAUAAUUACCUUUUAUUCAAUUAUUAAUUAAUAAUUGUAUUAAUUGUUAGUAAAAUUAUCAAAUUACUACAAUUUCUUAAAUGUUAGUACCAGUCAAAACAUUUUACGAAAUCCAACAUUAUGUAAAACUAUAAUUUCUUAAAUGGUUACUAAGAUUAUCAAAUCCGCUGAGUUAUGUUAGGGUUUUUACAUUAAUUAAAUUAGGUUAGGUUAGGGUUUUUAAUUAAAUUAGGUUAGGUUAGGGUUUUUAAUUAAAUUAAAUUAGGUUAGGGUUUUUAAUUAAAUUAAAUUAUGUUAGGGUUUUUAAUUAAGUUAAGUUAGGGUUUUUAAUUAUAUUAAGUUAGGUUAGGGUUUUUAAUCAAAUAAUGUCAAAAUAACUCAGAAAAAUUUCUAUGUGUAUUACAUCGUCAUAAACUUCUAUUUCAUUACAUCAAAUGAUAAAUUUUAAUACGGUAAUCAAUGUCUAUGACCGGGGGAUUCGGUUCCACAUGGCGGCCGUCGACGGUUACGCGCUGGAUUCCUCCUUCCUCUAGCUUCCGGCGGCCGUUGUUCUUCCUCGGGUGGUGAUUGUUGUUCUUCCGGUUCGGCAUCUGCUUGUCGGACUUGGGACGAUGAUCCACCUUCAAAGAAUACUGUAUGUGGAGGUGUUUGCAUCAUGAACGGCGACGGAGUUUGAAAGCCAUGCGUUGCUGGCGAUUGGUAAAAAGGAGAGCUCCCCGACGGCCCCCCUUACGACCCCUCCUGCGCCGAUGGCCUAGUUAUCGGUGGUCCGCUCGGCAUUACAGGAAAUGGAACUGAUCCGGGCAUUUGGCUCCAAGCUGCCAUAUGCUGUUGAAAAGGAUACAUGUACGGGUUAGGGUACAUAUAAGGGCUAGGAAACAUACCUGGCAUCAUAGGGAAAGGCGAUUGCGUGGGUAUCAUCUAUUGAAUUGCUGCGUCAGGUGACUGCGCCGGUGCUCUCGUUGGGGACUGUGAUUGCAUUGCCGCUGAUGAUGGGCCGGGUGAAUGUCUGGGCCUCGUUGAUGGGCUGCCCUCGUAGUCUUGUCCCCUUGGAUUUAGAGGCCCGCGCAUUUCCCUUCCGACACGUAUUUACCGCUGCCUCUCCUCUGGCGUAAGUAAAUACGGCUUCCCAUGGAUCCUAAACCAUGGCAUGUAUUCUAUAACGCACGCUAACUCGGGAACGAUGAUUUGUUCCCGAGUAGGUAGAUAUUCAUACCGAUUUUCCCACAUUUCUGUGUACUCUGACCAGUAUCUAGGCCAAUCCGUACCUAAUAGCCGAAGGUCGAUUUUGUGGUGCUCGUCAAACACCUUAGGGUCCGCAGGGAUCGGUUGUCUACAUCCAAACUGUCGUAGGACUCUGUCUGUCUGGUGGGGCUCCACAGUUGCAUAGUUGAUCAACACCACUUUCACGUGCCAAGCGUUGGGAUUUUGUAAAAACUCUUCCGGGAUUACUGCCCGGAUUGCCGGAUCCUCGUAUGGUGUCCAUUGAAACUACAUGAACAUGAUAGAAAUAUUACUUAUAUACAUAAUACUAAAUAGUAAAUACUAAAUAUCAAUCCACUAGUGAAUGUAUGGAAAUAUCUAUUUGCAAUAAUACUUACUUCUGCUUCCGACCGUUGGUCCAAUAGAAGCUGUAUAUCUUCAAGUUCAGACGGUAAUCCACGAUAACUCGCCGGAUGGUUCCACCUAAUUAAAUAAAUUUUUAGCAUACUUUUAUUCUUACAAAAUCUACAUAACAAUUUCAAAAUGUAAUGAAGAAAAUUUACCUCGUUACGAGUGGGAAUAUAUAUGGGUGGUUCACUCGAGGACGUAGAAAUGGAAAGCGAAACCGUGCCCAUGAUUGCAGUAGUGACAGGCAUCCUCCGAUUUUUGCUCUCCUCGGUUUGGUCGCCCCGCACAUCUCCCGAUAUAAAGUUUCCAAGACGGUAGACCCCCAACUAAAUUCACCGACUGCUCUAAAAUCAACGAGUUUUAGCAGCCACCUUAGAUGUACACAGCUCCGUGACGUGUCGGCCAUGAGAUAGCCUCCAAUUAUUUGAAGAAUGUAUGAUCGAGCAUAUCGGAUUCGUUCAAAUUCGGUUGAAUUUUCAUUCAGACCGGGGAAGGUGGCACGUAACCAGCUCAUCUCCACCUUACCUCCAUCCAUUUUAUCCGGAACGGCGCCCAAAAGCUCGUAGCACACCGCCUCCCAAUUGCUAGAUUGGGCAGACCCAGUGACUGGGUGCCCGUCCACCGGUAAUCCCAAAUGCAGAUGGACAUCUUCUAGAGUGAUAGUGCACUCUCCACAUGGAAGAUGAAAUGUGUGCGUCUCAGGUCUCGACCUCUCGAUCAACGCACUGAUCAGUUUCGUCUCCAACUUGCAUCCCCGGCCUACCGUUGCCACGUGCCAAAAUCUCGCUUCCUGCAGGUAGUUCUCUACUAACGGUGAUGGAGGAGCAUGCAUAUUCCGAAUAUUGCAUUCCAAUACCCGAUCUUCAGCCUUUUAUAAGAAAAAAUAAAUUAAUAAAUAUCUAAAAAUACAUAAAAAAAUAUCUUAAAUAAAUUUUAAAUUUUAAAUUUAAUACUUACCAUUUUCAAUUGCUCCACCGAGAUGUGAUUCCUAUCAAGACGAAUCAAUGAUCCGGCCAUUGUUGAAAAUAUUAAAAAUUUUAAAAUUAUUUUAAAAAUAAAAAUUUUAAAAUUUUCUUAAAAUAAUGAAAUUUAAUGAAAAAAGAAAUUUAAUAUGGAUUUGGAGAUUUUUUGAAGGAAAUUGAGAGGAUUUUAGAAGGAAUUUGAGAGAAUUUUGAAAGGAAUUUGAGAGAAUUUUUGAACGGAAUUGAGAGAAUUUUUGAAGGAUAUUGAUAUUGAAUUUUUUUGAGAAAAUAAAGGGGUGGGGGUUUAUAUAAGUAAAAAAAAAAUUACGUGGGGGGGGACAACGGUCAAUUUUUUGACCGUUGGGCACUGUUCACGCGCGCGGCCACAUCGCGUCCACGUCAGCAGGUCGCGCUGACGUGGACGCGAUGUCCUGUCACGUACCCUGACAUCGCGCUGACGUGGACGUGAUUUCGCGGAAAAUAGCCCAUUCCGGUAAAUAAUUAAAAAACCGGCCCAUUUCGGUAAUUUUUUAAAAAAACUUUUUUUAGUAAAUUAGCCAACAAUAACAACAAAAUAGUAACAAUAUAAUAGUGAAAUUGUGGCACAAUAGUGAAAAAAAAAUUAAGAAAAUAGCAUCAAAACAAUAAAAGAAAAUAAAAGAAAACAACAUGUUUUCUUUUUCUUUUUUGCAUAUUCAGGUCGGGCCGGACUCAAGCAAAAAAAACCUUGACUGAGGCUCGGCUUGUUUUUUAAAUCGGCCUCAUUUUUUGUCCAAACACAUUUUUUGAGCCUAAUUUUUACCCAAAUCCUCCCACUUUUCGGGCGAACCAUUCGGCCCGACCCAUAGACAGGUCUAUUUCAAUUACAAUUAAAUUAAAAUAAAAAUCUAACAAAAUUAAAUAGAUAUAUAUAAUAAACUAAUAAAAAUAAUUUUAAAACUAAAAUUGAAAUAACCCAUGAAAUUUAAAGUCUAAAAAUUAAAAAUUUAUAUGUACUGUAUGGUAAUAAAUACAAAAUUAAAGUUUAGAUAUAUUCUCCCUGUUCACUUUUAAAAAUCUUUUUCAGGUGAAUUGUAGUGGAGAAGGUAAAACACAUUUCAAGCAAAAAAAAUCACAUUACUUUUCCAUUAAUUUUUAAUCCAUUCGGGUAAUUAAUUAAAAUCUUUUUACAAAAUUCUCUACCAACCACACCUCGUCUUCUCGAAUGAGGGUUAGCAAAAUUCGAUUUAAUUCAAAAAAUUUAAUAAAAUAUUCAAAUUUUAAAUUAAAAAGUUCGAGUUAUUCGAGUUAAUCCGAUAAUUCGAUUAACUCGAAUAAAAAAAUCAAAAUUUUCAGUUUAACUCGAAUAUGAAUUACACAAUUCGAGUUAUCUGAAAAUCGGAAUAAGAAAAUAUAAAACUACGUUGUUUUGAUAAAUAUUUAGAUUUUCUAAAGUUGAAGCCAAAACCGUUUAUUUAAAAAACAAAACAAUUAUAUUGUUUAUGUAGUUAUAUAAUCUUGUAUUUCGUCUACUAGUUAAAUAAUCGGUUCAUGUAAAUGCAAAAUUGAGUAUAAAUAAUAGGAUUUGUUAACUCGAAUCGACUUGACUCAAUUCGAUUUGAAAAUUUUUUAAAUUGAGUUCGGUUGCUAAAAUAGGAUUUGUCAACUCGACUAAUUCGAAUUUUUUUUACUCGAUCGAAUAUUCACCAUUAUUUCUAAACUAUAACAGUUAAUGGAAACUCGUUAAGUCAUAAAAAAUUCAAGUAAAUGUUUUAAACUUGAGUCUUAUGAAUACAAAAAAUAAUUUUAAAAGAUAUUUUAAAUUAUAAAAUUUAAUUGGUAUAAAUAGGGGUGAGCAUUCGAUCGAAUCGAAUCGAAUCGAAAAUUUUCAAGUUAAUCGAGUUUUCGAAUCUCAUUUUAUCAUCCUAACUUCAUUUGAAGUUUUCUCGAAUCGAGUCGAGUGAGAUGGAAUUCGAAUCGAAUCGAAUCGAAUCGAAUAUAUUUGUUCCAGUUAAAUUUUAAAAAAUAAUUUUGGAUCCUUGUAACCACUGUCACCCAUCGUAAUAAAAUUUGUCCACCUUAAUCAGUUUUUUUUAUUAACUUUCAUCACCUCAUAAUUUAUUUAUUAAUUUUUUAUAUACUGGUUAGCUUCUUUGCUUGCUUAGUUGUUUCAAUUAUCUUCAGAUUCUUGUCACUAUGUAUUUUGGAAUUAAAAAAUAUAUUAAAUGUAAAAAUAUGAUUUUUUAAUAAAUGUUAUUUUAAAAAUAAAAUGUGAAAUUGAUACCAAUAUAAAAUUUUAACACGAAUAUUUUAUGGCACAAUUAAUAAUUCAAUUUUAAUAUAAAUAUUCAAUAUGACUAAACAAUUCAAUAAUAUAAAUAAUAUAAAAUGUGAAAUUUAAUUUAAUUUAAUAAUAUAAAUAGUAUAUAUAAAUAAAAUUAUUGCUAUUUAUGUUUAGUAAUUUUUUUUGGAUAAUUUUGAUUUUUUAUUUGAGAGUAAAUGGUGAGAAGUAAAAGUUUAAGGGGGAAAUAAAAAGUUUGGGGGAAUAAAAGUUUGAGGGAAAGUAAAUAGGGGGAGUAAAAUUUUGGAGGGAAAAUAUUAAAAAAAAUUUGGAGGGGGGAGGGUUUGGGGUAGAUGAGGUGGGAUGAGAAGGGAAUAAAAGUUUUAGGGAAAAAGUGAGAGGGAGUAAAAAUUUUGGGGGAAAGUAAAAAGUUUUGAGGGUUUUUGGAGUAAAAUUUUGAGAAAAAGUAAAUGGGAGAGUAAAAUUUUAGUGGGAAAUGAAUUUUGGAUAGAUUGGGGGGUUGGGAGGGGAGGGGAGGGGAGUAAAAGUUUUGGGGGGAAAGUGGGAAAGAGUAAAAGUUUUGAGGAAAAAGUAAAAAGGUUUGGGAGUUUGGGGUAAAAAUGUAAAAUAUUAUAGUUUGAUAUUCGAGUUAUUCGAAUUCGAAAACUCAACUCGAAAUUUGAAAAAAAAUUCGAGUUGAUUCGAAUAACUCGAUUCGUUUAACUCGAAAUUCGAAUUUUUUUUCGAUAUUUUCGAGUCGAAUCGAAUUUUGCUCACCCCUAGGUAUAAAUUAAAAUUAAAUAAAAAAUAUAAUUAGAUUGUUUGAUAAAAUAUAAUUUUUUUAAAAAUUUAAAGGUGGGGUAUUUGAAGGAAUUAAAAGAGAUAAAAUAAAAAUAAUUGAAACAAAUUCUACAUUAAGAUAUAAAAAGUUAUUUAAUCUACUUUUCAUUUUCCAAAUCUUUUCGUAGAAAAAUCCAAUCAUUUGUUUUUUAUUAUGAAUCAUCAAACUUGCUUAAAAACAUAAAUUAUUAGUUGAUUUAAUUUUUUUUAAUUGAUUAUCAAACAAGUCCUUGGUUAAUGUUCUCCAAGUUCAAGUGCCAUUUAGGUCAAAAAAAAAGUUUAAGUAAUAGUAACAUAAACAUUCAUUUUAUAACAAUAAAGUUAAAGCCAUGAAUAUUUUCAAAAAAAUAUUCAAUUAAGCCCUUGAAUGUUAAAAUAUUAAUCGAUUAAGUUCUUUGAUAGUUAAAGUUAACAGUCAAUUGUUAUAGUUAAAAUUUCAAUCAAUUAAGGCACGGUGUAGCGUUUGUUUACCUCAUCCUUUAACCAUGUGGUUGAGGGUUCGAUCCCCACUUAUGGAAAUGAAGCACAUUUCAUAAUCAGUCAUUUACCUAUUUGGAGAGCACUCAUAGUGAGGAGAUUAACUACUGUUGUUGUUGGUGGAUACCCUGAUUAUGACAAAUAAAAAAUAACAACUGCCAUUUUUUUGGAUUAUUUUUGCCACAUGACAUGCUAAGAUUGUGCCACGUGGUAUAAAAUUAUAAAAAUCAUAAAAAAAUUAUACAAGAAUUAUAAAAAUGAAUAAAAUUAGAAAAAAUAUAUAAAAAAUCUAUUUUUAAAAGGUUAAUAAAUUUUAUAUUUUAUUAUUUUUAAAAGGAUAAUAAAUUUUUAAAAUAUUUUUUUUUAUUCUUAUAUUUUUACGAGCUAUUUAAAUUUAAUUUCAAAAUAGGGCAUGCCUAAUAUAUAAAUAGACAUUUAAUUAGUGUCCAAGAGUAAUGGCGUCACUCCUAUUUUUCAUCUAGUUUAAAAAUGAUAAUUGCUUCAUCAGGUGUCUGAACAUUCUAUAUAAUUAUUCUUCAGUUCGAUGUCACCAAUAGCAACGACGACACCCAAAAAAUUUAUUACUUUUUUAAAACUAGAGGUGGUGACACCAAUGACAAUGGCGUCACCGACAUUUACUGUUCAAAAUGGGUCAUUUACGUACAUAAUUUUCAAAAUAAGUCAUUCUUAUAAAUAAUUAAAAGUUUUGGGUAUUUUUAAUAAAAAAGCUUAAGUUUGAUGUGUAAUACCCAAUUUUCGCCCGGCCCAUAUACCUUAUAAAAAACCCAAAUAAUUAAAAAAAGACAAAUAAAAUGAAAGUCCAAUCGCAGACUCAACAUCAGUCCAUUGGCCCAAUAAACAGAAACCCUAAAAUCUAAUAGCUUCCAGCACAGCCCCAACCGCCACACUUCCACGUAUACCGCCUGCAAGAAUCCAAUAGCAACAAAAACACAGUGUAAAAAUAGAGAAAAAUAGAAAAUAAGUUGUAUUUCUAAGCUAUAAAAAGAGCCAGAUUUUCUGUUUUAAAGAAAAAAAAGGGGGUAUUCAUAAAAAAUGGAGGAAGUCAGUGUAAAGGGGGAAAAUCAGUGUAAAGGGAGGAAAAAAGAAAUCAAAAAGUUUUAAAGAAGGUGAUUUUUUCACUUUUUCUUCUAUAUUUUUUGGUUACGUUUUUACUUUUCUAUUUUUUUUUUAUCAAUCUUAUAUGAAAAAGAAAAGAAGAGUUAGGAGAUGAGAAAUCUACCUGGCUUUGCCUACUCCGUUGCAAUUGGAGUCGGGCAGAGUUUCAGAUCGCUGAAGUGGCAGAGGGCAGAGAGGGUUUAGUUUUUUUCCUGAUAGUUAAUGUAAAUAAAAAGUGUUCUGAUUUUAGGGUUUUAAGUGGCUUUUAUAUUGUGCAUAAAACGGCACCGUUUAGGGCCUGUUUCAGUGGCUCUAAAAUGGUGCCGUAUUGGCCGUUUAGCCUCAGUAACCCACGUGGUGACCUGACCCGGGGAAGGAUCCACGCUUUUUGUAACGCUUCGAAAAAUUGCGCAAACAGUCCCUUUUCUUUUGUAGGGUAUUUCAAAUCGAUUCUUUUAUUUCAUUUAAAUUUGGCCACGCUUUUUAGGUUUCUUUCCAAUCUGAUUCAUGUCAAUAUGCUGCGCUUUGAGGGAAGGGAAUAUUUCCCAUUCGGUCCCCAUGUUAUCCGCGCGUCAUAUUUGGGCCCUCAUAUUUGUUUUAUCCUCAUUUUUUUCCUUUUAAUUUUGCUUUAAAUUUCAAUUUAAUCCUCAUUAGUUUGAUUUGAUUUGCUUGUGUUUUAUUUAUUUAAGUAUCGAUUAUUAUGCUAUCUUUUAAAAAAUUUUAAAUCUGAUAUUAUUUGAAUGUUUAUACUUAUUAUUAUUAAAUUAAUCAUUAAUAUUAUCUAAGUGUAUUGUAUAUUAUUAUUUUAGAUUUAUCAUGUUUUAUUAUUUUUAAUUUAUCAAUAUUAUUAUUUUAAAUUCAUCGUUAACAUUAUUUUAAAUCUAUCAUGUAUAUCUAUUUCAAAUUUAUCAUUAAUAUUUUUAAAUUUAUUGUCGAAACCAUUUUUUAAAUUAGAAAAAAGGGGGAUCGACUUUGAAAAUAUAAUGGGAGUCGCCAUCGAUCUUUUUUGAGAUGCGAUCGGAUCACCUUGAAAAUGAUUUUAGGUCUGCGAAUUUUGAGAAAACAAGUUCGAAAGUCGGUUACGCACGAGGAAGGGUUAGCACCCUCUUGAUGCCCAAAAUUGGUACCGAAUUGUUUAAUGCCUUAGUAUCGAAAACUUGAAAAGAUUUUAAAGUACGAUCCCUUGAAUGAAAUGAAUUGGAUGAUGAGACUCAUUUAUUUUGAAGACAUAGAUUGUCACACCCAGUAAGUUAGAGUGUAACAUUUUAAAUCCGCGAAAUUAAGUUUACUCUUAAAUUUUAAAACUUAUGCAUUUUGAGAAGGAUAUCUGAUUAUUUGAGUCAAAUGAGAGAAUCGAAACCCAGUAAGUUAGGGUUCGAUUUCACAAAAUCCCUAAAUAUCGAACAUUGCCUUUAUUUUCAUUUGUUAGAAAUCCUCGUCUCGAGAAAACAACAUGUCAUAUCCAAUGAGUUAGGACACAACGUAUUGAAUUCUCAAGAAUGAGCUUUUUUUGUAUGUUAAUUAAAAGAUAUUCGGUUUCUUAGAUCCCGAGGAAGAUUGGAAUCCAGUGAGUUAGGAGACAAUCUUUUCGAGGAUCACAAAUUCCGAGUGUCGCGUUGUUUUGGAGGCUUUUUGAAUAAAAGUGUUUUUGAUAUUUAAAUAAUAAACGUAACCUUUUAAGCAGAUAUAAGGCAAUAAAACGUUAAUGUACAACGCGAAUCGAUUAUUCGUAAAUUUAAAUAUACACCAAUGAAUACAAACAAUCAAUAGAUAAAUACAAAUAAACAAAGUAACAAUAGCCUCCAUUAUGCCAAUGUCAACAUCAACAUUCAAAAUAAAUAGUAUAUAAAAAAUCAAUCAAAAUACAUUAAAUCAUAUACAUAUAUUAAUUCAAAUAAAUAAUACAUGUGGGAGGAAAAUUUUAAUAAUAAUAUAAAUGAUAACGUAUACAUAAUAAUAUACAAAAAGGUUGAAACAAGCGAAAUAUAUAAAGUAGGGUUUUUAAAAGAAAAUAAUUAUAUGUAUAUAUAGGAAUAAGUAAAAAUAUAUAAUAAUAUAUACAAAAGUUGAAAUAAACAAAAUGAAUUAAAAUAGGGUCCUAAAAAAAUAAAUUAUAUAUAUGUAUAGAUAAAUAAAAAGAUAUAAUAAUGUAUUAUAUACUCGUAUAUCUUUUAAUAAAAUGAUUUAAUAUAAAUUGUGUAUAGAUAUAAAAUAGUAUUGUAUAAAAAUGUUAAAAACCUAAAAUAAUAUUACAUAAUAACAUAAAAUAAUUUAUAUACGUAAAUAAUGGCAAUUAAAUAUACAAACUAAUAUAAUAACAAUAUCAAUAAUAAUAUCAGUAGUAAUAACGGUGAUAAUAAUAAUAAUAAUAAAUUGAUAAUAAUAAUAGAUUAAUAAUAACAUUACUGAAUAGUAAAAAAAAACAAAAGGGACUAAACUGCAAGCAGAACAAAAUUAACAGGCCACAAAUAUGAUUUAAAAGAAAUGGAGGGUCAAACUGUAAUUCGCGAAUUACGGGGGGAGCCAAAUGGGAACUAUCCCGCUUUCCCAAAACGCAGCGCAGUGACAUGGACCAAAAUGUAGCAAAAGCAAAAUGAAGCAUGAAAUUCAUAAAUAAGAAAAAAACUGAUAUGAAAACACCACGAAGAAAAGAGGACCUUAUACGCUAAUAGACCAAACGACCAAAAUGCGCGGAUCCUUCCCCGGAUCGGGUCACCACGCGGGUCGUUGUGGGCAAAUGGCGCAGUUUCUUUCGUGGUUAAAAAACAAAAACCUAAGCUAUUAAACAUUUUCCUAAUCUAACAAAAAACCUAAAGAAAUGAGAGAAAAACUCUCUUUGCGCCGUUCGACGAUGAACAUCUGGAGGCGCCUAAACCACCGCUUGAUUUUGACUGCGACGAAACAAGCGACAGUCCAGCAAGCCAGGUAAACUCUCUUCCUUAAACCUCUCUUUUUAUGUUGUUUAAUGUUUCCUAAACAAAGAAACCAAAAAAAAAAAGAAAAAGAACAGUGAAGAAAAACGAAAAAAGGAAAAAACGAAUAUACCUCUCAAAUCCCUUUUUUGUAUUCAAUCUCUCUGUGUAUUGAUAUUGUGUGUAGAGGAAAAAGAACCCCUUUUACAGAUUCAAAAACGGCUUUAUAUAGCCGGAUCCAAAUAAAAAUUAAAAAUACAAUCAUAAAAUUCCAAUUUAUCCUUGCUGUUAUUUUCCUUUUUUGCGUGGUUGUUUCUGUCUCUGUUUGUUUGUGUCUGCUGCAGGUACGGCCGUACGGAGGUGUGGGCGUGGAGGCAUGCAUGGCAGUGUAUGUGAGGCUACUGUUGUGGUGGCUCACGCUGGGGCUGAGGGAGUUGCGGCACUUGGUCCAUUCCAGAAACCCUAGGGUUUUUUGGAAGCUGUUUAGGCCUAUCAGGGUUUGGGUUUGUUGGGCCUGUAACACGAUUGGGCUAAGGAUUGUAUUUGGGUUUAGGUUAGCUGUUUAAUGGACUGUUAAUGGACUUUGAAUUAUUUUUAUUAUUUGGUUUUUAUAUUUGUAUCGAGCCGGGCAAAAUUUGGGUAUUACAGCUGCCCCUCUUUGCUUGUUGUCGUGUAACAGGAACGGAGCAAAGACUCCAAAAAUGACCAAUUUUGCCCAGUCGUGCUGGACCUUGGUGCUCAUCUUCUUUGAAUUGCCUCAUUCCAUCCUACCGCAACAUCGGGGAGAUAAGAUUUGUGGCUUCAAUCAACUCCACUGUAAUCUCGGGGAGGUAAAAUCUGCCAUCUUCAGUCUGCCCCACUGCAUCUUUAGGGGAUAAGACCUGCUUACUCAGUCUGCUCCAUUAUAACCUCAGGGAGGUAAGAUUGGUUUCUUCUGUCUGACUGCAAUGUCGGGGAAACAAGAUUCACCGUUGUGGCUUUAAUCUACUUCAUUGUACCGCCAGGGAAGUAAGAUUCACUGUUGUAGCUUUAAUCUUUUUAACUGCAAUGUCGGGGAAGCAAGAUUCACCGAUGUGGCUUUAAUCUGUUCCACUAUAUCGCCUGGGGAGUAAGAUUCACUGUUGUAGCUUUAAUCUUUUUAACUGCAAUGUCGGGGAAGCAAGAUUCACCGAUGUGGCUUUAAUCUGUUCUGCUGCAUCGCUUGGGGAGUAAGAUUCGCUGUUGUAGCUUUAAUCUUUUUAACUGCAAUGUCGAGGAAUCAAGAUUUAUUGAUGUGGCUUUAAUCUGUUCCACUGCAUCGCCUAGGGAGUAAGAUUCGCUGUUGUAGCUUUAAUCUUUUUAACUGUAAUGUCGGGGAAGCAAGAUUCACCGAUGUGGCUUUAAUCUGUUCCACUGCAUCACCUGGGAAGUAAAACUGGUAUUUUCGAUCUGCUUCAUUGUCGAUGCAGGAAGACAAGGUCUGCUAUCUUCACUGAUCUGUUCUCUGGGGAACUUGACCUGUAUAAUAAACCUAAUUAUGCCUAAAGAUUAAGAUGGCAUGAUCAAAAUGAAUCCAAUGCUCCUAACUAGACAUGUGAAUAAUGUUUGCAUGAAUGCAUAGUUUUAUUUUGCCGAGAAUGAUCCCGCUUAGGUUGUCAUUACUCCAAGUUUAUUAAGGCUUUGUGACUGACGUGCUACAACGCCUUCUCGCUUGACUGGCUUUUUUGAAGAAACAUUUAGCCAGGUUGCCCCCCACUGUAAACCUAAAAGUUUAAUCCAUUAGGGCGCACAAUUUGUGCCAUCAUUCUUCCACUGCAAUUCAAGGGUAGAAAUAUGUGGCUUUUCCUCAAUCCUCUCUUAUCACAAUUCAAGGAUACAGGAUCUAAAUCGUUCUAGUUUCUCACACCAUUCUCAAGCUGUCGUACCCAAGGCUCAUACACAACUGAAGGCUUUCUUCUCUGAGGAAACCUCUUCCUGUUGCCUGGUGAUCAUUACUUGCUUGUUUAUUCAAGCUUUGUUAUCAAUAUGACAUUCUUGUCAUUUUGUUCAAUCAUGUUUUUGACAACAAAAUCCAAAGAGAAAGUCCAAAUUUAGACUCUUCCUUCUCAAAUUUCCAACCUUUAAAUUUGGUGUGCUCUAAACAAUAGUCCUGUUUCAGGUUCCUAUAUUAUUUAGAAAUGUUUCAGAGUAAUAUGCAAAACUUCCUUUGUGAAAGUUUUAUUAGUCCAUUAAUCAUUAUUCCAAUACAACAUUCUUUCAAAAAGGGUCAUAACAAUGGAUAAGAAUAAAAUUGGUUCUGGGCAUAGCUCAAAAUGAAUAAAUUAUCACAAAUAGUAAAGAAGGAUAAUAAAGAAAUUGAUUGGAAAUGUAUAUCUUCGAAAAGAAAAAAGUAUUCCAAGAACAACAAAUUCAAUAUAAAUAAUAUGAGAAUUGGGUGCCCCAGAUAUCGCAGCUUGAACUUCUCUGUACAAACUUCUGAAAACCAUUUUGAGUUUGACAUGUGUUUAGGAGAUCUACAGUGCUUUGUCGAUGCCCCAAGAUGUCGCCUACCAUUUCCUGUUGAUUCAGGUAUAACAAGAUUACUACAUGCCUGAAGAUUCAAGUUGCUCUGAUCGCUUCAUGCCCCAUUCUGAUCAAUAUUUGAGCCGCCCUUUUUCAGGUUUUCAACUCAAAUCCCCUUUGGCCUAAGGUGCCAUUUGCGGGUUUUCCCUUUAGCCUCUCCAUUUUUACUUUUUCAUUUUUUCAUUUUUCAUUUUCAUUUUUUCAUUUUUCAUAUAUAUAUAUUUUUUGACUUAGAGUGCCCUUUGCGGGUUUUCACAUUGGUCCUUUCUUCUUCUUUAAACGAAGUGUUUCUUGACUGGAUCCGAGUUUAUAGGAUUAGCCAUCUCACUCAAGAUUAAUGCUCCUCUGAAAAAGGUCUUCUUUAGAACACAGGGACAUCCCUGGCUUAGCAUUCAUGUCCUUCUAGAAUCCUUUAGUUGAGGAAGGAUAUUUUUCAACAUCCAGCCCUCUCGUGGAAUUCUCUGAGACGACAUUGUUUAUUAUGGGCUCGUAUCAUCUGGUACAUCUGACCCUAAUGAAUAGCUUUUAACCAUUUUCCUAGGUCCAACUGAUCACAUCGCAAUUGGAUCCAUUCUGCUUCAUCCAAUUCUAGCUCAAUUAAUACCCGGAGAGAGGGGAUUUCAAUCUUGUAAACCAAAGAGAGAGGUGUUGCCCCAGUAUAGAUGUUUGACAAGAAAGAAGGGCAAAUGGUAAUUUCUCAUGCCGGUCAUUGCAAGUCUCAGUCAUUUUUUCAUAAUUCAAUACAGUGAUGAACUACGGUAUCUGAUUUUGAAUUGAUCACAGACCUUAGCUAUCAUACUAACAUUCAUGAUAUCGUAUUCUCUCUAAUUCUAUACCGGCAUAUAAUGACAUUGACGCAUGAAGCAGCCUCUACCUGUUUGACAAGGUAACUAAUGAUCUCAAAUAUGAAGCAAUGCCCAUUAGAAAAUUUCGAUGAUGAUAACGACCAUGCCCCAUUUUGCUCAAAAUUUGCCCUUUUCGGGUUUUCAACUCAAAACCACCUUUGGUUACAAAGCGCCCUUUGCGGGUUUUCACUUUAGCCUCUCAUUUACUCUUUCAUUUUUCCUUUUUCUUCUCUCUUUUUUCAUUUUCAUUUUGACUUUGAUUUUGGUUUUUAUUUCUCUUCUUUUUGUUUUUGAUUUUGAUCUUGAUUUUUUUUUGAAUUGGAUCUGAACUCAUAGGAUUUGGUAAGUCCUUGUUAUCCCUUUUGACCAUAAAAUCUCCCACAUAAGAUCUUCCACUUUCAUCUUGUAUGUGAAAAAAACCUCUUUGGUAUCGGAUUUCUUUCAUAGAGCCUUUUGGGGUGUAACUAUGGCAGAAAACUUUGGAUCUUCCUCUUCAAUCAAAGUAAACUCCAACAACAUCUUGAAGGGAUGGAAACUUGACUUCAAAUGGGCAAAGCUAUGUUGAGUCAACGAGAGAGGCAUUGCCCCGGUAAAGAAUUGCAUCAUUCAUACUACAAAUUUUGACAUCGUGCUGUUGUGUAGAUUUCAUUAUCAGUGCUUAACCCGAGCAUAUCCUGGUAUGACCAUACAAAGACAUCCUUGAACUCUAGAAUAAUUUAAUGAGGUCUCACUUCAUCUUUGUGGUCAUGUCAAUUUCAAUCUUCACCCAGCUCACAAUUUCUAAUGGUUCAUCGCGAGGUAGGAUCUAUAUGUCCUCUUGUUCUACCAUCGUCAACAAGUACGGCGAUAAGCUACGAUCUAUGUCAAUUUCAAAGUCAUGAGAUCCCUCUAAGACAUGCCUCGCCCAAAAGGAAAAUCUGAGUCUGUAGCAGCGUCAUUCAUGUAGUUGAUAUCUGGGGACCCAUAGUAAGUACCGAAGAAUAUACAAAAGAAUGUAUAAAUUCAUGAAUAAUUAUUCGUACCAGAUGAUUAUGAAUGAAUGAAUAAUAAUUUGGAAGAAAUGCCAAAAGAAUGAAAGAAUCUGGAAUUAUUUGUAAAGAAUGAAAAUAUUAGCUCAGCAAUAAUUGCAAAGAUGUAUUUCAUUAAAAUAAACGUUCAGACAUGAGCCUAUUUCACAAAGGAAUUUCUAUCAUUUUUAGGCUAAAAACAACAAAGUGUUCUGAACAUUACUCUAAAUAAGCUCUAAAAACUACAGGGAUUUCUUCCGUAAUCUAAUUACUUAGAACACUCCCAGGGCUAUAAGGGCGGAUAUCUAACAAGGUCCCUUCUUUAGUUGCUUUUCGUCAAUGUGAACAUUUCCCACUCUUCUUCAUGCAUUGCAUUCACCCCAUUAUCAAUUAUGAUUGGGUAAUGGAUUUUCUGCACUGGAGUCAUCAAACUUGACAACACCCAUGUUAAUGAGCCUUUUAACAAGCUUUUUAAAGACGGUGUAAUUUUCUAUCGAAUGUCCCCCAAUUCUUGCAUGAUAAUCACACUGUGCACUCGCAUCAUACCAUUUGGGGUACAGAGGUUGUAGGGGUUUAGAGUAGAAAGAGGCAAUAAUGUGCACAUCGAAUAAGCAUUGAUACAGCUCCUUAUACGACAUCGAAAUUGGUGUGAACUGGAGAUUCUCAGUACUUGGUUUCACUCCAGAUUCUUAUCUCAAUGAACCUUGUUGACUAGUGACCCAUUUACUUGGAUGACUUACUGACCUUGAGUAACCUAUGUUAUUCAUCUCAUCUUCUUUUCUCCUUGCGACUGAUUUUUUGUUACUCUCUCCACCCUCUAUUCUUCCAUUUCUGAUGGUGUUUUCAAUAAUUUCACCAUUCAUAAUUAUAUCUGAGAAACUCUUUAAAGUACUUCCUAAUAUGUGCGUGAUGAACGGGGCCUUCAAUGUGUUGAUAAAGAGCAUAGUAGUUUCUCUUUCUAGGAGCAGCGGCUGGACUUGAUAGUGACUUCCCUCCAUCUUUGUGCGUACUGCCUGAAACUCUCACUCGGUUUCUUCUCCAUGUUUUGUAAAGUGAUCCUAUCGGGAACCAUAUCUGUCACAUGACUGUAUUGCCUCAUGAAUGCUUGAGCUAGGUCCCUCCUUGAACCAAUCUUGGUAUGGCUCAAUUGAUUGUACCAUUUGGACGCUGCCCCUACCAAACUGUCUUGGAAGCAGUGUAUUAGCAGCUGACCGUUGUUAAUGUAGCCAGUCAUCCUUCUACAGAACAUAGUGAUAUGAGCUUCGGGGCAGCUAGUUCCAUUAUAUUUUUCAAAUUCAGGCAUUUUGAAUUUGGGAGGAAGUACUAAGUCUGGGACUAAGCUUAGAUCUUUAGCAUCAAUUCCCUGAUUACUAUCAGUGCUUUCCAAGGCUUUAAAUUUUUCGUCCAACCAUUUAUACCUAUCUUCCCAUUGUUUUGACAAUUCCGCGUUCGCCUUUCCUUCUUCAGCUGUUUCAUCAAAAUCUGGGACGGUAAGAUUAACUUGAUUAUCACCAGGGUUAGGACCUGAUCCGGCCAAAAAUUUUAUCGGUAUUGAAACAUCGGUUUAAAACCGCUGAGGCCCAAUUGAAACAGAGGAUCUGCGCAGAGGUACCUCGGUCUUAACUUGCGUAUGCAGAGGCGUAAAGCCUGGAGGAUAGAUAGGUCUAUCCUUGUCUUCUUCUUCAUCAUUUACCAUAGGACCUUUCCCCUUAUUUACUCCUUUAGUCAGUAGAUGGGUCAAUUCAGCCAUCGCAUCUUUUUGAGCCUUGAUCAAAUUUUCCAUCAUGUCUUCUAGGAUUUUAUCUAGCCGCCAUUGCAUUUGUACUUGUAACUGUUCUUGCAUAUCCUGUUGCAUUUGCUUCAAUUUCUCUAAUCUUUGAUCCAUUUCCUUAGUUUUGCGACGAGUACCGUAAGGAUGUUUGGUUGGUUGGUUGGUUUUCCAGAUUAGCUGAAAUAAAUUUACUCUAUUAGACUCUUUCAAUGAAUUUUAAUGCAUAUCAUGCAGAUGUAUGAAAUGCAUGCCUAAAGAGACGUUGAUUCUGAUUCAAUUACAUUUAGGAAAAUUUUCUAGAAGACAAAUUUCUUUACAUAAAGCGGAUAUAUAUACGGCCUCGCCCUUAUAUUCCAAGAGACAACAUCGAUCCCCUCCUAUAUGUUAAAUCUUGCUAGUUUCCAAUGAAUGUCUCUUAUUGCUCCUUUUCUUGAUCCUGGUCGCGAUCCAUCAUCUGCCCAUCUUCAUAGAGCUCGUUAGCUUCUUCAAGGGAGUUGAAACGUUGAAGGCCCUUGGACAAUCGUCUCGAACCUUUAGGCCACAAAGCAGAGGUCACGAACUCUUUUAUCACCCUUCUUGUGUUUCUCAGAAUAUAUUCAAACAGCCAUAUUAUUUUCCACUUUAUCGAGGAAUCCGUAUUACAUGACAAGCUUUCUAAGUUAGUAACCAAACUUGAAUCAAUAUCUAUUUCCUAAGAUGCAAAUGCAAUGCAAUCAUAAUCAAAACAAAACAAGAUGGGUUAGUACAAAACAGAAGCAAACAAGGAAAACAAAAAUACCUAGUCAGGUGACCACUAGGGGUUUGGAAUGGCUCUACCUAGGAUGGGUUCCUAAGGUCUUCUAUAUGCGGUUUGGCUCUAAAGUUAAGGUACCCGAACCAGCAGAUUCCUCGAUCUUCACCCAUUAUAGACUCAUACAGAUCGAGUUCGGUUCAGGGGAAUACAUUUCCCUAUGGCUGCACGGAGAUAAAAAUCUCACGAAGACAUAGGUACAGAUGUAUCUCGAAAGUGAUCCACUAUCCUGCACGGAGGUGAAAACCUCACGAAGGAGUAGCUUCUCACUCCCACUUAAAAGGGGAAGACAAAACAGUCUUUAUGCAAUAUGAUGCCAAGAUAUAGAGCUCAAUUUACAGUAAUCAUGCAAACAAAUGCAAAGAGAAUAUCGUAAUUUUUCAAAAUCAAAUUUUUAAUUUUCAACAAUAAGACAAAAGACAAUCAAUUUUGCGGCUUGACUCUUGAAUUCCCCAGUGGAGUCGCCAAGCUGUCGAAACCAUUUUUUAAAUUAGAAAAAAGGGGGAUCAACUUUGAAAAUAUAAUGGGAGUCGCCACCGAUCUUUUUUGAUAUGCGAUCGGAUCACCUUGAAAAUGAUUUUAGGUCUGCAAAUUUUGAUAAAACAGGUUCGGAAGUCGGUUACGCACGAGGAAGGGUUAGCACCCUCGUGACGUCCAAAAUUGGUACCGAAUUGAUUGUUUAAUGUCUUAGUAUCGAAAACUUGAAAAGAUUUUAAAGUACGAUCCCUUGAAUGAAAUGAAUUGGAUGAUGAGACUCAUUUAUUUCAAAGACAUAGAUUGUCACACCCAGUAAGUUAGAGUGUAACAUUUUAAAUCCGCGAAAUUAAGUUUAUCUCUUAACUUUUAAAACUUAUGCAUUUUGAGAAGGAUAUCUGAUUAUUUGGGUCAAAUGAGAGAAUCGAAACCCAGUAAGUUAGGGUUCGAUUUCACAAAAUCCCUAAAUAUCGAACAUUGCCUUUAUUUUCAUUUGUUAGAAAUCCUCGUCUCGAGAAAACAACAUGUCAUAUCCAAUGCGUUAGGACACAACGUAUUGAAUUCUCGAGAAUGAGCUUUUUAUUUGUAUGUUAAUUAAAAGAUAUUCGGAAUUUGUGAUCCUCGAAAAGAUUGUGUCCUAACUCACUAGAUUUCAAUCUUCCUCGGGAUCUAAGAAACCGAAUAUCUUUUAAUUAACAUACAAAUAAAAAGCUCAUUCUCGAGAAUUCAAUACGUUGUGUCCUAACGCAUUGGAUAUGACAUGUUGUUUUCUCGAGACGAGGAUUUCUAACAAAUGAAAAUAAAGGCAAUGUUCGAUAUUUAGGGAUUUUGUGAAAUCAAACCCUAACUUACUGGGUUUCGAUUCUCUCAUUUGACCCAAAUAACCAGAUAUCCUUCUCAAAAUGCAUAAGUUUUAAAAGUUAAGAGAUAAACUUAAUUUCGCGGAUUUAAAAUGUUACACUCUAACUUACUGGGUGUGACAAUCUAUGUCUUCGAAAUAAAUGAGUCUCAUCAUCCAAUUCAUUUCAUUCAAGGGAUCGUACUUUAAAAUCUUUUCAAGUUUUCGAUACUAAGACACUAAACAAUCAAUUCGGUACCAAUUUUGGGCGUCACGAGGGUGCUAACCCUUCCUCGUGCGUAACCGACUUCCGAACCUGUUUUCUCAAAAUUCGCAGACCUAAAAUCAUUUUCAAGGUGAUCCGAUCGCAUCUCAAAAAAGAUCGGUGGCGACUCCCAUUAUAUUUUCAAAGUCGAUCCCCCUUUUUUCUAAUUUAAAAAAUGGUUUUUACAUUUAUUAUAUACUAUUAUUUUGGAUUUAUCACGUAUGAUUAUUCUAGAAUUAUCAUCAAAAUUUUUAAAUUUUAUAUGUAUUAUUAUUUCAAAUUUAUUAUAUAUUAUUUAUUGUAAAUUAUCCAAUUCAUUUCAAAUUGUAGAUAUUAUUUGUAUUAAAUUGUACAUUCAUAUAUAUUAUUUGUUUUAAUUCAUGUAUUGUUUUAAACUUCGUUCAUAUACGUACUAUUUAUUUUGAAUUAUACAUAUUACUUAUUUUUUAUAUUACUUUUCUAUAUAAUGUAUAUUCUAAUUUUUCUUCAUACUUCAUUUGCUUAAAUAUUUUUGUAUAUUGUGUUUUAUUAGUUGUUUUAAACAAUUUAUUAAAUGAUUUAUUUCAAUUCAUUUCACGUAUUCAUUUUAUCUUAAAUUGAUUUGCAUAAUAGAUUUUUUUAGCCUAUAACUUCAUGUUGUUUUAUUUAUGUACCCUUUCUUUGGAAUUAAGUUUGUUUUAUAUAUUAUUUCGAGUUCGAUAAUUAUUCUACCCAUGUAUAUUAUUCCAUGUUCAGACAUUUACUUUUCAGUUCCGAACAUUACAUCAUAGUUAAAAUUUUCGAUUUAUUUGCCAAAAUUUGAUUAUUUCAUUUCUUUUCAUCUCAAAUAAAUCAAGUUUAUAUCAUUGUUAAUAUUGCAUUAAACCUUCGCUUUGAUCCAAUUUCGUAAAAAAGGGAAAAUGAAGUUUGCAAUAUGUCGUCUUUGGAACGAUGAGAAAUCGUGCUCUAACUUACGGGGUUUCGAUUUUCUCAUUGAACUAAAACGACUAAACAUUUUAGUUUUCAAAUGCACAAAGUUUCAAUAAAGAUUUUUUAAAAGGUUAGCUUAUGCUCGGGAAUUCAAACGUUGCAUCUUAACUUACGGGAUACGACAUCUUGUUGCCUCGGGAUGAGAAAUCCUUUUACAUUCGUUCAAAUCUAUCCAAACAUUGUUUUAAAAUAUGGCAUUAAUAAAAGGGGAAUCGUUUCUAAUCUUUUCAAAUUUUUUAUGUUAGACUUUAAGACAUUAAUAAAUCAAUUCGGUACCAAUUUUAGGCGUUACGAGGGUGCUAACCCUUCCUUGUGCGUAACCGACUCCCGAACCUAUUUUCUCAAAAUUCGCAGACCUAAAAUCGUUUUUAAGGUGAUCCGAUCACACUUCAAUUAAAUAUCGGUGGCAAGUCGACCCUGUUUUUUCAAAAUAAAAAUGGUUUCGACAUGAUGAAUGGCGUAAGCCAUUAUCUAGGUCUACUUAAUACGACGGCUUGGUUUUGUCGGCCGAAAGGAAAUUACCUUAUGGGUUUUGCUUCGCCCAAAUGCUAGCAAAGUCUUUGUACGCAUUUGUUUGAUUGGAAAAGUGAGAAAUAGAUGAACAUGGUAAGCACAAAUUCUAGACAUUACCAUAUCACCUAUAAAAUUUAGUUAUCUUUUUAAUUUCUUUUGGCGUAUUAUGAAAAAAAAAAAAAAAAGUAAAUUUCUAACAACGCCGUGAUUAACACGACUAUUGGCUGUAAUUUUCAAAGGACAUGAACCUUGAAGAGGGACAAGUGUAGUCUCUUGAUGAUAAAUGUGUUGACUGUCAACUUGCAAAACCCAGAUUACCAUAACAGAUGCAAAAUCUGAUCGGUGAACAUAAGAAAAUGGAGACCAUGGGAAAACUUCUAAUCCUGCUUACAGCUUUUUUAUGCCUCUACCUCUUCGUUGCUUUGCUCAAUGUUUUCUACAAGUAUUGGUGGAUACCUCAACGGGUACAGUUCAUCAUGAAUUCACAAGGAAUCAGAGGACCUCCUUAUGAAUUUAUCCAUGGAAACAACAAAGAAGCUGCCCAAAUGUCCAUGGAAGCAUCUACCAAACCUAUGGCCUUGACGCACGAUAUAUUUCCCAGAGUCGUGCCUCAUGUUUACUCCUGGAUCAACAAAUACGGUUAGAAUAUUUUUUUCUUUUUUCUUUUUUGGGUAGUAUUUUCUAACUAACCUCCACUUUCCAUGAAGAGAAAUCGUUUUCUUUCAGGGAAGACUUAUCUUAGUUGGAAUGGAAUUCGAGGUCAACUGCUAAUUUCAGACCCAGAUCUAGUCAAAGAGGUCCUUAAAAACAGUGACAAAGCUUUUCGAAAGCCAAAGAUUUCAUAUUUCUUCGACAAGCUAAUAGGCGAUGGGCUUGCUUCAACCGAACGUGAGAAAUGGGCAAGGCAAAGGAAACUGGCCAAUUAUGCCUUUCAUGGGGAGAGCUUAGAAGUAAAUCAUCUCUACCUUCUAAUCUAAUUAUUGUAGUGGGACAUUUACAAACUUGAUAAUUUUUUGCAGAAUAUGACUCCAGCAGUAGUUGCUAGCGUUGAAACCAUGCUUGAGAAAUGGAAAAGUAAGGAGGGCAAAGAGAUAGAAGUGUUCCAAGAGUUCAGAUUAUUGACUUCAGAAGUGAUAUCCAGAACCGCCUUUGGUAGCAGUUACUUGGAAGGGGAGAAGAUUUUUGACAUGCUGAUGAAGUUGACAGUAAUUGCGGGCAGAAAUAUUUUAAAAGCAAAGAUUCCCAUCAUCAGGUAACUUCAUCAAAUCUUUACUUUGUUAAUCAACAUACUUCAGCUUACAAUGGGUUGAUUUAAUCUGGUUGUCCUUUUCAGCAAGUUUUGGAAAUCUGCUGAUGAAAUUGAAUCAGAAAGAAUUGCCAAAAUGAUACAUGAUUCUGUGAUGAGGAUUGUUAAAAAAAGGGAAGAGAGAGUAGUGAACGGAGAAGCUGAUAACUUCGGUCGUGAUUUUCUGGGAUUACUUGUAAAUGCUUAUCAUGAGGCGGACCAGAAAAACAGGCUUUCGAUUCAAGAUAUGGUAGAUGAGUGCAAAACUUUUUAUUUUGCUGGGCAAGAAACAGUCAAUUCCUUGCUUGCAUGGGCAACUCUGCUUUUAGCAAUACACACCGAUUGGCAAGACAAAGCAAGAGCAGAGGUGAUUGAGGUCUUUGGUAAUCAAAAGCCAGAUUCUGAAGGGAUGGCCAAAUUAAAGACGGUAAGCAAACUAUACAAAUUCAAUAGCUUGAAAACUAGCACUGACCAUUUAUAUUGCCUUUUGGAUUUCUUUUUCUCCAACAGAUGACCAUGAUUAUCAAUGAAACUUUACGGCUCUAUCCUCCUUUAAAUCGCGUGAUAAGAGAAGUAGGAAGAGAAGUCCAAUUAGGAAAACUUGUCCUGCCUACUCAUUUAGAGGUCGACAUGCGAAUCAUAGCACUUCACCAUGACCCUGACUUAUGGGGAGAUGAUGUUAAUCUUUUCAAACCAGAGAGGUUUGCUGAAGGGAUAGCAAAAGCUACUAAGUACAAUGCAGCUGCAUUUAUGCCUUUUGGAUUGGGAUCUCGAUCUUGCGUUGGCAUGAGCUUUGCAAUCACUGAAGCGAAAACUGCACUUUCCAUGAUUCUGCAACGCUACACUGUCACCGUCUCCCCUACCUACGUUCACGCUCCUGUACCAAGUCUUACACUCAAGCCACAACAUGGGAUGCAGUUGUUGUUUCAUUCACUACAUUAUGAUGCUUAAAAUUCUAGGCUGUUGGUCUCCAAUAUAGUAAUAUAUAAUAAAAUGUGGAUGAUACUGUAUUUUGCAACCAUACGAUGAUAUAUGGUUUGGGGAUUUCAUGUUUUGGCAACAGGAUUAUAUGCUUUUUUUUUUUUUUGUUGAUAUUGUUAAAGGUUAAAAGGGUAUUACAGCAAACAUCGCCACCGCAGGAGCAGGCCCUACAGUCCUGUGAAUAACAUAAUUAGGUGUCUUUCUUCCAUUACUACUGCAGUAGUGAGGUUUUUAUUCCACUUAGUUCCAUUCUUCCGGAGUGUCUGCUUGAAACACACACUCCUGGAGCCGGCCAUUACAUUGCUUGUUUAGCUUUCAUGGAAGGCUCGAAGCUCAUUAGACCAGAAACAUUGUUCCUUUGCCUAUGUAUCUUUUUGACAUAUUCUCUUAAGGAAGAGCUACUUAUAUCAAGGCUCCAUCUUUCUGAGUUGCAAGGCAAAAGUCCGUUCUCCAUGAAAAACCUACCCAUUUCCACUAAGUCCCCGUUCUCCUUUGCUUCUCAGAUGACUUUUGCAAUAAAAAGUCCUUUUCCCUUAAAAGCAAUGGAGAAUAGACACCAUUUUAGAAUAAUUUUUAGCUUAAAAAAAGUAUUUUUUGGUAGAUGGAGAAGUUGAAAAUUUUAACUUUUCUUCAGCCAAAAGUGAUUUUGGGUGAUAAUUUCCUUUUUUAACCUAUCUUCUCCCAAAAAAGUUUUUUUCUCUGGUUCUUUGGAGCUAAACCUAUACCCAUUUUUUUCACAUUUUCUCUUUCAAAGUUCUUUCUUCUGGUUCUUUAUUCCUCUUCUGCCGGUGAGUUUCUUUUCUUCUUCUUCUUCUCUUUAAUUAUUCAUUAUACUUUAGUUUUUAGUUGUUUUCUGAUUGUUUGAUUUUUAUAGAAAUUUUACAGAAAUUAAUUGACUGAUUUUACAGAAAUUCUAUCUCCUUAAAAUCAUUUUAGAAAGUUUCAGAAGAUUACAGGAAACAAAGAAGCAAAAGAAACACAAAGCAAAAUAUUAUUAUUAGUAAUGCAUGCGAUUAGAAUCAUGAAAAGUAACUCUUCCAAAAGAAAAAAAAAGAGGGAAAAUUCUGGCUUAGUUGUAUGGUCAAAGCAAAAAAAAAAAAAAAAAUCCCCCAAAACUUCAAAGGAGUGUCAAACAUGAACUCUGAGAUGUGUAGGCCCUACCAUUUAAAAGUUCAAACAGGAAUCUUUGUUGACUUGGUUGGGACUUAAACAAACUAAAAGAUUCAAGUUAUGUUGCUUACAUUGAUUCUUUGAGUCAUUGUAAGCAUGGAGAUAAUCACUGAUCAAAUAAGGAGGCAUAAAUAGCACUUACGGUGUCAUUGUUGCCUCUUUUGCUUUACUGCUUUGCUCUGUUUUGUGCCUCUGCUGCUUUGCUCUGCUUUGCUUUACUGAUUGUUAGAUACCCAGGAGUGUUUAGAGUUAAACCUACAGGCCCAAACUAUUUUAGUUGAUGAAAAUAAAAGAAAUAUAGACUAAAUAUUUGAAUAUUUAAUAGAUUAAAUACUGAUUGUUUUACUGAUUAAAUACUAUUUUAGAGUUUACUGAUUACUUUACUGAUUGCUAGAUCCCCAAGAGUGCAUAUCAAUUUGGUUGCCGAUACAUAUUACGCUCUAUUCACUUCUAUAUGAUAGAUUGAAUAUUUAAAGGAGAGAAUAAUACUAAACUUAACUAUAGACUUUAAGUGCAUAUUGAGAGGAGACUGCUAUAAACAUGCAUUAGAGGUUGAUUAGAAAAAUAGAGCAAUUUUGAGUAAUGGAGAUCUAAGUCACAUAGAGAAUUCAAUUAAUAAUAGAUGAAGAGAGUUAUGGACCUGCUAAACUGUUAGGAUUGUCUUCAGAUCACUGAACCACCAAGCAAUUCUUAUUGAUCUUAUACCUGAAAAGACAUUAAUGAGUUCCAACCUGUCUCUACAGGCACAAGUAUGAACAAAUACAAAAAAAAAAAGGAAAAAAAAAAGGAAUUUUAAUUUAUACCAAUGCAUGCUGGGAAAUAUAUGCCUUCAUUCAAUAUAAGAGCUAAUAUACACAACCACUGCCUACAACUAUAUGCAUGGUCAAGCAAAUACUUUAUCAGUAUACAUACAUAGGCCCUAACAAUUUGAAGGCCAUACAUGCUAUAACCCACAUGCAGAGUGUUGUUCAUCACAAAAAGGAAUGCAAAUAGUAAAGUUUAAUACCAAUUUUUAACCCUUUGAAAUGUCGGUAACAUAUCAACAAAAGUGAACCUUCAACAAAAAAGAUGCCACUAACCUCUCCACAAAAUAGGAUGCAAUAGAACCAGUAACAGCAUGUGCAGGAGCUAGCUUUCCAAGCUUUUCCUCCAAACCUGGAGUUGUAGCCUGUAAUAGAAUUAAAGUUCAACAAUACCAUUAUUCAUUGAUUAACAUCGAAAAUAACAACCUUAACAUAAGAAAAAUCAAUGAAAAAAUUCAAAGAUUGAUAAAUAAACUACAAACCUCCACUGCAGCUUUAGACCAAGCCCUUUGCUUUAUAUCCAUCAAGUUCAUCCCUACACCAUCAGUUGUAUCAAUACAAGCAUAAGCCCCUAAGAAUAGACAUGCCAUGAAAGAGCUAACAAGAGAGAUCCUCUCAGUGUCCUCAUAAGUUUCUUGUUGUGUCUCAAAUAUCUUCCGAAUUUGUGGUCCUGUAUAUCUCUCAUAAGCAUGAGAACCAGUAAUUUUAGACAACUCCAAUGCACCACUGACAGCUUUCUUUAUUUCUAUACACUGAGCAGUUGUGCUGCAGUCCAUCCAUAUCGGUGAUUCCUUCGGUUGCUUAUAGGCUUUAUAGGCUUACAAGAGUUAGUGUCUUAUAUGCUUAUUGUUGUCUUAACAUACCAAGGAGUUACUCUUCCUACAUUAAAAUGCCUGUAAAUCACAAGGAAAUGUUGUUGAUUGAUAAGUCAUUCAUUAUGCCUCUCGUUUGUUGUUACACUGCUAAUUUUUUAUGCUUUUGUUUUCUGUAAUGUGUAAGCUAUUAAAACUACAAUAAUAACGAACGCAAAAUGAUUGAAUGAAAUACUGUAAAUCACAGUAUGCUUUUUUUUUAUGCUUUAUCCUUAAGUUGUUUCCAUGCACUGCCCUGCUUUGUUUCCUUUCUACCAAUUGAUUUCAUGACAUAAAUGUACUAUAAAAAUUAGUAUAUAUGAGUGAACUCAUUUGAUUUAUUUAUUUGACGUUUCCAAUUUUCCAUAAAUAUCAGUAGUUGCAUUUGUCUCCAAGUACACUUUAGGUUUUUUCAAUUAUAAAUUCUUUAUUCUAUGGAUGAGAAUGGAUUUUUGAGUGAAUUUAUUGAUAAAAUCAGUAGUUAGUACAAUAUCUUUUGUAAAUGAUUGAUUUGGUUUAAUUUAUUUCCCCUUGACCUUUUUGUGAUUCAAGUGAUAGCUUUGCUCCUGCAGUUCUGUCUUUGGUUCUAAGGUUUCAUUUGUGAAUGUUAUUUGAAUCAAUUUAAUAUAGUAGUAUGGUAUUUUUGUGUUCUGUUGCAGGUUCUUUUCACCUACAAUAAACUACUUGACUUCAAAAGGGCACAAUCUUUACCUACCCUUGGUUCUUGGACUUGACAAAGUAAAUCCCAGGUUUGUGAGCUUAUUACGUUUCUUUCAUUGCUUCUGCCUUGGAUUCUGAAUAGUUGGAUAUAGUUAAUAUUUUGAUACACAUGUAAACAAAUAUACUUAUGUGACAUUUGAUUUUCUUGACUGCUUAACUGGCUGAAACGGAUCUAUUCGUAUACACAAUAGAUGAGUACUUCGGCAGUUGAAGUUAGUGGUGAAAAAGUAAAAGCAAUGUGGGAUAAGAGAUUGACAGAAAUAUUUUGUGAUAUUUGUAUUAAAGAGAUACUAAAAGACAAUAGGCCUGGUACUCAUUUCACAAAAGAUGGAUGGUUGAAAAUAAUGACCAACUUUGAGAAAGAAACGGGCAAGUGUUUUUCACAAAGACAACUUAAAAAUAGGUGAGAUGCCCUAAAAAAAGAAUGGAAAGCUUGGAAGAAACUUAAAGGCGACGAUAAUGGUCUAGGGUGGAAUCCUAUAAAAAGAACCGUUGAUGCAUAAGAUGAUUGGUGGGAGAGUAGGAUACAAGUACAUUGAUAAUUCUAAAUAUUUUUUGUUUUUUUUUCUUAUUUAUGAGGUUAUUGAUAAUUACUGUUAUUAAACUAUCAUUUUAUAUGUAGGUUGUGCCUGAAGCUCAAAAAUUUAGAACAUCGGGCAUUGAUCCUGAAUUCAAAGGGAAGUUGGACCAAAUGUUAAUGGGGAUAGUUGCAACAUGUGGUAAAGCAUGGGCACCAGGUGAUAAAGUAUGGGCACCUUCUUCUGGUACACUCCGUAGUGAUUUUUUUGAGGAUGUUAACAACGAAAUACCUAAAGAGAAUGAAGAAGAAAAUAUCAGAAAUGAUGUUCACAUUUUAAAUGAUGUUCACAUUUCAAAUGAUGUUCAAUUUGAUGGAAACGAUCAAAAAAGAAAAAAUCCUGAGAUAUCAAUGUUGACACCAUUUUUUUGAUAAAACGGGAUCGACUUAGGUUUUAGAAACGAAAACGAAAACGGAAGUCUCCACCAAUCCUUUUUGAUGAGGUGUGAUCGGGUCACCUCGUAAAGUGGUUGUUUUUAAUAAACAAUUUGAUUUUUAUGAAAAACAACGAUUUUGGUCCACGAAAUUCAGAAAAAUGGGUUUGGGAGUCGAUUACGUACGAGGAAGGAUUAGCACCCUCGUAACGCCCAAAAUUGGUACCUAGUUGAUUAAUUAAUGUCUUAGUGUCGAAGAUUGAAAAUUUUAAAGAAAUUUAAAAUACGAUCUUUUAUUGAAAUGUUGAAAAUUUUCGGGAAAGGCAUAUUUCACGUUAAUCGAGAAAGAGAAUUAUAUCCAAUAAGUUAGGACAUAAUGUCUUGAAUUUCUGAUACGCGAAUGAAUACCAAAAAUCUGCUUAUUUAAAAGAUAUUUAGCUAUCUCGGUUUCAAAAAAGAGAUCAUGCCCAGUAAGUUAAGACAAGAUCUUUUCUUAAUUCCCGAGAUCAUUUAAAACUUUGUUUGAAAUGAUUCGCGUAUUUAGAUUUAUCGAGAAAAUUGAAACCCCGUAAGUUAGGGUAUAAUUUUUCGAAUAUCAAAAUACGAAAAAUAAUUUUUGAUAUAUCGAGUAAAGUAAAACACGAUGUCGUAAAAAAUGCGAAAACAAAUUAUAUAGGAUACGCAUACGAAACAAUAAUGAAUAUGAAAGUGUAACAUAAUACGAAUGAUAGUGACAAAAACAUGAUAAAAAGGACGAAUCAAUAGCAUGCCAAAUAACUAGUGUAUAAGCAAAAUAAAAGUGAAAUAUUUUUAAAAUAAUAAUGAAAGCGUGAAUAAAUAGAUAAUAAUUGAAUUAUAAUUAUAAAAAAAAAGCAAUAGGAUAUAUGUAUAUGUAUAUGUAUAUGUAUAUGUAUAUGUAUAUGUAUAUGUAUAUAAAGUAUAAGAUAUAAUAAGGAAUAUGCAAGCAUGUAUAUAUAUAUAUGAAAAUUAAAAAUAUGUAUAUAAAGAUAUAUAGAUAAAUAAGAUAUAAAGUAUAUAGAUGUGAAAAUGAAAAAAUACGUAUAUAAAGAUAUAUAUAUAUAUAUAUAUAUAUAGUAUAGAAUAUAAUAAGUAUAUANNNNNNNNNNNNNNNNNNNNNNNNNNNNNNNNNNNNNNNNNNNNNNNNNNNNNNNNNNNNNNNNNNNNNNNNNNNNNNNNNNNNNNNNNNNNNNNNNNNNCAAAAGUAAAGAAUAUUCAAUUGAAAACACAGUGAAAAGCGGAAGGAAUAGGGUAGCAAUUAUACCCUAGUCACAAAACACGCGGAUCCUUCAGGUAAUGGGUCGGGUCACGCGUGGGUCGCGCGAAACGGCGCCGUUUUGGCGCUGAGGCCCCCAUGUGAAACAACGACGUUUUUCAUUUGGUAUAAAUGUUUAAAAAAACCCUAAAAAAUUAGAUUCAUCCCCUUUUUUUAAAAAAAAAAAUCAGAGAGCCAAAGCUCUCUCUCAAACCCCAAAUCUGUCCACAGUUGCCGGCUGUCCGUCCAUCGGACUGGCGCCGUGGCCGGUGGCCGACGACGGACCAAAUGUGCUUUUGAGCCCCGUUUUCGACGAUUUGAAGGCCAAUCCUUCUCAACCAAGAAGAAAACCGAAAGAAAAGACCCUCACCCCCUUUUAAGGCCGAUUUUGACGACGGAGAGAGGAUCCCCGACAACGUGGCCGCGGGACAUCUCAGGUGAGCCUUUAUUUUUCCUUUUUAUCUUUGUAGGUAGAAAUAAAAAUAAAUAAACAAAAAAAAAGUCAAGAACAAAAUAAAUAGAAAUAACAACCGAAAAUCACCUUUGAAGUUUUGUUUUUUUUAUUUAUUUUCUAAUAUGUCUGUAGUAAAAAAAAUACAUUGACUUGGUGAUGGCUUUUUCUAGCCGAAAUUGAUACAACAUUUUUUCUUUGUUUGUUGCUUGCGUUUUUGUUCUUUUCUUGCAGGUGAUUGACGGGCGCAAGUGGCAGAGGCGAUGAAGUGACCGUGGCGGUGGCGGCAGGUCAAGUGUGAGAAGACCCUAGGUGCGGCGCACCUAGGGUUAGGGUUUCCAGACCCUUUUUCUUGCUUUGGGCCGUGGGAAAUUGUGUUGGGUUGUAUUUGGGUCCGUUUGGGUUAGGGGUAGAUUUGGGCUUACUUUUGGUUUGGGUUAUUUUGUGUUUUAUUUGUUUGUAAUGGCCCCGGGUGAAAUUGGGCUUCUACAGCUGCCCCUCUUUGCUCGUUGUCGUGUAACAAGAACAGAGCAAAGACUAAGAAAGACCAAUUUCGCCCGGUCUCGUUAAUGCUCUAGUGCUUCUCUUCUUCAAGUAGCCUCCUUCUAAUCCACUGUGUCUUGUUGCUUUGAUCUACUCCACUGCACUUCAGAGAGAUACGACUUGCAGCUUCAAUCCACUCUGCUGCAACUUCAGGGGGACGAGAUUCGUGGUUUUAGUCUGCCCUACUGCAACGUCAGGGAGAUAAGACUUGAUGUUUCAACCUGCUCCACUGUGACUCUAGGGAGAUAAGGUCUUAAUAUGAUAAGAUCCAUUAUCAACAGUCUGCUCCACUACGACUUUAGGGAGAUAAGACUUGUAGUCGGUCUUCAAUUUGCUCCACUACUUCUUCAUGGAAAUAAGACUUAUAUCUUCAACCUGCUCCACCGCAACUUCGGGGAGAUAAGGUUUGCUAUCUUCAGUCUGCUCCACUGUAACUUCAAGGAGAUAAGACUCGUAAUGUCAACCUGCCCAACUGCAACUUCAGGGAGAUGAAGUUUGAUAUGAUCUACUCUACUAUAACUUCAGAGAGAUACGAUCAGUAAUUUAUAACUUCAAUCUGUUCCACUGCAACUUUAGGGAGAUAAGAUUCGUAAUUUCAACCUGCCUCACUGCAACUUCAGGGAGAUGAUGUUUGAUAUGAUCUGCUGUACUAUAAUUUUAGAGAGAUAAGAUAUGUAGUUUAUAGCUUCAAUCUGUUCCACUGCAACUUCAGGGAAAUAAGACUCGCUAUCUUUAGUCUGUUCCACUGCAACUUCAGGAAGAUAAGACUCGUAAUUUCUAAUAAAGUCCGAUGUGAUCCGUUCUACUGCAACUUCAGAGAGAUAAGAUUCAUCAUUUUGACCCGCUCCACUGCAACUUCAGGGAGAUAGGACUUAUAUCUUCUACUUGCCCUACUGGAACUUUAGGGGGAUAAUGUUAGUAACUUCAACCUGCUCUACUGCAAUUUUAGAGAGAUAAGGUUUGUUAUUUCAAUCUACUCUACUGCAACUUCAGAGAGACAGGGUUUGUAAUUUAUAGCUUCCAUCUAUUUCACUACAACUUCAAUGGAAUAAGACUUGCUAUCUUCAGUCUACUCUACUGCAUCCUCAGCAAGAUAGAACUUGUGGCUCCAAUAAAGUCUGAUGCGAUCUGUUCUACUACAACUUCAGAGAGAUAAGAUCCAUCAUUUUAACCUGCUCCACUGCAACUUCAGGGAGAUAAGGUUUGUUAUCUUCAACCUACUCCGCUACUACUCAGGGAGAUAAGACUAGUGAUUUCGAUCUGCUUCACUGUCAGUACAGGAAGACAAGAUCUACAACCUUCGACCUACUUCACUGCUACUCAGGGAGAUAAGACUAGUGGCUUAAAUUUGCUUCCCUACUACCUUGGGAAGAUAAGAUUCGCCGUCUUCGAUCUGCUCCACUACUGCUUAGGGAGAUAGGAUCUGUAAUUUUCAACCUACUCUGCUACUGCUUAGGGAGAUAAGGCUAGUGCUUUCGAUCUGCUUCACUGCCAGUACAGAAAGACGAGAUCUGCUACUCUUAGUCUACUCCGCUGCAAACUCAGAGAGGUCAGGCUUGUGUCUUCGAUCUGCUUCACUGCCAGUACAGGAAGACGAGAUCUGCUGCUUUUAGUCUGCUCCGCUGCAAACUCAGGAAGGUUAGGCUUGUGUCUUCAAUCUGCUUCGCUGCCAGUACAGGAAGAUGAGAUCUACUGCUUUUAGUUUGUUCUGCUGCAAACUCAGGGAGGUCAGGCUUGUGUUUUCGAUCUGCUUCGCUGUCGGUACAGAAAGACGAGAUCUGCUGCUUUUAGUCCAUUCCUCUGUAAUUUCUGAGAGAUAGGACUUGAUAUGACGACUUCAAUUCAUCUCACUGCAACUUCAGGGGUAUGGGAAACUUCAUUAAUAUGUUCUUUGGGGAACAUGACCUGUAAAGUCCAUUUUAUAAACCUAUUUAUGCCUAAUGAUUAGGAUGUUAUGAUCAGAACGAAUCAGAUUCUCCUAACUAGGUGUGUGUGAAUUAUAUUUGCAUGAAUGCAGAAUGUUAUGAGAAUGAUCCCUUUUUUAAUGUUAGGGUUGUCAUUGCUCGUUAUUCAUUAAGGCUCCAUUACCAACACGUCAGAAUGCCAUCUUGUUUGGCUGGUAGCACUCAUCUCUUACUUAAACGGAUUGCCCCCACUAUAAUCUUCAAAGUUCAAUCUGUUGUAAUCUUCAAGGCUAAGUCCACGGUAAUUUUUGGACAUAAAAUUUGAGCCAUCUUCCUUCCACUGAGUAAAAGAUCUGGCUCUUUCUCAAUCCUCUCCCACUGUAAUUCAGGGAUACAGGAUCUGAAUCUCUUUGGUCUCUUACACCAUUCUUAGGGUGUCGUACCAAAUAUUUAUGCACAAUUGUAGAACUUUCUCUUCUAAUAAACCUCUUUUUAUCACUCUGUGAUCAUUACUCAUUUGUUCAUUGAAGUUUUGUCACCAGCACGACAUUUUUCGUUUUGUUCAAUCUAUGCUUAGACAACAAAAUCCGAAGGGAUAGUCUUAAUUUAGACUUUUCCUUCUUAGACAUUUCACCCUUUAAACUUGGUGUACUCUAAACAAUAGUCAUGUUUCAGGUUCCUGUAUUGUUUAGAAGCUUUCAGAGUAAUAUGCAAAACUUCUUUUGCUUGAAUAUUAACAGCCCAUUAAUCUUUAUUUCAAUGGAAAAUGCUUGAAAAGAUUAUCACAAUGGGAAAGAUGAAAUUUUAUUGAGAGUAGAGCUCUAAACAAAUAAAUUAAUCAGGAUAGAAAAUUUUGCUAAGAUUCAAAAUGAAUAAGAUGAAAAGGAUUAUUACAAUGGAUAAGAUGGAAUUUUAUUGAGAACAAAGCUCGAAAUAAAUAAAUAAUCAAGAUAGCAAAUUUUUCUAAGAUACGAAAUGAAUAAGAUGAAAACAGGUGCCCCAGAUAUCACAGUAUGAGCUUUUCUGCAUAAGCUUCUUGAGGACCAUUUUGAACUUGAUAUGUGUCUAGAAGUCCUAAAAGACUUUGUUGAUGUCCCAAGAUGUAGCGUCUCACCUUCUUGCUAAUUUAGAGAGGACAAGGCCACCGCAUGUCCCACCUUUGAUCAAAAUUUAAACUGCCCAUUCCUGGGUUUUCAAUUCAAAACCCCUUUGGUCUCAAGGUGCCCUUUGUGGGUUUUCACCUUGGCCUCUCAUUCUUCUUUUCUUUUCUUUUUCCUUUCUUUUUUCUUUUCUUUUUUUUAACAUUCUUUGAUUGAAUUCGCCCUCGUAGGAUCAGGUAAGUCAUUGCUAUCCUUUCUAGUCGAAAUCAACACUUCUCCAGAUAAAGCCUUCAACAUAAGGUUCUUUUCAGUUUGAUAUCCUCUUUCUUCUAAAGUUCUUUUUGUAUGGAGAGGAUUUUCUUCGAUAUUAGGUCUCCUUCAUAGAAUUCUCUAGGGCGAACCUUCUUUGGUGAGCUCACGUCUUUUUUUUGUGGAUUUGACCAAGAUAGAUAACUUUGAACACUUCUCUUCAAUCGAGAUCUGAUCCAACACUCGAAGAGAAGGAAUCUUGACCUCAAUGAGCAAAACUACGAUGAGCCAAUGUGUUGCCCCGGCAGUAGUUUUUCCUCUCAUUUUUGUUUUGUUUUGUUUUUUAUUUUUGUUUUUUUUACUCCCACUGCGCCGUGCAUUUUGGGGCAAAAUGUGUUAAUCUUGAACAGACUGUAAACUUAUGACAUUGUGCUGUUGUUCAAUUUUAGUGCAUUGUUAGAUGUGCUUCUUUUUGGCAUUUCAAAUUGACACGUGAUUUUUCAAAAAUUCGCAGACUGUUGACCUUGCGACAUUGGCAUAUGAAGCAGCUUUUGCCUACUUAGUGAGGUAAUUGAUGACCAAAAAGAUAACCGUCAAAAACCUUAGGUAAGAUCAGCCUUAUGACAUUUGUGUCCCACGUAGAGAAAGGGCAUGGCUUCUAUUGAUUCUGUGUAAAAUAGAAUCUUGUUAUCUCGUUUUUAACAAAUCAGGAGAUAAGUUACAAUCUCAGUUAUCUCCAAAGGCUUGAGGUUUAAUCUGGACACAUAUCUUGCUCAAAAGGAGGUUCUGAAUCAAUAGUAGUGUUGCUCAUAUCAUUGAUAUUUAGAGACCUGUUAUAGGACGAAAGUAGAUCCAAAGAAUAAAAGAAUCUAAAAAUAUUUAUCUGUAUCGUAUGAUUAUGAAAUGGAAAAAAUAAAAGAAUAUUUGCCCGAAGUGAGAAACAAAGAUGCAUUUUAUUGAAAUAAAGAUGUUGGACAUAAGCCUAUCUCACAAAAGGAUUCUUAUUACCCCUAGGCUUAGAGAAAUAAGUGUGUUUUGGACAUUACUCCGAAUUAGGUCUAAAAUAUACAGGGAUCUCUUUCACAGUCCCACUAUUCAAAACACUUCCAAGUCUGUUCUUUUCACCAACCCCCUUCUUGGAUAUGAUGUUAAUGCUUUGAUAGCCGGCGAUUAUGACCCUCGGUUGGCCCACAGUGACCAAUUUGGGAUAUCUUUCAUUAUAUAUACUCAAGUUGCUUACUUCAUUUUCUUUGUUCUUUAGGGUUGAUCCUCUGACGCUUUCUCCCGUAUCUAUCUUCCCACUUCUUAUGGCAUUUUCACUCAUCUUGCCAGACAUUACCAUAUCUGAUAAGCUCAUGGUAGCGCUUCCCAACAUGUGGUUAAUGAAUGGGGCUUUCAAAGUGUUGACGAAAAGCAUCGUGGUUUCUUUUUCUAGAAAAGGUGGUUGGACUUAUGUCGCUACCUCUCUCCAUCUUUGGGCAUAUUGCCUGAAGCUCUCACUUUGCUUCUUUUCCAAGUUCUGUAGUGUAAUUCUGUCAGGUGCCAUGUCUGUCACGUAACCAUACUGCUUCAUGAAAGCUCGUGCCAAGUCUUUCCAUGAGUGGAUAUUGGCACGGCUCAACUGGUUGUACCAUUUUACAGCUGACCCGAUCAGACUAUCUUGGAAGUAAUGAAUUAACAGUUGAUCGUUAUCAAUGUAUCCUAUCAUUUUUCGACAGAACAUCGUGAUGUGAGCUUCGAGACAACUGGUCCCAUUAUACUUUUCAAAUUCUAAAGUCUUGAAUUUCGGUGGGAGUACUAAAUCUGGGACCAAACUUAAAUCCUUGGCAUCAACCCCGCAAUGGUAAUCAACAUUCUCCAUUGCUUUUAGUUUUUCUUCCAACCACCUAUACCGAUCUUCGAGUUGCUUUGGUAGUUCUACCCUUACUUCUGCCAUUUCGUCUAACUCAGGAAUAACAAGAUUGGUUGGAUCAUUCUUUGGAUUAGAACCUGAGCCUGUCGGAUAGUUCAUUAGCGCCGAGGUACCGGCCUGAUAUCGUUGGGGUCUGUUAGUAGUGGGUGCCCCUUGUAGAUGCGCGUCGGGUUGGGCCUGGACGCCUAUUGGGGUGAAACCUGGGAGAUAGGCAGGGUCUUCAUAUUUAUCCCCAGAAUUGGCUACAGGGUUUUUCUUUUUAUCUCUAGCUGAGAGCUGUGCUAAUUGGCUCAUCAAGCUCCUUUGGGAUUUUUGCAUGUCUUGUUGGAUAUUUUCUAGUUGUUCUUGCAUCUGGGCUUGCACCUGUUCUUACAAUUGCUCUAAUCUCUCUAGUCUCUGAUCUAUUCCUUUAGUUUUUGCUCAGAUACUGUAAGGGUGUUGGUUUUCCAGAUUAGCUGAAAUAAUUUUACUCAAUUAGGGUCUUUUAAUGGUCCUUAAUGCACAUGAUGCCAUGUAAUGCGAAUGCAUGAAUGCAAAAAAGACGUUGACUCUGAUUUAAUUCUAUUUAAAAAACUUUACUAAAAAACAAAUUCCUUUACAUAAAGCGAAUGCAUGUAUGGCCUCGCCCUCAUAUUCCAAGAAACAACAUUGGUCUUCUUCUUUAUCUGAAUGUUUAAGAUAAAUAUUGCAAAUUUCCAAUGGAUGCCACUACUAACUCCUUCUUGCUUGAUUCUGGUUGUGAUCCAUCGUCUGCCCAUCCUCGUAAUGCUCAUCAGCUUCUUUAAGGAAGUCAGAAUGUCGGUGACUCUCAAAUAAUUAGCUUGAAUUUUUGGGCCACGAAGUAAAAUGAUGUACUCUUCCAUCACCUUUCUUUUGUCGUGUUUCUUGGAAUGUAUUCGGGCAGCCAUAUUAUCUUCCGCUUUAUCAAGAAAUCCGUUUUCCAUGACAAACUUUCUAAUUUAGUAAUCAAACUUGAAUCAACACCUUUUUCUAAGAUGAAAAUGCAAUGCAAUCAUAACCAAAACAAAACGAAACAGGUUAGUACAAAGCAAAAGCAAACAAGAAAGAUAGAGUACCUAUUCGGGUAUCCACUAAAGGUUUGGAGUGGCUCUACCUAGGUAGAUUCUUAUGGCUCACUACAUGUGGUUCGAUUCUAAAGUAAAGGUACCUGAACCAACAGAUUCCUCAAUCCUCACCUAUUAUAGGCUCAUACGGACUGAGUUCAGUUCAGGGGAAUACAUUUCCCUAUGGCCAUGUGGAGAUGAAAAUCUCACGAAGACAUAGGUACAGAUGUAUCCCGGAAGCGAUUCACUAUCCCAUGCGAAGGUGAAAACCUCACGAAGGCGUAGUUUCUCACUCCCACUUAAAAGGGUGUGACCAACGGUCAUGCAAUGCAAUGUGCAGAAAUAUAUAUCUAAACUCAAAAUAACACAGUAUUUAUAAAACCACAAUGAUGAAGAUCGUAAUAAAGAUGAAUGAAAUACAAUGAAAGGAUAGUAAAUUUAAAUCAAAUUCAAUUUUUGACAAAAAGACAGAAAGUAAUCAACACGUGGCUUGACUCUCUUAUUUUGGAUCCCCAGUGGAGUCGCCAAGCUGUUGACACCAUUUUUUUGAUAAAACGGGGUCGACUUGGGUUUUAGAAACAAAAACGGGAGUCGCCACCAAUCCUUUUUGAUGAGGUGUGAUCGGGUCACCUCGUAAAGUGGUUGUUUUUAAUAAAUAAUUUGAUUUUUAUGAAAACAAUGAUUUUGGUCCACGAAAUUCAGAAAAAUGGGUUCGGGAGUCGAUUACGUCGAGGAAGGAUUAGCACCCUCGUAACGCCCAAAAUUGGUACCUAGUUGAUUAAUUAAUGUCUUAGUGUCGAAGAUUGAAAAUUUUAAAGAAAUUUAAAAUACGAUCUUUUAUUGAAAUGUUGAAAAUUUUCGGGAAAGGCAUAUUUCACGUUGAUCGAGAAAGAGAAUUAUAUCCAAUAAGUUAGGACACAAUGUCUUGAAUUUCUGAUACGUGAAUGAAUACCAAAAAUUUGCUUAUUUAAAAGAUAUUUAGCUAUCUCGGUUUUAAAAAAGAGAUCAUGCCCAGUAAGUUAAGACACGAUCUUUUCUUAAUUCCCGAGAUCAUUUAAAAAUUUGUUUGAAAUGAUUCGCGUAUUUAGAUUUAUCGAGAAAAUUGAAACCCCGUAAGUUAGGGUACGAUUUUUCGAAUAUCAAAAUACAAAAAAAAAAUUUUGAUAUAUCGAGUAAAGUAAAACACGAUGUCGUAAAAAAUGCGAAAACAAAUUAUAUAGGAUACGCAUACGAAACAAUAAUAAAUACGAAAGUGUAACAUAAUACGAAUGAUAGUGACAAAAACAGGAUAAAAAAGGACGAAUCAAUAGCAUGCCAAAUAACGAGUGUAUAAGCAAAAUAAAAGUGAAACAUUUUUAAAAUAAUAAUGAAAGCGUGAAUAAAUAGAUAAUAAUUGAAUUAUAAUUAUAAAAAAAGCAAUAGGAUAUAUGUAUAUGUAUAUAAAGUAUAAGAUAUAAUAAGGAAUAUGCAAGCAUGUAUAUAUAUAUAUAUAUAUAUGAAAAUUAAAAAUAUGUAUAUAAAGAUAUAUAGAUAAAUAAGAUAUAAAGUAUAUAGAUGUGAAAAUGAAAAAAUACGUACAUAAAGAUAUAUAUAUAUAUAUGAUAAGAUAUAAAGUAUAUAUAUAUAAAAAAAAUUAUAGACGUAUAUAUAUAUAUUAUAAAAAUGUAUGAUGGAUAUGGAUAUAUAUGUAUGUAUAACAAAACGUAUGUGUGUGUAUAUAUAUAUAGAUAACAAAAAUUUGAAAUUAAAAGGACAUAGUUGAGUAAAUAGUAAUAAUAAUAUUUAUAAUAAUAUAAUAUAAUAGUAAUAAUAAUAUGUAAAAUGAUCAAUUUAACAAUAAAUAACUAAAAUACCAAAUAAAGGGCUAGAUUAAAAACUAGGCUAGAAUAUGGGGUCAAAUCGCUAAUAAAAUAAAAGAGGGGACCUUCAUGAACGCGCACAUAACAUGGAGGGACUAAAAUGGAAAUUUUUCCUUCUCCUCCAAAACGCAUCGUUCCGGGAGGGACCGAAUUAAAAACGCAAAGAAAAAUGGGGUAAAAUUGCAAAAGUAAAGAAUAUUCAAUUGAAAACACAGAGAAAAGCAGAAGGACUAGGGUAGCAAUUAUACCCUAGUCACAAAACACACGGAUCCUCCAAGUAAUGGGUCGGGUCACACCCGGGUCGCGCGAAACGGCGCCGUUUUGGCGCUGAGGCCCCCAUGUGAAACAACGACGUUUUUCAUUUGGUAUAAAUGUUUAAAAAAACCCUAAAAAAUUAGAUUCAUCCCCCUUUUUUUAAAAAAAUUUCAAAGAGCCAAAGCUCUCUCUUAAACCCCAAAUCAGUCCAUGGUUGCCGGCCGUCCGUCCAUCGGACUGGCGCCGUGGCCGGUGGCCGAUGACGGACCAAAUGUGCUUUUGAGCCCCAUUUUCGACGAUUUGAAGGCCAAUCCUUCUCAACCAAGAAGAAAGCCGAAAGAAAAGACCCUCACCCACCUUUUAAGGCUGAUUUCGACGACGGAGAGAGAAUCUCCGACGACGUGGCCGCGGGACAUCUCAGGUGAGCCUUUCUUUUUCCUUUUUAUCUUUGUAGGUAGAAAUAAAAAUAAAUAAACAAAAAAAACUAAAGAACAAAAUAAAUAGAAAUAACAACCGAAAAUCACCUUUGAAGUUUUGUUUUUUUUUUUUUCUAAUAUGUCUAUAGUAAAAAAAAUACAUUGACUUGGUGAUGGCUUUUUCUAGCCGAAAUUGAUACAACAUUUUUUCUUUGUUUGCUGCUUGCGUUUUUGUUCUUUUCUUGCAGGUGAUUGACGGGCGCAAGUGGCAGAGACGGUGAAGUGACCGUGGCGGUGGCGGCAGGUCAAGGGUCAGAAGACCCUAGGUGCGGCGCACCUAGGGUUAGGGUUUCCAGACCCUUUUUCUUGCUUUGGGCCAUUUGGGCCGUGGGAAAUUGUGUUGGGUUGUAUUUGGGUCCGUUUGGGUUAGGGGUAGAUUUGGGCUUAUUUUAGGUUUGAGUUAUUUUGUGUUUUAUUUGUUUGUAAUGGGCCCGGGUGAAAUUGGGCUUCUACAAUCAAGUUCACAUUUUAAAACUAGAAGAAAGAAAUCCUCAAAGCACAUUAGAGGGGCUGCAAGAUUGUCCAGUCAAAUAGACAAAUUAUGCAAUGCAGCUGACAAUAUGAGUCAAGCCACAUCUAGUUUGACUCCUAUUAUGGAUCCAUAUGGUAUUCCACAAGCAGAUAAAAUGCUUGACAACAUGUCGAAAGAAGUUCCAAAAGCUAGUCCGCUAUACUUUUUCGCACUUAAAUUAUUGCUCAAGAAGGACAAGUGAAUUAUGUUUUUAUCAAUUAAUCCCAAGAUUAGAGCUUUGUGGCUUAAGACGGAAAUGGAGGAUAGUUGAAAAUUUUCUGAUCUUCUAGGGUUCAGAGAUAUCUAUUAUGUGACUAAACAACAAUGCUAAACUAGUUUUAUCAAUAGUUAUUUAUGUUUGGUUUUUGGAUAUUGAAUUUAUGUUCUACUUAUUUAUAUGUAAUCUAGUUUUAUCAAUGGUCGUUUAUGUUUGGUUUUUGGAUAUUGAAUUUAUGUUCUACUUAUUUAUGUAUAAUCUAGUUUUAUUAAUAGUUGUUUAUGUUUGGUCUUUGGAUAUUGAAUUUAUGUUCUACUUAUUUAUACUAAAUUAGUUUUAUCAAUAGUUGUUUAUAUAUGAUUUUGGAUAUAAAAUUUAUUCAUAGGUGAUAAGUAUAGUUAAGGAUUACAGCGGUGAUGAAAGUGAUGAUGAAAGGGAAAAGAAAGAGAUUUUACAACGCAUGGAAUGUUUUAACCAAUUAUUUGUUGUUGCAUCUUAUUCCUUGCAAUUAUAUUACGAGAAGUAUAUAUUGAGGCAACCAUGCAUGGAUUCUAAACAGUCAGGUGAGACAUGGAUCCGAGAGAUUCUUGACUGUCACAAAUCACGUUGUAUGAUUAAUUCACUACACCAAAACAGGAUUUUAGCGGCACUUUUAGUGGCGCUUGAACAAAAAAUGCUGGUAAAAAUCAAGCAUUAGCAGCGCUUUAUGGAAAUCGCCACUAAAAACCAAAGCCCAACGGUGUCGUUUUCUUACCUUUCGGGGCUUUAGCGGGUUUUUUGAAAAUGCGUCGCUAAUGCUCGGUGUUUUAGCGGCGUUUUUUAAAAGCGCCGCUAAUGCUAGGGCCUUUAGCGGCGUUUUUGAAAAAGCGCGGCUAAAAACAUUUUAUCUUAUUUGGUUUAUUUAUAUAAUUAAAUAAGAUUAAAUUUAAAUCUAAUUGAAUAUUUAAAAUCUUCAAAAAAAAUAAUGACACGUAGAAAUAAUUUGAAAUAAAAUAUCUGGAAAAAUUAAAAUACUAUUAUUUAAAAUAAUUUUAAAUUUUUUGGGUACAUGAUUACUGAUUUUUUUUAAUUUAUAUAUUAAAAAAUUUCUUAUAUAAUCGUAAAAGAGAUGGUAUUAAUUUUAAAAUAUUGAAUUAAUUAUCACUAUAGUUUAGGGUUUUUGGUUCAGGGUAUAUGAUUUAUUUAAAAUUUAAGGCCAGUUUAAAAGUUACUAUUUUAAGGUUUAGGGAGUAUGGAUUUAGGAAUUAUGGAUUAGGGAUUAUGGUUUAGGGGUUGGGGUUUAAGGUGUAGGGGUUAGGAAUUUAGAGGUUUAGGAGUUAGACGUUAGGGGUUGAGAGUUAAGGAUUCAAGGUUUAGGGAUUUAGGGGCCAAGUUAGGGGUUUGUGUUUAGAUUAAUUUUUUUAAUUUAUAUUUUAAAUAUGUUCUUAUAUAAUUGUAAAAGAGAUAAUAAAUUUGUUUAGGGUUUUUAGUUUAGGGUAUAUGAUUAAUUUAAGAUUUAAGGCCGGUUUAGGAGUUCAUAUUUUAAGGUUUAGGGAGUAUGAAUUUAGAGAUUAUGAAUUAGGGAUUAUGGUUUAAGGGUUUGGAUUUAAGGUUUAGGGGUUAGGGGUUUAAGGGUUAGACGUUAGGGGUUAAGAGUUAGGGAUUUAAGGUUUAGGGAUUCAAGGGUCGAGUUAAUGUUUUGGGUUUAGAUUAAUUUUUUUAAUUUAUAUUUUAAAUAUGUUAUUAUAUAAUUUUAAAAGAGAUAAUAAUAAAUUAAAUAUAUUGAAAUUAUGAGUGUAGUUUAAAUUAUUUAAGAGAUAUAUAAUAGAUAGAUUUUAUAUGUAUUGAAUGGUUAAUUUAGGGUUUAAGGUUAAUGUUUACUUGAGAUUUGUUAAAUGAUAAAAUUUUAUAUAAUUAAUUAAUACUUUUAUAUUUAAAAAAAUUUAAUUUAAACCAUUUGAUAUAUUUAAAUAUUAGUUUAAAUAGAAUUAAUAAAUAAAUUAAAAAAAUAAUAGAUUGAUAUGGAUAUUUAGGUACAAUUAUUUAUUUUGGAGAGGAUCAAAUUAUAAAAAAUAAAAUUAAAAUACAAAAAUAAAAUAAUUUUGUUCAAAAUGAAAAUUUUUUACACACUUUUUAUAAAAACACCGCAAAAAAUAAAUAAUAGCCCCAAAAUUUAACUUUAAAAAUGCUACAAAAAUUAUUUCACUUUAAAAAAUCGCGCCAUUUUACCCCAAAUUUCCCCCUGAAAUCCCUAAUCUUCCCAUGUCCGACAAUAUUUUCUCAGCUGCCACACUCCAACAAAUACUCUGCACUCCCAUGGCUGAAAUAACAACCCAAAACCUUUUUAUUACAGCGCCAACAAAGCUUUGCUCUUUAUCCAUCUAUCAAAGAACACACUACUCUGCAUCAUACACUGACGAAAAGAAAAAAUAUGGGUUUUGAGAAGGGAGCUUCAUUGUUGGAAGAUUUGGUAGAAAAAGCUGGAGGCUGUGCUGUGAUGGAUGGGGGUUUUGCUACUCAGCUUGAGAGUCAUGGUGCUUCCAUUAAUGACCCACUUUGGAGCGCUCUUUGCUUGAUCAAAGACCCUCACCUUAUCAAGCAGGUACCUUUCGGUCUUCUUUCUCAUUCAGCUUUGUUGGAAAAUAUGUACAUUGCUGUCCUGCAAAUGACUCCAUGUCAAAAACAGGGUAUAAAGUUUGAGACUUGGUUUUAGAUUUUGAAUCAACGUGGAGUGUUCAUAUGUGCAGGUUCAUUUGGAGCAUUUGGAGGCUGGUGCAGAUAUCUUAGUUACUUCAUCUUACUAGGUUUGUUUAUUAGUGUUUUUCAGAUUCAGCCGAAUGACUUGAUUUGUUAGGCUAAUGUGUGAUCUUCUGCCUUUCAUAUAUUCACAAUAUGGAUAUGGUGAAAAGGAUAGGAGCUAAAUGCUUCCUUUUUCUAUGCAAUAGGUCCACCACUUUCUUGUGAAAAGUCAUGGAAAAUAUUCUGAUUUUUCCCUAAGUUUGGCUUAUUAAUGAACCAGACGGAAAAUAAUGUAGUUAUCAUCUAUAUAUGUUCAUCUGCAAUGAUUGAUUCCUUGGAAACAAUCAACAUAUCUUUGUAGAAACUUGCCUACCUUCAUAUUAGGAAGAGUAAUUUAUUUGAGAUUGUAUGGUAAAUGAUAAACCCAAUUUUAAUUACAAUUAUUCACACAUUCCAGAUUUUUUAAUUGAUUUGAAUCGAGCAAUUAGACAUAAAAGAGUAAUAUGGAUUUAAAAAAGAAGAAGCAAAUAUUGCAAUGAUAGUGUUUUCAUAUUUAAUAUUAUUUAUAAUUUUUUAAAAUAAGUUAAUCCUAGAAUAAAACUAUAAACCUCAUGUAUAAUGGUACCUGAACCUAAAUCAUCAAAGACCCAAUCUUAAGCAGCAGCUCAAAACUCGACAGAGGCUAAGGAUGAUGCUGCCUCUGGAGAGGUUGCACAAGCUGAAUAAGGAUGGUGGAGUUAAUAAUGCCACAGGAGCAGCAGUUGGUAGAGGCUUUAUACGGGAUUCAUCGGGCUGCUGGGUUAUGGGGUACAGUUGGAGUAUUGGUUGCUGCUUGAUGUUGCUAGCUGAGCAUUGAGAGCUAUAUGACGGCUUGUCUGUGCCUUGAGAUGCGGGUAUUCGGUGCUGGUGGUGGAAUCUGAUAGUCGGGCUGCGGUGGACCUUGUCACGGAUGUUACCAGGAAGGAGAUGUUGGAGCUCGUAAUGGCUGUUCGUGGCCUUUUGUCUUAGUCGUGGUGGGUAUUGGUGCGUCAUGUUCUGCGAGGUGCAAAUGCGGCAGCGGAUUUUGUCACCAAGCUCGCUAGGGAUUGCCCAUUGGGUUUGCAGCUGGUUCGGCACCCUCCUCCAUUUGUCAAACUCAUGGUUGAAUGGGAAGAGUAGGCCACCUAUUGUCAAUGACUGUUAACUUUGGUUGGCUUUUAGCCUAGGUUCAUUUUUGUUUUCAAAAAAAAAAAAAUUCAAUCUCAAUUUUAUCAUUCAAUCAAAAUCUUUAUAUAUAUAUAUGUAUAUAUUUUAUAGAUAUUUUUUUUACAUAAACUUUUUUUUAUCUACGUUUGUGGAUAUACAACAAUAAAAACCUGAUACUUUUUGAGCAUGCUUGUUAAGAUUCCAAUUGUGUAAGGAACCGAGAAGGGCCAGUGCAAAGUACAGGUGAAAGGAUUUCGGUCUGGUCCCAACUAGUUCGGGGUGGGUUAAACUCAAUACUGAUGGUACUGUUUCUGUAGGUGGUCUUAAGUCCGGGGUUGCUGGUUUGAUUAGGAAUGCGUUGGGAAAUGGGAAGUUGGCUAUAACAGAUUCAUUGGUGUGAGCAACGUUCUUGAAGUAGAACUGCAUGUUGUUUUGAAUGGCUUGAAGAUUGCCUGGGACAAAGGCUUUUAGCAAAUACUGUUGGAAUGUGAUAACCUUCAUAUUAUUAGCUCCUCUUAUUGGUCGAGGCAAUGAUGCAUUUAGCAAAGUUGAGGAAUUAAGUAGAACGAACUGGGUAGUGCAUGUUUCGUAUAUUGGAAGGAUGGUAAUGUGGCUAAAAUAGCUCUAACAGAUAGACCUGGGUUGCAAGUACCUUUAGACCCUUUUUCUGUUGUUCUUGACGUGUGGAGUGAUGAUGUUUCAGGCCUCUCUAGCUAUACAAAUGCUCAACACUUUUCCUUUGUAUUUUGUUGGCUUCACUACACCAAAACAGGCUUUUAGAAGCAGGUCCAGGUUUGCUAGCCUUUGAGACCAUUCCCAAUAAACUUGAAGCUCAGGUUUGUUCUUCCUCAUGUAUACUUUACAUGUAGGAAGUUACAUUCUUCAUUAGCUUUUCAAGUUUCUAGUGAUCACUGAUCCAUUCGUAAUCAAAGCCGAGCAGGGACGAGUGGCGCAUGUAUAAUGCACACUGGCUGCAAAGGUUAAUUAGCAAUCGUUGUGGUUCUUCUGCCUUUUGCGCCUCUCCCUUUUUUUUUGUUUUUUGGCUUUCUUGGUUCUCAGUUUCUCAAUUCUAUCCACAGUUGUAUGGGGAAACCAAAGCACUACCGACCUCCUGCAAGUUCUUUCGAACUUUAUUGCUUUCAAAUUGGCGGUUUAGAUUUUCAAAUUUGACUUAUUGUAAGGAUUUUUUGCUCAUAAUUUAUGGUGAAAUUUUACAGGGAAAGAAAAAGGAAGGAAAUGCUGCGAGAUAUGUGACGAGGUCACAAGCUAUUAAAAUCCUUCAAGUUAGCCUUUCGGAUUUUAGGUUCAUCUCUUCUUUCUCACUUUUAUUAAUUAUUAUUAUUUAAGCUUCCUUUAUUUGCCUUCUUUUAUCAUUUUUUUCAUGUUGUUUUUAGCUUCGAAGAUUAAUUAGCUAAUAAUUUGAAACUAUUGAGCUUCGUUAAGCUGAGAUUAGUUCAUCAAGUAGCAGUUAAUUGCUACUUUUGCUAACUGUUUUUUGCUCACUGAAGCAAAGAGAAGAAGUGUGUAUGGAAAAUAUUCUUAUUGCUAGCUUUUUACUUCAGCAUGAGUUUAUGACUAUGUUUUAAUUGAUAUGAUUUUGUUAUUAUUAUUAUUAUAAAAAAUCGAGGAUUUUAGUAAGAAAACAUAUAAAAAAAAAGCCUCAACCAAAUGAAACGCGUAUUGAUGGGGUUUGUUAUUUUUUAUUAAAUAUGGUUGGCUUCCUUUUUGCUUUAAUGGAUUUAAUACUGCAGGAAACUAUGCAUCCACAAAAGAGUAUUUCCGAGAGAGCCAAAGAAGAAAGUGAAAGGAAAUCAUCAUACUUACUGUCACUUGAAGGAUGUCAUGUACAUUCUUCAUGAUCCACUACUUGAGAAGUUUAGAGAAAUAAGGGCAUAUCAAAGGAAGAUAAAGAAAGCUAAGGCUAAAAAGAAGGAUGAGUUAGCAAAGCUUCUUCUAUCUCGUGCACCUUCUUACAGACUUGAUAUGGUCAUCCGCGAUAGGUUUGUGAAACAAUCUUUGUAUGUUUUAUUUCCUCUCGUUGCUAGUUGUAUCAAAUCUGUAAAACUUUUGUAUUAAAACUUUUAUAGUAAGCAGCAACAUAACUAAAUCACCUUAUGCUGAUAAUGAGAAGAUUUAUUGUUCCUAUUCCCUUGGCUCCAAUUUUUUUGGUUCAAAACUUGAUGUCUAAGUGCAUGCUUGAGUAUUUGGUAAUCAAUCCUGUGAAAUAGUUUCUAGUUAAGGUGGCAUAGAAGCAUAUAGUCCAGGCAUAGUCUGCUCUUACAAUUUAUGAUUGUUUUUUGGUUUCUCCUCUCCACAAACUGUCUAAUGUAGUUGGCAGAAUGAGAUGAUGUUAUUUAUGCCUAUACAUGCAUUUCUCUGUGGAUGGGUAACUUAUAUCUUUGAUUUGAGGCAUAGUUUGAUGACAGCAUAACUUAUUGCUGAAGUUAUACAGCCACGUUGUUUGCAUGCUGAUGACCAGUUUUGACAUUUAAGAUUUCAGCAUAACAUAAUUGUUUGUUAUAUAAUUUUUGUUUUAGCCUUAAUGGCUAUAUAUAAUUUUUAUUUUUAACAUCUCUAUUGUUUAUCAAGUUUGUCGGUUUAUCUGUUCAUUUGGUUUUGCAUCCUUUAGAUAUUGAAGGUGUUGUAGAGGAUUCAAUCUCUUCAAGCUGGAAAAGCCAAGGCUUAGCACUUCUUCAAGUGGAGUGUUUUUUAAUUUUUCAUUCCAUGGUCGUUUAUCUUAGUCGGAACUUGAAUUUGGUGUUAUUGAAACAGGGUUUUGUAGUUACCUUGUGUACUAGCUUCUUUAACCAUGAUUGUUAAUCAUUACGAGUUUUGUAAUUUCUUUUAUAUUUGGCCGAGUUAAUAGAGAUCAGAUGAGCUGUGAGGUAGAUUGCUCAUUUAUUUAAACAUAAUAUUUUAAUUCUAAAUUUAAAUUCAUUAAUUUUUAUAUUUAGCUUUAAAGUUAAAAUUUUAAUAGAAAUUUUAAUUUAAUUAAUUUUUUUAUCCUUAAAAGUAUAUAGUUUAAAGUUUAAAUUUCAAAAAUAAAAUAAAAUAUAAUAUUUAUCAUAGGAAUAAAUAUUAUUUAAUUAAAAUAUAUUUUUUAAAAUUCAUAUUUUUAGCGGCGUUUGUGAAAAAGCGCCGCUAAAAUUCAUUCUUUAUAGCGAUGUUUGUGGUAGAAGCGCAGUUAAAGGUCAUGGUCUUUAGCGGCAUUUUUGGUAGAAGCAUCGCUAAAGGUCAUGAUCUUUAGCGGCGUUUGUGGUAGAAGCGUUACUAAACGUCAUAAUCUUUAGCGGCGUUUGUGAUAGAAGUGCCACUAAAGGCCAUGAUCAUUAGCGGCGUUUUUUCACAUAAACGUCGCUAAAGUUAGCGACGUUGUCUACAGCGACACUUUUUGCGGUGCUUAUUAAAGCGCCGCUAAAAGUUUAUUUUGCUGUAGUGAUUUUAGGAUGUCUAAAAUGGUAUUCCCAAGUUUGUUGAGAGUUUUGGAGACAAUAUACAACUUGCAAACUUCAAGAAACAUAUCUUCUAGUGAAAUGUUGGGAAUUUUUUUAUACAUCUUGGGCACCGGUGCAAAAGGUUCCCAAUGUCGAGAAAGAUUUCAAAGGUUUGGAUCAACAAUAAGUUGACACUUUGCAAUUGUGCUUGAGGAAGUUUCAAGGAUGGCCACUGAUCUAAUUGCCCCCGAAGAUCUUUUUUUUAGCUCAAUACCCGAAUAAAUACGUAAUGAUUCUAGAUAUAUGCUCCAUUUUAAGGUCAAAAUAUUAUUUUAUAUUAUUAUAUUUUAAUAUAUUUGGUCGACUAAAAAUAUGCACGAGAGUAAUAUGAUUAUUUGUUCAGGACUGCAUAGGUGCAAUUGAUGGUACUCACAUUGCCACUAUUCUUCCAGCAAAUGAACAAAUUCCCUAUAUUGGAAGAAAAUGUAUCCCGACUCAAAAUUUUAUGGCAGUAUGUGAUUUUAAUAUGUGUUUCAUCUUUGUCAUGGUUGGAUGGAAAGAAUCGACACAUGACACUAGAAUAUUUCUUGAUGCAAUUUGAGAUCCAAAAUACAAAUUUUCGCACCCACCAAAUGGUUAGAUAUUUUAUUUAUAUGUGCUUUUUUAAAUAAUAAAGUAUAAGUUCUUUAAUUGAUAAUUUUUAUAAAAAAAAUUCUUGAAUUAAUUGUUUGUUAUAUUAUGACUUGUAGGAAAAUAUUAUCUUGUUGAUUCUGGAUAUCCUCAAAUGAAAAGUUAUCUUGGACCAUAUAGAGGUCAGCGAUAUCAUUUACCUGACUUUCGUAGAGGUAGACCAGUAUCUGGUAAAGAAGAGAUAUUCAAUCAUUCACAUUCAUCAUUACGUAGUGUGAUUGAACGAACUUUUGGUGUUUUGAAAAAAAUGGGUUAUUUUAAGGGAUAUGCCAAGUUAUAGUUUUGAAAAGCAAACGAUGAUCGUUGUUGCUACAAUGACGAUACACAAUUUUAUCCGAAAACAUGUCGGUCGAACUGAUGCAGAUUUUAUGAAAUACGAAGAUAUUAACUGGGCAUAUGAGAAUAUUAUUGAUUCAGAAAAUGCACAUGGUCGAGAAAGUGAUGAUGAUGACGACAACAAUGAUGAUGGUGAUGACAGUGAAUCAAACAAUUCAAGUGGUUUUGAAAUGGAAUUAACAAGAGAUGCUAUAACUUCUAGUUUAAUGAAUUCACUUUAAAUUGUAAAUGCUAUUGUAAAAUUUUUAGUAUUUAUAUUUGGUAUAUAAAUAUUAUCCCUUUUUAAAACUUUAAUCCAAAUAUAUGUGAUAUUUUAAUUUUUUAGGUUUAUGUUUUCUAUGUUAUGUUAAUAUCUAAUAUGAGUUAUAUAUUCAAAUACAUUUUAAAAUAAAAUAAUACAAAUGUGUCAAUAUCUAAUUACAAAUAUUUAAUUAUUAUAUUUAAAUAUUUAAAUAUAGUUUGUAUAUUCUAAUUAUAUUUAAUAAAUAAUUAAUAUUAAUUACUUAGAAAUAUUUAAAAUUAAUAUUAUAUACUAAAAUAUUAACAAUAAAUUAUAAUAAAUUAUUUUUUAUAUCUUUGCUAAAAUAUCAUAAUAUUAACUAAUUUGAACAUUAUUUAAAUACAUAUUUGUUACUUUAUAAUAUCAUUUCUAAAAUGGACAUUUUAUUCUUCAAAAGCACUUUUUGACAGCAAUAUCAAACACUCAAAAUUUUCAAAAGUACUUCUCAAAAGUACUUUUCCACAGCACUUUUCCAAAGCAAUGAAGAACUGGCCCAAAAGCACACUAGCUUUCGCCGUCUCAUCCGCAAAAAAACCUAAAAUGAUACACCAGAAACUCCCUCAAGACAGACAGAGCCAAGUCACUUUCUCGCUAAUCCCCAUCGAACCCUCCAAUUAAGCAAAGCCAUUUCAUAUUUCAACCCAGUGGGCACCACAAUUGCCUUACAAAAUUUACAAACUAAAAUGCUAAAAGUAAUCCAGAAAAAUACACAGCCCAAGCUCCAAAAUGCAAGAAAGUCCAUUUAAAAUAUGAGCCAAAUUUAGAUUUCAGUUUAAAAACUUGAAUCUAAUUCGUUUUUAAUUUUGUAAUAUAGUAUAUUCACUACAAGAAAAAUAUGAAUUGUCAACAUUAAAAUUUAUUGCUAAAUGUUGUAUUACCAUUACUAAGAGUUUAUUGCAACAACAAAAAAAUCGUUGCGAGGUCGUUGUGUAUACCUCUAUUGUACAAAAUAUGCACAACGAUUUUACAAAUUGAAAAGUCGUUUUAAUUAUAUAUAUUGCAACAACUUUUUUCAUUUUAAAAUAUAUAUUUUUUGUAACGACUUAAUUUAUUUGUAUAAAAAUGUUUUAGUUAUAGUAAAAUCUGUUAUAAUAUUUUUAACACAACCAUAAUACUUUAGUUACAAAAACUAUUACCUAACAAUAAUAUAUUGGUUGUAAUAUAAAAUUUGCAACAACUGUAAAUUAAAAUGCUAAGUUUUGUACGUAACAAUAAUAAUAUUGAUAUGUAAUUGUAUUACAUUACUCAAUGAUUAUAUGUCAUUGCCAAAAAAAUAUUUUAAUAACCAUAAAAUGUGGUUGCCAAAUCAUUUACUUAAGAACAAUACUACUGAUUACUAAAUAUUAUUCUGCAACUAUUUUAAUUUAUUGUGUACUACAUUGCUGUAACACCCCUAAUGUAACACCUCUUACCCGAGACCGUUUUUGGAGUCGAGCACGAGGCAUUACUUAGCUUAUCUUACUAAUUCGGAGCAUAAAAACUUGGUUUGAAAAUUUAUUUCACUAUUUACAGCAAAUCUGUCCACCCAUGCAGUAGUCACUUAUUUAAUUAUAACUCGAGUUACGAAACUCAAAAUUUAGAUCCGUAAAUUUUCCCUGAAAUUAGACUCAUAUAUCUUUUCACCAUAAAAUUUUUCAGAAUUUUUGGUUUAGCCAAUUAGUACAGUUUAUUAGUUAAAGUCUCCCCUAUUUCAGUGACCGACCAUCCUGACCUCUUGUCACUAAAAUUCAAUUAUCUCUUUGUACAGACUUCAUAUGGUGCUUCCACUUAUUUCUCCUGAAAAUAGACUCAUAAAGGAAUAUAUACAUAUAAAUUAUAACUCAUAAUUCCUUCUGUGAAAUUUUUAAUGAAUUUCUAAAGUCAGAACAGGGGACCUCAAAAUCAUUCUGACCCUGUCUCACUAAAAUUCAAAUAUCUAAAAAUAUACAACUCUUUUUCUUACUCUAUUUCUUUCAUGUGAAAUUAGACUCAUUCAGCUUUAAUUUAGUAUCUCACUCAGAUUCUAAUUCAAUUUCCACCAUUUUUGAUGAUUUUUCAAAGUUACCUCAAUGCAUAUAUCCGAAAACUGUUCCAUUGCAAAUUUUAAAAAAAUUCAAUAUAACCCCUUUGUAAUUAUCUAACCUUCCCUGCAAAUUUAAAUCACAACCAAUUCCAGUAUUUCAACUACUUCAUUUAAAUACUAAUGAAGUUCAACCAAUCAACCAUUUCAAACAAAAAAAAAACAUGUAUAUAUUUCGAUAUCUAACACAACCAUAACAUUCAAAUUUAUUUUGCAUACUUAGUCAUUCAUACUAAUACUUUUUACUUCAAUUCCCUAUACAUGCCAUAUAAAUCCAAAAAGUUGUUUAACAAAAUCUACCGGAGUAAAUCUGGAUAGUGUGAUCGUUGUUGUAGAUCCGAUCCUCCGAAAUAUAUAUAUACGUCAAUCUACAAGAAACAGUAAACACACACCAGUAAGCUUACAGAAAGCUUAGUAAGUUCACAGGCUCAUAAUAAUAUAUUACCAAAAUUUCACUAACAACAUUAACAAACAAAUAAAAAUUCAGCAUUUCCUGCCAACCCCAAUCUCAAAUAAUAAAUAUAUAUAAUCGUGCUCAAUUUCAGAUGUCAACUUCUAUUCCAACAUUUAGUUUCAAUUGCACUUACAAAUACCUGUCAAAUUAAGGAUCGUCUUACGGAAUUGAGUACAUCGUUUGCCCGUGCCACGAUUUGCUUGAACAUUUCACAUUGCUAUAAUUCAGUAUGGUUUUCUUCCUUGAAAUACCAUACCUACUUUUCACAACUUAGUAUGGUUUUCUUCAUUGAAACACCAUACCUACUUUUCACAACUCAGUAUGGUUUUCUUCACCGAAACACCAUACCUACUUUUCACAAUUUUCCAUGGAUCCACCAUGGACUUAUCCGUCAAUUCGUCGUUGGUUGCCAAACAUGUGUACUCAAUCCUGCGUAUCCCUUAAUUUGAACUAACAAUCUCAUCUUCUUCUCAUUUUUACCAUAAUCAUAAUUCAGUAACAAUAUACGAAUUUAUACAAUAUAUCAUUUCCACAUUAACAAUUAAUCAUAAAAAUUCAGCCAUAUGAACUUACCUGGGCCGAUUUGUAGAAGUUUUAAAAGUUCAGAAACUAGUUUGAUACUUUCUCUUUUCCGCGUUUAUCUUCGGAUUCCCGAUCUAUAAUAUAAAUUUUUCCAUUCAUUAGCAUCUAAUUCAAUACUAAUUUACUUCACAAUUUAUGCCUUUCAAUUUUCAAAAUUACACUUUUACCUCCAAAAUUUACAAUUUUUACAAUUUGGUCCCUACUCAAUUAACCCUUCAAUUGAUCAAAAUUUUCCCAAUUAACACUUUAUCCAACCAUUUUAGACUACUGAACAGCCUUUGAUAUUCAUAAUUUCAGUACAAAACCCCAAUUCCUAACUUUUUCACAAUUAGGCCCUAAAAAUCAUUUUCUACUAAAAUCAUUUUAAUAAGAUCAUAAUAUAAUGAAAUUAAGACUUAAAAUCUAUAAUAAUUCAUCAUAAAAUUCCAGAACUUAUUCAUGGUAACUUACAAAAUCACUCAUAAAUUCAAAAACUAACAAAUUCAAUAGUUGGACCUAGUUGUAAAAGUCACAAAACAUGAAAAUUUCAAAGAAAAAAGCAAGAAUUGAACUUACAUGAUGAAAAAUAUGAAAAACCAGCUUGAAAACUCUCUCCUAUUACGUUUUGGCUGAAGAAAAAUGAUGAUAUCUCUAGAUUUUUCACUUUUAUCUUUGUUUUAUAUAUUUAAUUUGUAAAAUUUCCAAUUUUGCCCUUAUUUCUCCUUACUUUCCUGCUGAUUUUUCUUGCCCAACCGUCCAGCCCAUAAAAUUUUGGGCCUAAUUGCCUUUUAAAUCCCUCCUCAUUAGUCACUUAAGCUAUUUAAUCAUAAUUUAACAAAUUUUACACUAGUCUCAAUUUAGUCCUUUUUAGUUAAUUGACUAACCAAACGUUAAAAUUUUCUAACGAAACUUUUAUACUAACUCAAUGACAUUCCAUAAAUAUUUAUAAAAAUAUUUAUGGCUCGGUUUAUGAACUCGAUGUCUCGACACCGCAUUUUAGACCCACUUUACCUAUUAAAUUCUUUUUAAAUCACAAAAUUCACUAAUUCAAAAUUCUUCUAAAUUCACACUUGACCCAUAAUUAUUAAUUUAUUAAAUUUUAAGACUCACUUGUCAGAUUUAGUGAUCUCGAAUCACUGUUUCUGACACCACUGAAAAUUAGGCUGUUACAACUAACCCGAAUCCGUCGUCAGAACAAAGUUAUGGAGCAUCACCGAAAUUUACAAAUUAAUUUUCAGACAUCUAUUUCAUCUAGCAUUCAUAUUUGAAACCAACCAAAAUCAAAAUAUUAAUGAGCCAACGUUGGCUAAAUUAACUUAUACAUGCCAUUAUAACUAGAACCAAAUCAUCCAAAAUUACCGAUAAAACCAAUGGAUAGUGUGAUAUAUCUCCGACAAGUUUCCAACCCAAUCGAGCUUCCGAUUAUCUGUAGGGUAAAUAAAAAAAAUAAAUGCGUAAGCAAUGAAUGCUUAGUAAGCUCGUGUAGUCUUUAAUCAUAUUAGUUCCUUUAAAAUAUGAAAUUUAUGCAUAUCAUGGAUAACCCAAAGUUGAUACCACAAUACCCAUGAAGCUAUAUUCAUCAACUUACAAGGUAAAUAAAUCCACAAUAUCACUUAAACACAUUAUCCCAAGCUUAGUAGGAUUUUAUAUAACUUUAUCUCUUCAUAAUUUCUUUAUUUUCAUUUUCAUUUCUUUACUUUCCACGCUUAUUCUAUAUGCGUGACACACAAGUCAUAAACAUUUCAUUCAACCAUAGUCACAAGCUAAUGCAUUUCCAAAGUCUUUUUCAAAUUGAUUACAUGAUAAGUUAUUUCAUAAGAAAUUGUAUAAUCUAAACCUUACCACUUUUUAGUGAGCGCUAGCAUAUUUUCACUUAAAUACUUUCCAAUUCAAUGCAUUAUAUAAAUAAUCAUAAUAUCAUUCAACCAAUAGCUUGGCACUUGCCUAAGCAUCAAGCAAGAAUACUAGUUAGUGUACUUGCACACAUUACAUAUAAACUCAUCAUGCAUAAUUUUCUUGUAUCAACAUAUUAAAGAUAAUCAUACAUUUACAUGUCAUGAUACAUAUCAUUCUCUUGUCGUUUCUUCAUAGACAUAUAUCAUUCAUUUCAUUAUUUCGAUAUUUCAUGUACCAUCAUUUUCAUGAAUUUCGUACAUACCAGUAAUAGUUCAUUUCAAAUUCAUGUUAUCUCACUUUAAAAUUUUACCCGUUAUAUCAUUUAAAUAUCAAUGGUUAUAUUUAUUUUAGAUCAAUACCAAUAAUAAUCUAUAAAUCUUUCAAUUCAAUCACAUAAGUCUUUUACCAUUUCUUUCUGAAUCGAAGAACGACUUACGGAUAUUAGUACAUCAUUCUUUGGUGCCAUAUUCCAACUAUGGUCUUGCACAUAUAAACACUGCCAUAGUCCAACCAUGGUCUUACAUUUAUAGUGCCAUAACCCAGUUGUGGUUUUAUCCAUCAAUUCAUCCUUUGUCACAGUACGAUUGUACUCAAUCCCGCGUUCAAUCCAAAUUGAGUAUUGAAUUCGAUAUUAUAUUUCCAAUAAUAAUUCAAUUUCAUAUUUUCUAUUACCCUUAUUAUUUCCCCAUAUUUAUCCCGUUGAAUUUCUUGGAAAUUCGAUGGAUUUUCAGAUGUACACUUUUAGUGUACAAUUCCGGGUCCGUCAAUUCAUAUUCAUGUGGGCACAUUUCCAUUUCAGAGAGCACACUCCUGCGAACCUCAUCCUUACAGCGGGAUUGCCAGUCCAGGCUAAAUCCCCUAUAAUAUAAACUCAUAGAGUAUUGUCGGGAUUACCAGUCCAGGCUAAAUCCCCUGCAACGACAAUUAUUGUAAUGAUUUUGGAUCUGAAUUAUCAGUCCAAGCUAAAUUCAGACCCUAAUUCAGAUUACCCGUCCGGGUUAAAUCCAUUUUCCACAUAUUCUUCGGGAUGGCUAUAUCAGGAUAGGAUCACCCGUCCGGGCUAGAUCCUUUUUACCGUCAAUUCCUUUUCAGAGAUCUAUCGAAUUUUCCUUCCAUUCAACCGGGAUUUCUUCCCCUUUUUAUAAAAUAUAUCAAUGUUUCAUCAAUUUUCAUACAAUGAACAUUCAAAUCAUAUUACAUUAAUAACAAACAUUUCAAGAAUUUAAGAAUAUAAUUCAAGUUACACGAACUUACCUCAUUACUUGUUCGUGUUUACAAUUUCACUAAUUUGAUGUCUUUUCUUUUCCACGUUCAAGUUCCAUAUUUGAGUCAUUCGGAUCUUUCUAAACAAAUUUGAUCAUCAUUUUCAUUCAUUUCAUAUUCUGAUAUAUUCAAUUAAUACUCUAGGCAAGAUUACCAUAUUGCCCCUAAGCUUUUAAUUAAUGACGAUUUUAAUCCUUGGGCUCAGAAAAAUAAAUUAUUGUAAUUUUAAUCCUUGUUUUAAGCCUAAUUAUUCCCAUACAUAUUGAUAACAGCCCAUGAAUUCUAUAAAAUAUUAGAAUUUUUCAUAAUUUCAACACUUUUCAAUUUAAUCCCUAAAACAUGUUUUCACCCGAUCUUGUUCUAAAUUUCAUUCAAUUUUGUAAUUUAAAUAAAUAAACAGUCCAUUUCAUGCAAUUUGGUCAUUUUUGACAUUUUUUACAAAUUGCCCAUAAAGUUUUACUUUUAUUCAAUUUAGUCCCUGAGUCUAAAACAUGCAAAUUAUCCAUGCUAACUGAAUAUUCACAUAUAUAUCUUCCUCAUCCUUCUCUUCAUUCCACUUCCUUAAUUUAUAUAAAAUGCUUAUAAGUAACAUUAUCUAUGAUUUCACAAUUUACUUGUAAAUUUAUUCAAAGCUAUCCAUUUGAGUCAUAAUCACUAAAUUAUUUUUAUCUUGAGCUACGGAACUUCAAAUUAGGAUCUGCUAAUUUUUCCUGAAACUAGACUCACAUAUCUUCUUACCAUAAAAUUUUUAGAAUUUUUGGUUCAGCCAAUAAGUACAACUUAUUCUUUAAAUUCACCUCUCUUCUGCUAUCUGACAAUUCCGACCCUUCUUCACUUAAAAUUAAUUAUCUCUUUGUAUAGAAUUUGGAUUAUGUCCCCAUUUUUUUCUCUUGAAAAUAGACUCAUUAAGGAUUUUAAACAUAUAAAUUCUAACCCAUAAUUAUUUUUUUACUUUUUAAUGAUUUUUCCAAGUCAGAACAGGGGAACCCAAAUUCAUUCUGACCUUGUCUCACAAAAUUUAUUAUAUCUCAUAAUUUACGAUUCUAUUGCUUACACCGUUUCUUUUAUGAGAAAAUAGAAUCAAUAAGCUUUAAUUCCAUAUUUUAUUCAUACUCUAAUUCGAUUUUCAUAAUUUAUGGUGAUUUUUCAAAGUGAGCCUACUGUUGCUGUCCAAAACUGUUUUAGUACAAUAUGUUUAUUACCAUGUUUAUAACACCCUUAUUUUCUUUCUUUACACUGUGUCUAAUCACUUUCUCUUAUUUUCUCUUCACUAACAUAUCAAGAACAUAGGACCAUAUAUACAAAAACUUUACAUUAACAUCAUUUCCAUACUUUUUCAAUAAUAUUAAACUUAAAAAUAUAUUAAAAUCUUAAUGUACUUACCUUGUCAUAUUGAUUUCAAUCUUUAACUUGAUUUUCUCUCUCCUCCAGCAUCUAUUUCUUGAAUCUAACUUGAUAUUCUAGCUCCCCAUAGUCUCCUUGUUAUCUUUCUCUUUGAUGGAUAUGGAAAUUCUUUUGAUUUCUAGGUGAAAAUGGUGAAUUUUUGGUGGAAGGACUAAAUUGUAAAGAAAGUAAAACUUUCUUUCUUUCUCUCUUUUCCUCACGUUAGUGCAUGAAAAAAAAUGGGUGGGUUGCAUGAUUCUUCAUCUUCCUUUUCUUAUAUAUAUACUAAAUAAAAUAAUAAUAAAAUAUUAAAAUAUCAUUUAAAAAUCAAAUUAAAAUACUAAUAAACUAAUAUUUAUUUAUUUAAUCAAAAAUAUCUCCAACAUCAUCAUCAUCUUCUAUAUUUCCCUCUCUUCUAAUUGAUCAUUUUGCCCUUUAUGAUCUUUUAAAAUUUUAUCCUUGAGUCAUCACUUAAUUUGGUAAAAUUACUAUUUAGUCCCUCAAAAUUCUUCACCUUUUUCAAUUUGGUUCUAAUCCAUCCAUUUUCCUUAGUUUCUAGAUCAUUCCACCCUUAAAAUAUUUACACCAUUGGUCCUUCAAAUUUUUAUAUUUACACUUUAAGCCCUCAAUUUUUGAGUAUUUACUCUUGGGCAACAAAAUGUUUUUCACUUUUACGAUUUAAUCCUUUCUUGAACUAAUAUGUCAUAAUAUACUUCUCAAUGUUGACAUAACUCAAAAAUUUCCCCUUUUUGUCGCUUUAUUUCCUUACUUUAUUAUAUCAAAGAUAAUAUCUUACUGUAAAAAAAUUUUAGGGUAUUACAAUUGCGCAACAACAAUAUUAUUUUUAAUCAAAUGGCUAUAUAUAAUUUAAUAAAAUUUUAAAAAAUUUCUUAAUAAAAUUUUAAAAAAAAUUUCUUCAUCCUCUAACUUAAUAAAAUUUUUAAAAAAAAUUCAUGUUAGAUUGAAUUGACAUUGAGGUUAUAUAUAGUCACUGGUCAUGUCAAAGAGAAUAGCUCUACCAAAAUAAAAAAUUUAUUUUUAUUAAAAAUUUUAAAAAAAAUUAAUUGCAGCAUAGUAACCGUCAUUCUCUAUGACUCUAUCAAAUAAAAUAAUAAUUUUAAUUUCAAAUUAAAAAUAAAAAUCACUUUAAAAAUUUGACAUAAUAAAAGUGGUGUGACCAAUUUAUUUGGCUCCCGAAAUAUUAUUAUUUAUUUUCUAGUUCCCAAAAUAUUUAAAAAUAUUGGUGUUAGAGUGGUAUUUAUACGGGUGAAGCCAAAUAAAUUAACUUUACCUACAAAAAUUAAUUUUUGUUAUAAAAUAAAGAGAGAUGGAGAGAAUGAAGAACAAAUAAAAUAUGAAAGCAAUAGAGAAUGUACUUUAUUGAUCAAAGGGAUGAUUACAAUGCUUCAUCGGAGUCUCUAUUUAUAGGCAUAAGAAGUAUAAAAGAAGUAGAGGUCUAAUUCUAAUAACUAAUAGAAUUUAAAGUAUAUCAAAGCUUUAUCUUGAUCAUGAUGGACAUCCACUAAAUAAGAUAUUUAUAACACUUCCCCUUGGAUGUCCAUUGGUGGAUAAUGUGCCACGUUAAAACCUUAUUAGGAAAAAUCCUGUGGGAUAAAAACCUAAUGAAGGAAAAAGAGUACACAAUCUUCUAUUACAAGUUGUCUCAUUAAAAAUAUUUACCAGGAAAACCCAAUGGGACAAUACCUUGGUUAAAGGAAAAGAGUACAACUUAUUUUAGACUCCCCCUAAUAGCAACAUUACAUUACAUCUUUAAGUUGACGCAUUCCAAUCUUGUGUAGUAGUCUUUCAAAUGUUGAAGUUGGCAAUGCCUUAGUAAAAAUAUAUGUUAAAUUAUCACUAGAAUGAAUUUGUUGAACAUUUAUAUCACCUCUUUUCUCAAGAUCAUGGGUGAAGAAUAAUUUUGGCGAAAUAUGUUUCGUUCUAUCACCUUUGAUGUAACCACUCUUCAAUUGAGCUAUACAUGUUGCAUUAUCUUCAUAUAAGAUAGUUGGCAUCUUUUCCUAUAAAGGCAAAUUACAUAUCUUCUAGAUAUGUUGGGUCAAUAACCUUAGUCAAAUACACUCUCGACUUGCCUCAUUCAUUGCAAUUAUUUCUACAUGAUUUGAAUAAGCAACAGCUAAUGUUUGCUUUGUCGAACAUCAUGAUAUGGUAGUACCCCCCUCACAUGUAAAUAAAUAUCAUGUUUGAGAUCGACCUUUAUGUGGAUCUGGUAAGUAUCCAGCAUCAGCAUAGCCAACUAAUAAGGAUUUUGAAUCAUCUGAAUAAAAUAAACCCGUACCAAUGGUCCCUCUGAAAUAUCUAAAUACAUGUUUAAUUCCAUUCCAAUGCCUACAUGUUGGAGAAGAACUAAAUCUUACUAACAAGUUUACAGUGAAAGCUAUAUCAGGUCUUAUGUUGUUUGUAAGAUACAUCAAUGCCCUUAUGGCACUUAGAUAUGGUACUUUAGGACCAAGAAACUCUUCAUCAUUCUCGCAAGGAAGAAAUUGAUCUUUAUUCACAUCUAACGAUCGUACAACCAUCGGAGUAGUUAAUGGGUGUGUUUUAUCCAUGUAAAAUUUCUUUAAUAUCUUUUUCAUAUAAGUUGAUUAAUAAACAUGAAUUUUAUCUUUUAAAUGCUUGAUUUGUAAUCCAAGAUAAAACUUUGUUUUUCCAAGAUUUUUCAUCUCAAAUUCUUUCUUUAAACAAUUUAUUGUAUUUUGAAGCUCUUUAGGAGUUUCCAAUAAUAUUUAGAUAAUCAACAUAAACAACAAUUAUUACAAAAUAUGAUCCAAACCUUUUUAUAAAGACACAUGGACAAAUUGGAUCGUUUUUGUAACCUUCCUUUAACAAAUGUUCACUAAUACGAUUGUACCACAUGUCGAAACCAUUUUUUAAGUUUGAAAAAACAGGGAUCGACUUUUAAAAUAAAAACGGGAGUCGCCACCGAUCUUUUAUUAAGGUGUGACCGGUUCACCAUUAAAAUGAUUUUUGGUCUGCGAAUUUUGAGAAAAAUAGGUUCGGGAGUCGGUUACGCACGAGGAAGGGUUAGCACCCUCGUAACGCCCAAAAUUGGUACCGAAUCGAUUGUUUAAUGUCUUAAUGUCGAGAAUUUGAAAAGAUUUUUAAAAUACGAUCAUUUGAAAAGAGAAUUUGAAUAGAAUGAAUUUGAUUGAUGUGACUCACUUAUAAAUUGUCACACUCAGUAAGUUAGAGUGUAACGUUUUAAAUCCUUAAAAUUAAGUUUAUCUUUUAACUUUUGAAACCUAUGCAUUUUAAGAAAGAUAUCCGAUUAUUUGGGUCAAAUGAUAAAAUCAAAACCCAGUAAGUUAGGGCUCGAUUUCACAAAAUUCCUAAAUAUCGAAUAUUGCCUUUAUUUUAAAGUCGAGAUAGCAAAAUGCCAUAUCCAGUAAGUUUGGAUCCAACAUUUUGAAGUCUCAAAAGUUUUAUUUUAAAAUUGUAUGGUUUUACCAAAAUAAACACUUGGCUAUUCAAAUUCAUCGAGAAGAAUGGAAGCCCAGUAAGUUAGGGCACCAUUCUCUCGAGAGUUAUGGACACCAGGCCUUUUUUGAAAAUUAUGAAAUAGAACGAUUGUUGUGCUUAAAAAAAACAAACAAUUUUUAUAAAUGUAGCAUGAUUGAAUGGUAAUAUACAAUGUUCAAGAUAAAUGGCAAUCCAAACACACACUAAAAAAAACAAGUAAAUAAUAGGUAAAUGCAAAUAUCAAUAAUAAUUCUAAUCAUAUCUUACAAACAUCAAUAUUAGCAAUUUAACAUCCAAUAAAUUAAUAAUCAAUUUUCUAAAAGGUACAUCAAGACAAUGAGAGAAAAAAUAAUUAAUAUCCUAUACAUAAAAGUUCUAAAAUAAAUUAAAUAUAUGAAUUCAAAAUAGACUCAAAAUAGAAUUAGAAUAACCAUUGAAUAGUCGAAUUUGAAAUAAAUUUGAAGCAAAUAAAAUACAUAUAUUAGCUUAAUAUAUAUAAAAGAUAAACAUAAUAAUAAUAAUAAUAAUAAUAAUAAUAAUAAUAAUAAUAAUACAUAUACUCGAUUAAAAAACAUACAUAAAAUAUUGAAAGUAAAACGAAAUUUAAUGGGUAGCAAACAUAAAUAAAAAUAAAAGAAAGAUUAAAUUUGAACUUCAAAAAAAAGAGGGACUAAAACAGCAAAUAGACGCAUAAUUCUAAUGAUUUUAAUCUGCUUGAUGAAAACGACGACGUUUGAAUAUGGAUUUAAAUGAAAUCAAAAUCAAAUCCACAGUUCAAAUUUAAAAAGUGAAUAAAAUCCAAUUGAAAUUAUACUGAACACGGAGAGACUCAUUGCGCAAAUAGACCAACGAGCGAAAAUGCGCGGAUCCUCCCCAGGUCGGGUCACACACGCGGGUCAUAUGGCCAAUACGGCGCCGUUUUAAGGCCACUGACGCAGGCCUUAAACGGUGUCGUUUUCCGCACCAUAAAUAUAAACUUAAAAACCCUAAAAAUAGCAGCCAUCCUUUGUCCUGGAAGAAAACCUAGAGCAAAGCUACUCCCCCCUGCACCACUUCAGCAUCGGAGCCCAAAGUCGACUGGUUCCGAACCAACGAGGGAUUCGACGGUAGACUUAUAGGUACGAGCCCUGACUCCCCCCUUCCUUCUCUCCUUUUUUUUAUGCUUAUAUAUAUGUAUUAAUAACAAAACAAAAAGAAAGAAAAGCGAUCGGAAAAAGAAAAGAAUCGAUCAGAGAAAAAAGAACCUUUUUUUUAUUGAUUUCCUUUUUGAUACAGUUUUUCGUGUGUUUUUUGUGUGCGAGAGUAACCCCCUUUUUAUAAUGCCUAUUUUGCUUUUUUUUUUUUAGCCAGAAAACAUGAAAAGAAAAGAAAAAAUGUUUUUCCUUCUUUGUUGUUGCUGCUGUUUUCUGUUUGUCUUCUCUUGCAGGUACGGGUGUGCGUGGCGUGGCUUGACAUGUACGGAGGCAAAGGUUGGCGAGGAGCGGCUCGGUUGGGUCUGUUGUGCGAGGGAGUUGCGGCGCCUGGUCUGUUCCAGAAACCCUAGGGUUUUUGGAAGCUGUUUAGGGCUAUUAGUGUUUGGGCUUAUUGGGCCUGGUGUAAUUGGGGUUAAACUUUAGUGGGCCUUAGUGGGUUAAUAACUUGUAUUGGACUGUUUUUAUUGGACUUUUGAUUUAUUUGGCUUUUUAUUUUUUUAUUUACUUGUUUUUUUAUAUGCAUGUGGGCGGGCACAAAUUGGGUUUUACACCACAUACAUUCAGAUUAUUUUUAUCCAUAUAAACUUUUCUUUAAUUUGAUUGAGUAAUUUUCUCAAGAAACUCUAUAUCAUUUUGGGAUUUUAAAUCUUUCAAGGAUUUUCAUAUAAAUUUCACUAUCAAGUGCACCAUAUAAAUAAGAUGUAACAACAUCCAUUAAAUGCAUGUCAAGUUUUUCUCGUACUGCCAAACUAAUAAGAUGUCUCUUCAUAAUCAAUGUUGGGCCUUUGCGAAAAUCCUUUUGCUACAAGACGAGCUUUAUAUCUUAUGACUUCAUCAAUUUCAUUUCAUUUUCGCACAAAUACUCAUUUAUAUCCUACCGACUUUACACCUUUAGGUGUUUUGGACUACAGGUCCAAAAACUUCACGUUUAGAAAGUGAAUCCAAUUAUACUUGAAUUGCAUCUUUCCAUUUUGACCAAUCUUUUCUAUUUUUACAUUCCUUAAUAGAUUUAGGCUCAGGAUCCUCAUUUUCUAAUGUUAUUUCAAUAGCAACAUUAUAAGCAAAAUUGUUGUCGACAACUACAUUAUUUUUGGUUCCAUCUUUUUAUCGUAUUGACAUAACUUAUCGAUAUCUCUUUAUUUUCAUCAUUUCUAUUUUCAUUUUAAGGUACCUGAAUCUCUUCUUGAGUUUUAUAAUUAGUUAUAUCAUAGGUCUCUUCAGGAACUCCUGCCUCCACUAUGUGACCGCCUUGAAUGUUUACUCCUUUUCUUUUAUAAGGAUUUUUAUCUUUGGAACCGACCGGUCUUCUAUGCUUCAGGCAUGGAUUACUUUCUUUUGCAUUAACAGUUUGCCCUAUUAGGACAUCAAUUCGUAUUGGAGCAUUUUCAGCUGGUAUUUGAAAUUUAAUGAAUUUGGCAAUUGAUUUGUAAAAUAAAUUAUCUGUUGAACUUCUACUUCACGUUGCUUUGUACGAGGAUCUUAAAUAUUGAUAAUUCAGUUCAAGUACUUUAUUAAUCCAACUUUUAUUCUCUCACUCCAAUGUUGGGAAAACUGACAACUCAUGUCAUAACUAAAUACCGAAUUAAUAGCUCAAAAAUAAUAUAAGGAGACUCAUAUAAAUAUACAUUCCCAAUCUCUUAUUAUGACCCAUCUUUGUGCGUUGUGGUGGAGCAGUUGGAACAUAUAUCGCACAUCUAAAAAAUGUAAGAUGGAAAAUAUUUGGCUCUUAACCAAAAAUCAAUUGUAAUGAAGAGUAUUUAUAAUUUAUUGGCUUGAUGCAUACAACAUGUAAAUCAAUACAAUCUCAUGCUGAAAUAGAAAGUUUUGUUCUCAUAAGUAAUGAUUUAGCUAUUAGUUGGAGGCAUUUGAUAAACAAUUCAGCUAAAUCAUUUUGUGUGUGAUCAUGAGCUACAAGAUGUUUAACUUUUAUCCCAAUUGACAUGCAAUAAUCAUUGAAAACUUGGGAUGUAAACUCACUAACAUUAGCAAGAUAACUUGUUUUAAUUGCAUAAUCUGAAAUUAAUCAUUUAAACAAGCAGUCUCGCAAACAAAAGGUUGCGAGUUGAUAACGCAUGUGAUUAUUUUGUAGAUGCAUCUACCAAAAUCAUAUAAUAUCAAAAUCAUCCACAUGGUGGAUGAAUGGGCCCAUAUUCAUUUCAGAAAUGCAAGACAUUAAAUCUCAACUUUAGCUAGUGAGUUUCUAAGAUUCAACUUUCAUUGAGAACAAGCAACAAAUGAGAAUUCUUUAAAUUAAAUAAUCUUUUGGAUCUUUAAUGAAUGUCCAUAUGAAUUCUCAAUUAAUUUUUGAAUCAUAUAUGAUCCAGGAUGGUCUAACUGGUUACGCCAAGUAGUAAAUGCAUUUGUAUUAGUAAACUUCUUGUUUACUUUAACAUGUGUUUCAAUUGUACUAAAUUGUAAUAAAUUGAUAAUUUUAUUGUCAUUCUUUUAUUUUGUAUCCACAUAUAAAUACUAUAGUGACAUUUACUAUUGGAAAUGUCUAAAUCUAUGUGAAGUCUAUAAUGCCACUAAGUCAAUAAAUAAAUAUAAUUUUCAAAUAAUUAUAUAUAAUAUUCGUUUUAGGGAAUAUGUCAAAAUAUUCAAAUAUAAGGCAUUUGGUCUAGUGGUAUGAUUCUCGCUUAGAGUGCGAGAGGUCCCAAGUUCGAUUCAAAAUAUAAAUAACUCAAUCCUCUUUUGAUUCAUAUCAAAUAUAAUCUUUUCCUCAUUCACAAUCUCAACAUGAGAUCCAUUAUGAAUAUCUUUUAAAACUAAUGCAUUAACUAUCACAAACUUUGUGCUUUUUAGAUAUUGAUAUAUUAUCUCUUCUAGAGCUUUCAAUUAACUUUUUACUAUCAAAUAUUGGAAUAUAUUUGUUUAUUUCAGCACCAAAUAAGAUAAAUAUUUUCUAUCUGUAAUGAUAAAAUUUAUUACUAGAUUCUCAUAUCCUUCCUUAAAGGAUAUUAUCAGAGACAAAAUAUUUGGGCAUGCACCACAUAUGUGACCAGUAAUCUCCAUAUCACAUUGGUAACAUAAGUUAUAUUUACCAUUUGAAAAUUUAUCUUGAGAACUCUCAUUGUUCUCUUAUUUAUUACUAUGUUCCUACUUUUAGUGGUCCAUGAGUAUAUCCUUUAUUUUCUUUAUGUUUACAUUCUCUUCGGGGAAUGCAACAAAUCUAGUAGGAUGGACUUAUAAACAUCCCAAUAGAUUCUUUAUUUCAUAAUCACCAUCGCAAACAUGCGUGAGAUUUAAAUCAAAAUUUAUCUAUUCAUAUUGUCAUGAUUAGUCUCCAAUUAUAAUAAACAUGAUAUAAUACAUAAAACAUAAUAAAAUAUACCUGAAGAUCUUUAACAUCAUCGUCAUCAUAUUGACUAUUAUCACGAGCACUAUUACAAGUAGUAAAACAACUUUGUUUUCGUAAUAACAUUUACAAUCUAAUAGUAAAAAUUAUUUAAUAAAUAAUCAAAAUUUGUGUAUCAAAAUUUUCAUGUACGAUGCUUGAAAAUUAUCUGAUACACAUUGUAUCAAAUUUCAAUACCACAUAUAUGUUAUAAAAUCUUAUCUUGCUCUAAUAAAAUAUUUAUAAGUUCAAUUUAAAAGAUAUCAUACAAUUAUUCAAUAUUAGAAAGCUAAUAAGACUAAAUAGAUCCUAUCAAAUUUCCUUUUAUUCAACAAUGGUAGGUUAUUUAGACUUUCCACCAUAAUUUUAAUAAAAUUUCAAGAAUAAAUAACAAGAAAAAAAAUUUAAAACACAAAAAUAUUAUGCAUAAUAUAAUUUAAUUAAAAAAACUUUAAAAAUAGAAAAAAGAACAUACCAUAUUAAUAGUAAACAUAUCUAAUCAAUAAUUAUGUCUUUUAAAUAAAAAAGCAAAAAUCAAAUACUAUCAGAAUGUGAAAUUUAUGUCAAAUAAAAAUUAAUAGUACUUAUACCUUAAUUGAAAAAGAAAAUAUGGCCGAAAUAUAAAAGUUUCUUACCAAAUCUAUACUUUACCCAUACUUGUACAAUAAAUCAAAGAUCAAAAAUAAGAAUCACAAUCCAUUCUGAGAUUGAAUCUUUCAACAUCCUGAAAAUGAAGUUGUAAGGGAGAGUUUAAGGUGAAAAGGAAUUUGAUUUGUGGGACGACUUCGAAAGAUUUUGAAAAAAAAAGAAAAUCAUCGUGUUGAUAACGUGUUAUAAAAUAAAGAGAGAUGGAGAGAAUAAAAAAUAAAGAAAACAUGAAAACAAUAAAAAAAAUAUACUUUAUUGAUCAAAGAGAUUAUUACAAUGUUUUAUCAGAUUUUAUUUAUAAGCAUAAGAAGAAUAAAAAAGAUAGAGAUCUAAUUCUAAUAACUAUUAAAAUUUAAAAUACAUAAAAAUUUUAUCUUAAGCAUGAUCAACAUCCACUUAACUUAAUAAGAUAUUUAUAAUAAUUUUUAAAUUCUAUAGGCGAAUUAUUAAGUAACGGGACAAGUAGGUGGUGAAAUUAAUAAAAAAAAAAUUCUGAAUUAUUUUUGUAAAAAAGCGGCAAAACCCAGAUUACCACAACAGAUGCAAAAUCUGAUCGGUGAAGUUAAGAAAAUGGAGACCAUGGGAAAUCUUCUAAUCCUUUUUCCAGCUUCUUUAUGCCUCUUCCUUUUCGUUGCUUUGCUCAAUGUUUUCUACAAGUAUUGGUGGAUACCUCAUCGUGUACAGUUCAUCAUGAAUUCACAAGGAAUCAGAGGACCUCCUUAUGAAUUUAUCCAUGGAAACAACAAAGAAGCUGCCCAAAUGCUCAUGGAAGCAUCUACCAAACCUAUGGCCUUGACACAAGAUAUAUUUCCCGAGUCAUGCCUCAUGUUUACUCCUGGAUCAACAAAUACGGUGAGAAUAUGUUUUUUUUUUCUCUUUUUGGGGUUGCAUUUUCUGAUUAACCUCCACUUUUCAAGAAAAGAAAUCAUUUUCUUUCAGGGAGGACUUAUCUUAGCUGGAAUGGAAUUCGAGCUCUACUGCUAAUUACAGACCCAGAUCUGGUGAACGAGGUCCUUAAAAACAGUGAAAAGGCUUUUCCAAAGCCGAAGGCUUCAUAUUUCUUCGACAAGCUACUAGGCGACGGUCUUGGUUCAACCGAAAGUGAGAAAUGGGCAAGGCUAAGGAAACUGGCCCAUUAUGCCUUUCAUGGGGAGAGCUUAAAAGUAAAUCAUCGCCACAUUCUACUCUAAUUAUUGUAGUGGAACAUCUACAAACUUGAUACUUUUUUUCAGAAUAUGAUUCCAGCAGUAGUUGCUAGCGUUGAAACCAUGCUUGAGAAAUGGAAAAGUAAGGAGGGCAAAGAGAUAGAAGUGUUCCAAGAGUUCAGAUUAUUGACUUCAGAAGUGAUAUCCAGAACCGCCUUUGGUAGCAGUUACUUGGAAGGGGAGAAGAUUUUUGACAUGUUGAUGAAGUUGACAGUAAUUGCAGGCAGAAAUAUUUAUAAAGCAGAGAUUCUCAUCAUCAGGUAACUUCAUCAAAUCUUUACUUUGUUAAUCAGCAUACUUCAGCUGCCAAUGGGUUGAUUUAACCUGGUUUUCCUUUUCAGCAAGUUUUGGAAAUCUGCUGAUGAAAUUGAAUCAGAUAAAAUUGCCAAAAUGAUACAUGAUUCUGUGAUGAAGAUUGUUAAAAAAAGGGAAGCCAAAGUAGUGACCGGAGAAGCUGAUAACUUCGGUCGUGAUUUUCUGGGAUUUCUGCUUAUCAUGAGGCGGACGAGAAAAAUAGGCUUUCGAUACAAGAUUUGGUAGAUGAGUGUAAAACUUUCUAUUUUUCUGGGCAAGAAACAGUCAAUUCCUUGCUUGCAUGGGCAACCCUGCUUUUAGCAAUACACACCGAUUGGCAAGAUAAAGCAAGAGCAGAGGUGAUUGAGGUCUUUGAUAAUCAAAACCCAGAUUCUGAAGGGAUGGCCAAAUUAAAGACGGUAAGCAAACUAUACAAAUUCAAUAGCUUGAAAACUAACAGUGAACAUUUAUAUUGCCCUUUGGAUUUCUUUUUCUCCAACAGAUUACCAUGAUUAUCAAUGAAACUUUACGGCUCUAUCCUCCUAUAAGUGGCAUGAUAAGAAAAGUAGGAAGAGAAGUCCGAUUAGGAACACUUGUCCUGCCUACUCAUUCACGGGUCGACAUGCGAAUCAUAGCACUUCACCAUGAUCCUGACUUAUGGGGAGAUGAUGUUGAUCUUUUCAAACCAGAGAGGUUUGCUGAGGGUUAGCCGAAGCUACUAAGUACAAUGCAGCUGCAUUUAUGCCCUUUGGAUUGGGACCUCGAUGUUGCGUAGGCAUGAGCUUUACAAUCAUUCAAGCGAAAAUUGCACUUUCCAUGAUUCUGCAACGCUACACUAUCAACCUCUCCCCUAGCUAUGUUCAUGCACCUUUACAACGUCUUACACUCAGGCCACAACAUGGGAUUCAGUUGUUGUUUCAUUCACUACGUUAUGAUGCUUAAAAUUCUAGGCUGUUGGUCUCCAAUAUAGUAAUAUAUAAUAAAAUGUGGGUAAUACUGUAUUUUGCAACCAUAUGAUGAUAUAUGGUUUUGGGAUUUCAUGUUUUGUUGAUAUUGUUAAAGGUUAAAAAGGUAUUACAGCAAACGUCGCCACCACAGGAGCAGGCCCUACAGUCCUGUACAUAACAUAAUCAACAACAAAAUAGUCCACCAAAGAGAAAUCAAUUCAAACUACCCCAAAAAGCUGGAACGGCAGCGGCAAAUCCAGUCAGCUCCCUGAACAUUAUACAGCAACACAGGAACAAGAACAUCACAACCCAGUCAUAUACAUGCCAUGAAGACAUUGGACUCCACAUUUUGCUAAAGUAUCAGCAAAGCAGUUAGAUUCUCUAUACACAUUCACAAAGGAGACAUUAUGGGAUCUCAUCACACAGCUUGGAAUAUGACCCAUCCAGCAUUUGAGAAACGGUGAAGAUGUCAAGUCCAGGAGCUCCAAACAAUGCCUCAGCCGGUGGACCCUAUAAUUAGGUGUCUUUCUUCCAUUACUACUGCAGUAGUGAAGUUUUUAUUGCACUUGGUUCCCUUCUUCCAGAGUUUCUGCUUGAAGCACUCACUCCUGGAGCCGGCCAUUGCUUGUUUUCAUUUUUAAUUUUUUAAUAUAAUAUAUUACAAAAUAUGAAUGGUCGUUAAAAUUUAUUGCUAAAUGUUGUAUUACCAUUGCUAAAAUUUUAUUUUAACAAAAAAAAUCGUUGUGAGUUCAUCAUGUAUACCUCCUUUGUAUAAAAUAUGCACAGAAAUUGAAAAGUCGUUUUUAAUUAUAUAUAUUGUAACAUCUUUUUUCGUUUUAAAAUAUAUUUUUUUUCUUAGCGAUAUAAUUUGUUUAUCUAAUAGUGUUUUAGUUAUAAUAAAAUUUGUUACAAUAUCUUUAACACAAUGAUAAUAUUUACAAAUACUAUUACGUAACAAUAGUAUAUUGGUUGCAAAAUAAAAUUUGCAAUAAUGUAAAAUUAAAUUGCUAAGCUUUUUACGUAACAAUAAUAAUAUUGAUUACCAAAUAUUAUUUUGUAAGGAUAUUUUAUUUGGUUGUGUAUUACAUUGUGCAAUGAUUAUAUUUCAUUGCCAAAAAAAUAUUUUAGCAACCAUUAAACGUGGUUGUCAAAUCAAUUACGUAACAAUAAUACUAUUGGUUGUUAAAUAUUAUUCUGCAAUGAUGUUUUAAUUGGUUGUGUACUAAUUGUGCAACAACUGUAAAAAUUUAUUUAAACAACCAUAAAAUGUGGUUGCCAAAUAGUUUGCGCAACAACAACAACAAUAAUAUAGUUGCUAAUGCAUUUACAUAACAAUUUUUACUUAGUUAUGAAAUAUUAAUUUACAAUGACAUAAUAUUUGGUCACGUCUUAUAUUACACGAUAUUUAAAUAUUGUGCAAAGUUAAUUUUAACAACCAUAAUAUUUUGUUGCAAUAUUUUUAUAUGUAACCAUAUUAUAAUGUUCGUUGAAAUUUAUUUUGCACCAAAACGUUAUCUAAUUGAUAAUAAAAAGAAGUAAUUACAAAUAUUAAAGAAAUUAGUUAUUUGUUUAAAAACAAUAUUACCAAAAUUUUAAGCUCGUUUGUUAGAGUCCAGCCUAAAAAUGGGCCUAAAUUUUUUUCAAGUCCAACCCAGAUAAAAAUGUCAAACCCGGUCCAACCUCGUCUUCUCGAAUGAGGGUUAGCAAAAUUCGAUUUAAUUCAAAAAAUUUAAUAAAAUAUUCAAAUUUUAAAUUAAAUAGUUCGAGUUAUUAAUGUUAAUCGAUUUAUUUGGAUUAACUCGAAUAAAAAAAAUUAAAAUUUUCAGUUUAACUCGAAUAUGAAUUACAUAAUUCGGGUUAUCUGAAAAUCUGAAUAAAAAAAUAUAAAACUACGUUGUUUUGAUAAAUAUUUAGAUUUUCUAAAGUUGAAGCCAAAACCAUUAAGUUAAAAACAAAACAAUUAUAUUGUUUAUGUAGUUAUAUAAUCUUGUAUUUCGUCUACUAGUUAAAUAAGCGGCCCAUGUAAAUGCAACAUUGAGUAUAAAUAAUAGGAUUUGUUAACUCUAAUUGACUUGACUCAAAAUUUUUUGACUCUAUUCGAUUCGAAAAAUUUUCAAAUUGAGUUCGGUUAAUAGGAUUCGUCAACUCGACUAACUCAAAAUUUUUUUACUCGAUCUAAUAUUCACCCCUAUUUCUAAACUAUAACAGUUAAUGGAAACUUGUUAAGUCAUAAAAAAUUCAAGUAAAUGUUUUAAACUUGAGUUUUAUGAAUACAAAAAAUAAUUUUAAAAGCUAUUUUAAAUUAUAAAAUUUAUUUGGUAUAAAUUAAAAUUAAAUACAAAAUAUAAUUAGAUUGUUUGAUAAAAUAUAAUUUUUUAAGAAUUUAAAGGUGGGGUAUUUGAAGGAUUUAAAAGAGAUAAAAUAAGAAUAAUUGAAACAAAUUCUACAUUAAGUUAUUUAUCUACUUUUCAUUUUCCACAUCUUUUCGUAGAAAAAUCCAAUCAUUUGUCUUUUAUUAUGAAUCAUCAAACUUGCUUAAAAACAUAAAUUAUUAGUUGAUUUAUUUUGUUUUCAAUUCAUUAUCAAACAAGCCCUUAGUUAAUGUUCUCCAAGUUCAAGUGCCAUUUAUGUCAAAAAAAAGUUUAAGUAAUAGUAACAUAAACAUUCAUUUAAUUAUAACAAUAAAGUUAAAGCCAUGAAUAUUUUCAAAAAAAUUCAAUUAAGUCCUUGAAUGUUAAAAUUUCAAUCAAUUAAGCUCUUUGAUAGUUAAAGUUAACAGUUAAUUGUUGUAGUUAAAAUUUCAAUCAAUUAAGGCACGGUGUAGCGUUUGUUUACCUCAUCCUUUAACCAUGUGGUUGAGGGUUCAAUCCCCACGUAUGGGAAUAAAGCACAUUUCAUGCUCAAUUAUUUACCUAUUUGGAGAGCACUCAUAGUGAGGAGAUUAAACCUUGUUAUUGCUGGUGAAUACCCUAAUUAUGACAAAUAAAAAAUAACAACUACCAUUUUUUUUGGAUUAUUUUUGUCAAGUGGUGAAAAUUAUUUUAAUUUUUAUUAAAAAUCAUAUAAAAAGUAUAAAAAUUAUACAAGAAUUAUAAAAAUGCAUAAAUUAGAAAAAAUAUAUAUAAAAAAAUCUAUUGUGAAAACAUAAAAUUAUAGAAAUAUAAUUGCUCCCCCAAAUUCCAUGUUUCCUCUAACUCGUCUAACUGGAUUCUCCCUUAGAAUCAACUUAUUUGGAUUGUGAAAAUCUCCAUCCGAUAUUGAGCAAUUUGCACAAAUGUUGGUAACAUUUUAUAAAAUUAUUUUUUUUGUAAAAAAAAAAGUGAAAAGAAAAUCCAAUUAUAUGGAAUUGGUUUAUUCUCUAUGCAUGUGGAUCACCAUUUGAACAAGCAUAGACGACAAGGUGGACUCGUGAAAAGAAAACAUUUGUUGCAUCAUUGUUGUUUCCAUAUUCUCGCCUACCCAAAGCAGAAAUAAAGGGUGAAUUUGGCAUAUUAGCACCAUUUCUACCUCCUUUCUCCCUCUAUAUAAACCUCUUCCCACCCAAGCUGCCAUUGCCAAAACCCAUCAACUUCACCUCUAUUCUUCUUACUUGAGACCUAUAUUUAGUCUUGAAAUUUGACUCUGAAAAUGGGUUUCGCAUUUGCAUAUCGACUUAUCUUAGUCGUGGCAGUUGCUUCCGUGUUGGGAAUAAGCCUGGCAAAUAAAGACUGGGGCUCCCCUAAUUCCAACUACACUGGUUGGGGUUGGGGCUGGGGCUGGGGCUCCUCGAAGUCUAACCACACUGGUCAAGGCUUUAAUAACCAUCCCGUGAAUGAAACUCAAGGACCCAAAAAGAUAAUUGUUGGUGGAUCAGAAAACUGGCAUUUCGGCUUCAACUACUCCGAUUGGGCAUUCAACAAUGCACCCUUUUACUUCAACGAUACUCUAGGUGAGUCCAUAAUAUUACAUUUUACAAACCAAAGAAAUGGGAAGCUACCUUGUUUUUAUAUUUAUUUGCUGAAAUAAAUGAUGUUUUGAAUUGGUUUGCGUAGUGUUCAAGUACGAUCCACCAAGCAACACCACAUUCCCUCACAGCGUUUACUUGUUUCCCGACCGAUGGAGCUACUUGAAUUGCGACUUAAAGAGAGCGAAGAUGGUGGCAAAUGCAACCCAAGGCGGUGGCGAUGGGUUCGAGUUUGUGCUCAAGAGGUGGACACCCUAUUACUUUGCUUGUGGUGAACGUAAUGGCUUCCAUUGUAAGGUCGGCAGCAUGAGGUUCAUGGUGAUGCCACUCUUUCGUUGGCAUUACUAGAAUACUUGGGAGAUGAUCACAAAUUAAGGAAUAUCGACAUCCAAUAUAACAAAGAUAUUUAGACUUCGAUGACAAAAUUAAUGUGUAAUCGUUUCUUAAAAUGAUGAAUAAUUUAACUGUCAUCUUAUUAUUUAUUUUAUCAAUAAUUUCGUUACAGGUUUUUUUUUUUACACAAUGUUUAGAAUUAUCUAUAGUCUCUUUCUAACCUAUAAAUAGGAAAGUAAUGCGCUUUAACACACUCGAAUUCACAUCCUCCUGCAUUGACAACAAUAUCCAUGCCAAUUGAAUUAAAACUCAAUCGACUUCUUAAUUUAUUUCAAAAGAAAAAAAUACAUCUUUAAUUUGGACCUUUACUUAGUUAACUAAUUUAAAAGACAUUAAAUCUUCUUUAAUUCUACAGUGAUCUGUAAGUUUGAACAUCCAUUUGCCAUGUUAAUGUUAAGUGAUAUAUAUACGGGGCUUAUAGGGAUAGAAAGCCUUUAAGAAAGAAAAUUUUAUGCCCUUCAACUUAAUUCACACUCAAUUAAGUUGUUAUCCUUAAUUCACACUCAAUUAAGUUGUUAUCAUUAAUCCAAAAAAUUAAUUAAGUCCCUUAAUUGUUGAUUUUCAUCUUUGAUCCCGUUGAUGAUUAAAAUUAGCUAAUCGGAUGGCGGUAUUUACCUAAUUCAUAUUUAAUUUUUUAUUUUUCUAAUAAAAAUUAUUAAAAAUUAUAAAUACAAUGUCAAAUUUACCCUCAAUGUUUGCAUUUUUAUUAAUUUAGUCCUUAUUUUGUUUAAACUAAAUUUAAUCAUUAAUCUUUCAAAAAGAGUUAAAUCGCUCUUUUUUUAAUGAAGAUGUUGACUAAAACACUGAUUUUUUAAUGAUGGUGCGACAACCCGCGUUAUAUUUUGUACUUCAUAUUGACAUGACAUUAUUUGCCUUUUAUAUUACGUCAAUAAAUGAUUUAAAAUUUAUAAAAAUAUUAAACAAAACUCAAAAUUUAAGAAAUUAUAAAAAAAUCAUAAAAAAAAAUAAGAAAAAUAGUAUGAAAUACAUUUAGAUUGCCACGUAAGCUAUUAUGUUUAAAAUUUUAACAUUUUAAUUAGUAUUUUCAUUAUUUUUGUUAAAAAAAUAACAACUCCAUUCUUUUCGAAAAGUUGAUUAAAUUCGUUUUUUUUUAAAGGUGAAAUUUAACUUGCAAUUGGAGAAGGAGGAGUCGCUAUAUAAGCCAAGGUGAAGGUGCAACAAAGGGUAUUGGGUUCAUGCAAUGCAUUGGGUUAAAAAAAUGUUUUUUCCGAGUUUUUAUAAUUUUGUAUGAUUUUUCUUAUAAUUUUUUUUAUUUUUAUAAAAAAAAUAAAAGAUUAAAUCUGAAGUUACCAUUUAUCUAGGUUGAUUUUAAUAAUCAACAAAAUCAAUAACGGAAGAGUUAACAGUAAAAUUUGAAUGGUUGCAAGGGGCUUAAUUAUAUUUUUAAUUAUUUUUGGUUUAAGAGCUUUUUAGAGGGAUGAGUGGGAAUUUCUAUUUAUUCAAUCAAAGUAGAGUACAAACAUGGCAUAAUGAAGUCCCAAAGCAUUAGAAAGUGCAAGAUCGUGGAACCUAAAAGUUACUAUUCCUGGCUUAUAGUUGAAUGUUUUCGAAGCCAAAGUUUGAAAAUGAAAAUGACAAUCAACAGGUAAAGCUGUCAUUAUUACAUCACAUAAACGUAUGACUAACUAUGUCCUGUCAACCCCAGAUCAAAGUAUGGCACUUUUCACAUUUUGUUAUGGUAGUGGAGAAGACGUAACACAAUCCAAGAACUAAAACUGAACUGAAUGAUCAAAGGCAAUUUACAAAAUUCCCCACCUACCACCAUUAGCCAACGGCGGCACCUCGGCUCACCCACCAUCACAAUCAUAUGAUUUUUCACACUGCUUCUAAACUUUAACUGUUAAUGGAAACACAAGGAAAUGGUAAACACAGUUCAAUGCUCUCUGACCAAUAACUUUUAAAACCCAAGAAAAACCAACGCCAACCCAUAUAAUUCCCAAACCCAAGCAAAAUCAACAUUUAAAAUGGGUUUAGUUUCAGAAUCUUUUAAGGCAGUUUGGAGUUUGGUAUCAAUAUGAGAAAAAAAAAACAAAGAUUUAAGUAUCAAUGUGGAAAACAGGUAUAAUUUGAAGGCUAAAAUGAGAAUAAAGCCAAAUAUUUGCCAUAUCAUUGCUGUUUCCAUUUUCUCGCCUACCCAAAGCAGAAAAAAAGGUCAAUUUGGCACAUUUGCACCAUUUUCCACCUCCUUUCUCCCCUUUAUAUAAACCUCUUCCCCAACAUGCCAUUGCCAAAAACCAUCAACUUCAACUCCAUUUUCUUUUAGCUGAAUCUUAUAUUGAGUCUUGAAAUUUGACUCUGAAAAUGGGUUUCACGUUUGCAUAUCGACUUAUCCUAGUUGUGGCAACUGCUUCCGUGUUGGGAGUAAGCCUGGCUAAUAAGGACUGGGGCUCCCCUAACUCCAACUACACUGGCUGGGGUUGGGGUUGGGGCUCCUCUAAGUCUAACCACACUGGUCAAGGCUUUAAUAACCAUCCCUUGAAUGAAACUCAAGGAUCCAAAAAGAUCAUUGUUGGUGGAUCAGAAAACUGGCAUUUUGGCUUCAGCUACUCCAAUUGGGCAUUCAACAAUGCACCCUUUUACUUCAACGAUACUCUAGGUGAGUCCUUAAUAUUACAUUUUACAAACCAAAGAAAUGGGAAGCUACCUUGUUUUUAUAUUUAUUUGUUGAAAUAAAUGGUGUUUUGAAUUGGUUUGCAUACGUAGUGUUCAAGUACGAUCCACCAAGCAAUACCACAUUCCCUCACAGCGUUUACUUGUUUCCCGACCGAUGGAGCUACUUGAAUUGCGACUUAAAGAGAGCAAAGAUGGUGGCAAACACAACCGAAGGCGGUGGCGAUGGGUUCGAGUUUGUGCUGAAGAGGUGGACACCCUAUUACUUUGCUUGUGGUGAGCGUAAUGGCUUCCAUUGUAAGGUCGGCAGCAUGAGGUUCAUGGUGAUGCCACUCUUUCGUUGGCAUUACUAAAAUCUUGGAGAUUAUCUCAGAGAAAGAUCGACAUCCAACAUAACUCACAUAUAUAUAGAGUUUUAUUUCACUUUGUUGACAAAAUUAAUGUGUGAUUGUUUCUUAAUAUGGUUGAGAAGCUACUAGUUUGGUUUAUUUUAUGUUGUAAUGAUGCAAAAUAAGCCGUGUUAUAAUUGCACUUAAAGUUUAUAUUGAUGAACAAAUUAACCUUUCUUAAUUUGUUUCAAAGAAAGAAGUUUAAUGAGGGCAAUCUCUUUAAUUUUAUACUUUACUCAUUUAAAGUAUUAGAUACUUUUAAAUCUGCAAUAUUUAGAAAUUUGUUUAAUAUCAUAUAUUAUUAGAGUUAAUACAUUAAUAAUCAAAUAUUUAAGUUUUUAUAGGUGAAUGAAUCACAAGUAAAGUGACAAAAGAUCUGCAUUCAAAUAAUCAAUUAACACCAAUCUCGAGUUCAAUCUUGAACAACAUUAACCCUUACAGAAAAAGAUUUUGGAUACCAGCAUGGAAUUGAUCACUCAUUGACAUACAGGGGCAUAGCAAAAGGGGCGGGAGGGGCCUUGGCCCCCUUUGACUGGAUGGAUUAUUUGUUAUUUUAGUACUUUCUAAAUGUAAAUGGUUCAAUUUUUUAGCUUGUUUUAAAUAAAAGAAAUUUAAUUAUAGCCCUUUCAAAGUUUAAAAAAUACAAUUUAAAUCAUUUUAAUGCAAAUUUUUUAACUUUGACCCCAAUUUUUUUUUAGUUUUAUUUUUACUCCCAUCACAUAAUUCUUAGCCCCCAUUGGUAUGCUCAUGGAUAAAGGCAUACGACAGGGGCGAAGUUAGAAAAAUCUUUUAAAGGAGUAGAAAUUAAAUUGUAAUUUUUACGAUAGUAAAAAUGUAAUUUCACCAUUUUAAUAGCUUAUAUCUUUAUAAUUUUUAAAGAAUUAAAUCAAAUUUUUUUCAUUUAGAGAGAUUAAAAUAUAAUUUUAACUUUACUAAUUUAAAAAUUAUUUUUAGAAGUGAGGUACCCUUCCAUUAGCAUAUUAUACACUCCUUCGCAAAGAACUUGAUAGUGGCGAAGUUAAAGUGUUAAGGGUGUAGAAAAAGGCCUUGUCUGUUUUGAUUAAAUGAAAAAGAAUUUCCUUUAAAUCCUCUCAAAAUAGAAAUCAUUUAACUUAAUCCUUUUAGCUCUUGAAUGAAAUAAAAUAUUACAAAUUAGAGACUAGGCUACGGUUUAUUGAGGAAAAAGAGAAAGACAAUCAAUCGAGUUACCUCCUAUGACCAAGUUACCUCCGCUCCAAACGAGUUGAAUUCGACUCCAUAACAGACGGGGGACGUCUGAUUUCACCAAUCACUAUAGAACCUUCCAGAAUAUAAAGACUGACGGUUCUUUUACCUUUUAACAAAACGAGAGCUCCACGAGAUACUUUAAUGUCGGUCGACUCGAUGUUGAUUCUGCAUCCUUUCAAGUCUGAAAAACUCAAAGAGAUGAGAUUCUUUCGUAAAUUAGGUACAUACCUGACAUCUGAGAGUGUCCUAAUCAUCCCGUCGUGUAUCAUAAUUUUAACAGUACCAAUACCAAUUACCUUACUAGAUGAAUCGUUUCUUAUGCGCACAACUCCACCUUUAACCGAACUGUAUGUGGAGAACCAUUCUCUAUUGGGACACAUGUGGAAAGAACAUCUCGAAUCUAGGAUCCACUCGGACGUGAGCUUGGAGUUAUCGCUCAUUGACACUAAUAAGAAAUCAUCACUGCUUUCAUCGGCCAAAUUAGCACUAGCUACAUCUUCCUCGUUACUCUCAGCAGGUCUUUUAUUUUACAGUUUAUAACAAUUUGCUUUAACGUGACCUAACUUUUUACAAUAGCGACACCUUUUGUCUCGUUUCUUUGAUGCUAUCAAAAUGGAAGCUUGCCUAUCUGCCUUACUAUCCAAACCAAACUCAUUGUCGAGUUUGUCUCUACUCAACAAAUGACCCUUCACAUAUUGGAACGAGAGUUUGUCUCUGCCAUAAAUCAAGAUCUCCCUCAAAGACUUGUAUGAAUGAGUAAAGAGCACAAUAAUAGCAUAGUCUGAUCUUCAUCGUCAAUAUGAACCUCAAUGUUCUUUAAAUCAUUUAAAAGAGUAAUGAAUUGACUGAUGUGAUCUCUAAGAAGUUCACCUUCGUUCAUGCGAAACGUAAAUAGACGUUGUUUCAACACUAAACGGUUAGCCAGAGACUUAGUCGCAUAAAGAGUUUCUAACCUUUUCCACAAGGCAGAUGAGGUCUUCUCCAUCAACACAUCUUGCAAUACCGUAUUUGUGAGGCACAACUGGAUUGCAGAUAAGGCCUUUUCAUCAAGCUCUUCCCAUUCUGUUUGAUUUAGAUUCUCAGGCUUUUUUCCGAUAACAACCUUUUUCAAGCCGGUUUGAACUAGAAUUGCCAUCAUCCGAACUUGCCACAGAUUGAAAUUUGUCUCACCAUCGAACUUUUCAAUUUCAAACCUUAUUGCUACCAUCUCUGAAUGAGCUGAUUUAUGAAAAUUAAAUUAGCUCUGAUAUCACUUGUUAGGAUCGAUCCGAUUAAGUAACAAGUAAAAAAAUAACGGAAUAAAUUGAGAAAUUGAACACACAAAUUUAACGUGAAAAAACCUCUCCAAAAGGAUAAAAAAAUCACGGGCAAAGAUAAUUUUAUUAUAAUGGCAAAAGAACAAAAAGUACAAAAGAUGAAGAUAAAAACUAAACUCCAAAAACCCAAAAACAAAGAACCCUUAAAACGUAAAUACAAAAUUCUCUAAAUAUAUUAUGAGUUCUAAUCUCUAAUGGGUGUAUUUUUUAAGGUUGUAAAAGAGCCUAUUUAUAAGCUAAAUUAAUAGGUCAAAUAAUAAUAAAAUAAUCUCGCCUAAUUAGAGUUUGAUUGAAACAAAUAAACAGAGUUUAACUGAAAGAUUAUUUCUCAAAUUUGACUGAAAUAGGAGUCAUACUCAACACUAAGAAACUGGCCCAUUAUGCCUUUCUUGGGCAGAGCUUAAAAGUAAAUCAUCGCCACCUUCUACUCUAAUUAUUGUAGUGGAACAUUUACAAACUUAUACUUUUUUGCAGAAUAUGAUUCCAGCAGUAGUUGCUAGCAUUGAAACCAUGCUUGAGAAAUGGAAAAGUAAGGACGGCAAAAAGAUAGAAGUGUUCCAAGAGUUCAGAUUAUUGACUUCAGAAGUGAUAUCCAGAACCGCCUUUGGUAGCAGUUACUUGGAAGGGGAGAAGAUUAUUGACAUGUUGAUGAAGUUGACAGUAAUUGCAGGCAGAAAUAUUUAUAAAGCAGAGAUUCCCAUCAUCAGGUAACGUCAUCAAAUCUUUACUUUGCUAAUCAACAUACUUCAGCCGCCAAUGGGUUGAUUUAAUCUGGUUUUCCUUUUCAGCAAGUUUUGGAAAUCUGCUGAUGAAAUUGAAUCAGAUAAAAUUGCCAAAAUGAUACAUGAUUCUGUUAUAAAGAUUGUUAAAAAAAGGGAAGACAAAGUAGUCACUGGAGAAGCUGAUAACAUCGGUCGUGAUUUUCUGGGAUUACUUGUAAAUGCUUAUCAUGAGGCGGACCAGAAAAAUAGGCUUUCGAUACAAGAUUUGGUAGAUGAGUGUAAAACUUUCUAUUUUGCUGGGCAAGAAACAGUCAAUUCCUUGCUUGCAUGGGCAACCCUGCUUUUAGCAAUACACACCGAUUGGCAAGAUAAAGCAAGAGCAGAGGUGAUUGAGGUCUUUGAUAAUCAAAACCCAGAUUCUGAAGGGAUGGCCAAAUUAAAGACGGUAAGCAAACUAUACAAAUUCAAUAGCUUGAAAACUAACAGUGAACAUUUAUAUUGCCUUUUGGAUUUCUUUUUCUCCAACAGAUUACCAUGAUUAUCAAUGAAACUUUACGGCUCUAUCCUCCUAUAAGUGGCGUGAUAAGAAAAGUAGGAAGAGAAGUCCGAUCAGGAACACUUGUCCUGCCUAUUCAUUCAGAGGUCGACAUGCGAAUCAUAGCACUUCACCAUGAUCCUGACUUAUGGGGAGAUGAUGUUGAUCUUUUCAAACCAGAGAGGUUUGCUGACGGCUGAAACUACUAAGUACAAUGCAGCUGCAUUUAUGCCCUUCGGAUUGGGACCUCGAUCUUGCGUAGGCAUGAGCUUUACAAUCAUUCAAGCGAAAAUUGCACUUUCCAUGAUUCUGCAACGCUACACUAUCAAUCUCUCCCCUAGCUAUGUUCAUGCACCUUUACAACGUCUUACACUCAGGCCACAACAUGGGAUUCAGGCCACAACUUUUUUUUUGUUUUAAAAUAUAAUUUCUUUCCUAACGAUAUAAUUUGUUUAUCUAAAAGUGUUUUAGCUAUAAUAAAAUUUGUUACAAUAUCUUUAACACAAUGGUAAUAGUUACAAAUACUAUUACGCAACCAUAGUAUAUUGGUUGCAAAAUAAAAUUUGCAACAAUGUAAAAUUAAAUUUGCUAAGUUUUUUACGUAACAAUAAUAAUAUUGAUUACUAAAUAUUAUUUUGUAAGGAUAUUUUAUUUAGUUGUGUAUUACAUUGUGCAAUGAUUAUAUUUCAUUGUCAAAAAAAUAUUUUAACAACCAUUAAACGUGGUUAUCAAAUCAUUUACGUAACAAUAAUACUAUUUGUUGCUGAAUAUUAUUUUGCAAUAAUGUUUUAAUUGGUUGUGUACUAAUUACGCAACAACUAUAAAAAUUUAUAAAUUGAGUUCGGUUGUUAAAAUAGGAUUCGUUAACUCGACUAAUUCAAAUUUUUUUUACUCGAUCGAAUAUUCACCACUAUUUCUAAACUAUAAUAAUGGAAACUCGUUAAGUCAUAAAAAAUUCAAGUAAAUGUUUUAAACUUGAGUUUUAUGAAUACAAAAAAUAAUUUUAAAAGCUAUUUUAAAUUAUAAAAUUUAUUUGGUAUAAAUUAAAAUUAAAUACAAAAUAUAAUUAGAUUGUUUGAUAAAAUAUAAUAUUUUAAAAAUUUAAAGGUGGGGUAUUUGAAGAAUUUAAAAGAGAUAAAAUAAAAAUAAUUGAAACAAAUUCUACAUUAAGAUAUAAAUAGUUAUUUAUCUACUUUUCAGUUUCCAUAUCUUUUCGUAGAAAAAUCCAAUCAUUUGUUUUUUAUUAUGAAUCAUCAAACUUGCUUAAAAACAUAAAUUAUUAGUUGAUUUAAUUUUUUUUAAUUGAUUAUCAAACAAGCCCUUGAUUCAAGUGCCAUUUAUGUCAAAAAAGUUUUAAGUAAUAGUAACAUAAACAUUCAUUUUAUAACAAUAAAGUUAAAGCCACGAAUAUUUUCAAAAAAAUUCAAUUAAGCCCUUGAAUGUUAAAAUUUCAAUCAAUUAAGCUCUUUGAUAGUUAAAGUUAACAGUUAAUUGUUAUAGUUAAAAUUUCAAUCAAUUAAGGCACGGUGUAGCGUUUGUUUACCUCAUCCUUUAACCUUGUGGUUGAGGGUUCGGUCCCUACUUAUGGAAAUGAAGCACAUUUCAUAGUCAGUCAUUUACCUAUUUGGAGAGCACUUAUAGUGAGGAGAUUAACUACUGUUGUUGUUGGUGGAUACCCUGAUUAUGACAAAUAAAAAAUAACAACUGUCUUUUUUUUUGGAUUAUUUUUGCCAAGUGCCAUGCUAAGAUUGUGCCACGUGGUAUGAAAUUAGAAAAAUCAUAUAAAAAUUAUAAAAGAAUUAUAAAAAUGAAUAAAAUUAGAAAAAAAUAUAUAAAAAAUCUAUUUUUAAAAGGUUAAUAAAUUUUAUAUUUUAUUAUUUUUAAAAGGAUAAUAAAUUUUUAAAAGGUUUUUUUUAUUCUUAUAUUUUUAAGGGCGAUUUAAAUUUAAUUUCAAAAUAGGGCAUGCCUAAUAUAUAAAUAGACAUUUAAUUGGUGUCCAAGAGGAAUGGCGUCACUCCUAUUUUUCAUCUAGUUUAAAAAUAAUAAUUACUUCAUCAGGUAUCUGAACAUUUUAUAUAAUUUUUUUUCAGUUCGAUGUCACCAAUAACAACGACGACACCCAAAAUAUAUAUUUUUUAAAACUACCAAUGACAAUGAGUCACCGACAUUUACUGUUUAAAAUGAGUUUCAAAAUAAGUCAUUUUUAUAAAUAAUUAAAAGUUUUGGGUAUUUUUAAUAAAAAAGCCUAAGUUUGAUGAAUGGCGUCAGCCAUUAUGUAGGUCUACUUAAUACGAAAACGACGGCUUGGUUUUGUUGGCCAAAAGGAAAGUACCUUUUGGGUUUUGCUUUGCCCAAAUGCUAGCAAAGUCUUUGCAUGCAUUUGUUUGAUUGGAAAAGUGAGAAAUAGAUGAACAUGGUAAGCACAAAUUCUAGACAUUACCAUAUCACCUAUAAAAUUUAGUUAUCUUUUUAAUUUCUUUUGGUGUAUUAUAAAAAAAAAUUCUAAUAACACGACUUGAAUCAAAUCAUAUCUUAGUCAAGAGAUGGGGUUAUUUUAAUUUUUGUCUAUAAAAAGAAUCUUGUUCAUUGAGGGCCCUAGUAGGAGGUAUUGAAUAAGAACUAGAAGUCAAAUCCUGCACGCUUCCCAUUUCUGUGUAUUGAAUUGGCUGUAAUUUUCAAAGGACAUGAACCUUGAAGAGGGACAAGUGUAGUCUCUUGAUGAUAAAUGUGUUGACUGUCACCUUGCAAAACCCAGAUUACCAUAACAGGUGCAAAAUCUGAUCGGUGAAGAUAAGAAAAUGGAGACCAUGGGAAAUCUUCUAAUCCUGUUUACAGCUUCUUUAUGCCUCUACCUUUUCGUUGCUUUGCUCAAUGUUUUCUACAAGUAUUGCUGGAUACCUCAACGGGUACAGUUCAUCAUGAAUUCACAAGGAAUCAGAGGACCUCCUUAUGAAUUUAUCCAUGGAAACAACAAAGAAGCUGCCCAAAUGCUCAUGGAAGCAUCUACCAAACCUAUGGCCUUGACACACGAUAUAUUUCCCAGAGUCAUGCCUCAUGUUUACUCCUGGAUCAACAAAUACGGUGAGAAUAUGUUUUUUUUUCCUUUCUUGGGUAGUAUUUUCUGAUUAACCUCCACUUUCCAUGAAGAGAAAUCAUUUUCUUUCAGGGAAGACUUAUCUUAGUUGGAAUGGAAUUCGAGCUCAACUGCUAAUUACAGACCCAGAUCUAGUCAAAGAGGUCCUUAAAAACAGUGACAAAGCUUUUCGAAAGCCAAAGGCUUCAUAUUUCUUCGACAAGCUACUAGGCGAUGGGCUUGCUUCAACCGAACGUGAGAAAUGGGCAAGGCAAAGGAAACUGGCCAAUUAUGCCUUUCAUGGGGAGAGCUUAAAAGUAAAUCAUCUCUACCUUCUAAUCUAAUUAUUGUAGUGCGACAUUUACAAACUUGAUAAUUUCUUGCAGAAUAUGACUCCAGCAGUAGUUGCUAGCGUUGAAACCAUGCUUGAGAAAUGGAAAAGUAAGGAGGGCAAAGAGAUAGAAGUGUUCCAAGAGUUCAGAUUAUUGACUUCAGAAGUGAUAUCCAGAACCGCCUUUGGUAGCAGUUACUUGGAAGGGGAGAAGAUUUUUGACAUGCUGAUGAAGUUGUCAGUAAUUGCAGGCAGAAAUAUUUUUAAAGCAAAGAUUCCCAUCAUCAGGUAACUUCAUCAAAUCUUUACUUUGUUAAUCAACAUACUUCAGCUUACAAUGGGUUGAUUUAAUCUGGUUGUCCUUUUCAGCAAGUUUUGGAAACCUGCUGAUGAAAUUGAAUCAGAAAGAAUUGCCAAAAUGAUACAUGAUUCUGUGAUGAGGAUUGUUAAAAAAAGGGAAGAGAGAGUAGUGAACGGAGAAGCUGAUAACUUUGGUCGUGAUUUUCUGGGAUUACUUGUAAAUGCUUAUCAUGAGGCGGACCAGAAAAACAAGCUUUCGAUUCAAGAUAUGGUAGAUGAGUGUAAAACUUUUUAUUUUGCUGGGCAAGAAACAGUCAAUUCCUUGCUUGCAUGGGCAACUCUGCUUUUAGCAAUACACACCGAUUGGCAAGACAAAGCAAGAGCAGAGGUGAUUGAGGUCUUUGGUAAUCAAAACCCAGAUUCUGAAGGGAUGGCUAAAUUAAAGACGGUAAGCAAACUAUACAAAUUCAAUAGCUUGAAAACUAGCACUGACCAUUUAUAUUGCCUUUUGGAUUUUUUUUUUCUCCAACAGAUUACCAUGAUUAUCAAUGAAACUUUACGGCUCUAUCCUCCUAUAAGUGGCGUGACAAGAGAAGUAGGAAGAGAAGUCCAAUUAGGAAAACUUGUCCUGCCUACUCAUUCAGAGGUCGACAUGCGAAUCAUAGCACUUCACCAUGACCCUGACUUAUGGGGAGAUGAUGUUAAUCUUUUCAAACCAGAGAGGUUUGCUGAUGGGAUAGCGAAAGCUACUAAGUACAAUGCAGCUGCAUUUAUGCCUUUUGGAUUGGGAUCUCGAUCUUGCGUUGGCAUGAGCUUUGCAAUCACCGAAGCGAAAACUGCACUUUCCAUGAUUCUGCAACGCUACACUGUCACCGUCUCCCCUACCUAUGUUCACGCUCCUGUACCACGUCUUACACUCAAGCCACAACAUGGGAUGCAGUUGUUGUUUCAUUCACUACAUUAUGAUGCUUAAAAUUCUAGGUUGUUGGUCUCCAAUAUAGUAAU
rnacentral:lncRNA from 1 species